rnacentral:lncRNA from 1 species
AGAUUUUUACUUCUUUCUAAUUUUUCCAAUCAAGUCGAGUACGGUCUAAUCUUAUCUCGUACAUUAGACAUGCCAUGUGCAAUAUUACCCUCAAGCCUGGUCACUGGUGGUCGUGUGAACUCCAUCAGAAUUGCCCUCUGUUCUCUUCUUCUCUAAUUCUCUCAUGGUGGAUCUCCACCCACAGAAAGUACCAAAUAGGACGUCCAUAUCCUCUAGGGUUCUUCCUCGUGUCUCAGGUAGCAAUGUGUAGAAGAAAAUCCAAGCUACAGUAGCAACCCCUGCGAACAAAAAGAAAGCCCCUCCAAUUGUAAUGGCCUUGUACAAGGAUAUAAAUGUCAUUAAAAUCACCCCACUGACGACUCUAUUAACUGCGACUCCUAUACUACACCCUUGGGCCCUUAGCCUUAACGGGAAGAUCUCAGAGCUGUAGACCCAUGCGAUGGGACCCAUCCCAAUCGAGAAAAAUGCAACACAUGAUAAUGUCAUGGCGAUGCACAAGGCAACGGCCCAUGUUAGUUUUUGAUUGGGAUGUUGAUCAAUUAUGGUCAAUCCAGUGGCUAGCAUCACGAGGGAAAAUACAACACCGCCAGAACUCGAGAGGAGCAAAAUUCGUCGUCCAAUCCUGUCUAGAAAAAAUGUGGACACUAGUAUGGAGAUCGUCUUUGAAACUCCAACCGCGAUAGUCGCAAGUAGUUGGUCUCUACUACCUUUCAUACCGGCUUUUUCAAAAAUUCUGGGACUGUAUAACACAACAGAAUCUAUGCCAAUCGCCUGUUGAAAAAAAUGUACGCCAAUGCCUGCCAACAAAAUGUGUACGACCCUCCGUGUAGGGUGGAGGAACAUUUCUUUCCAUACAUCCUCGCCAUGGCUACGUUUUGGAACAGGAACAACGUCAUCGUUGCAAUUUUCUGGCAACCCUGCAGCUUCUUUAAUAUCAGCUAAUCUCUCUAGUGCCUCUUCUAACGAUUCCGAGGUUUUGUUCAAGACUUUUUUUGCAUCGCCUAAACGACCUUGCAUGACUAGCCAUCGGGGUGACUCGGGCAUGGCUAGGACACCCACAGCUAGGACAACUGAUGGAAUUGCACCAACACCAAGCAUGAACCGCCAGCCCAAGUUCAAUGGAAGCUUGGAAAAUGCAUAAUUUGAUACAUAUCCCAACAAUACACCUACAAAACAAUUUAAAUUAGUCCAUCGCCAAAGACACUAUAUACAAAUUAGUAUUUUAAUAUGAAAGAGAAGUAGACAAAGUAGCUGACUGUAGAGUUGAAAACUAGAAAGGUAGUUGAUAUAACUAGAAAAGCAUCAAGUUAUUAGUUUAGUUCAACCAAUGCAAUGCUUGGGAAUAAAUUCAAAACAAAAAGGAAAUGUGGUGCUCUCUCAUCGACCCAAAUUUCACUAUCAUUACACGUGUUAGAGAGGACUGGUAAGAGAGAAUCGAAAGAAGUAGAUAAAAUUUAGAUAAUUGGGCUUUUGUCAAACCACCAACCAUAGCCCCAAAAUAAAAAGGAAGAGCUACAUGUACAGAAAUGUUUACAUAAUGGUGUUUAUAGUUACACGUGGCACUGGGUCCAACUUUUAAUUCAAAUCUCACACUUGUAUAUAAACAAUCAGACGAUUGCCACAUCAUAUUAUGGACACCAUUAUAUGCAAUAACUAUGUACAAGUAAAAUUUCCCAAAUAAAAAUUCUGUCCUCCUUAUGUGGAAAUUAAAAUUAAACUUUUAUUAAUUUAAGUCAUAACUUUUAUUAAAAUUCGUUAAAAAUCUAAUUUUAAUUUCUUGCACAUGCAUAGGAUAGUAACAAACUAUUGAAAUAACCAAUUAAAAAAAUUGUUAAUUUGAUAAACAAGACAAUGACUUCUCAUGUGGAAUACACAAUUUCAUUUUUAUCUUAUAAUUUGUGGUUUAUAAAAUUAUUGAAACUGAGCUUAAUUGUUUAAUUAACAAACAAUUAAGGAAAAAAAAUUAUCUUUGGGGGAAAAAAUCAAAUGAGAAUUUUCAAACUUGUUUUUCCCAGAAAUUAAUUAUGCGUUGUUACAUGCAUUUAAAACUUAAAAGUAAAUUGUUAGAAAUUGUUACACAAAAACGAGAAUAGACAAUAUAUGAGACAAGAUUAAGAACAGAUGAUUUUCGAGAAAGUCCAAAAAAAAAUAAAUAAAUAAAUAAAAAUAAAAAAACCUAGUGCAGAUAUCAAAAAUAAUUAUAAGUGGUGUGACCUCUUGGCCCUAUCCCUUCACUACCACCACACACCCUAUUUUUUUUACUCAUAAUUUUAGUUUCACGAUACUACCGUGAGCUUUUCGGGUCGAAGCAAAUGUAAUUCGGGUCACGAUACUCUAACGAAAAUGCUAUAUGUGUUCAUGCUCAAUCUAUGCACAUUUUAGUAUGUGUGAGAAUAUGUACCAGCGUUGAUGAAGACUUCAGGGAAAGAAGUGAGGAAUCCACGAGAUGCGGCCGGAGAUACCUCAGCGGUAUACACGGGAGCUAUCAUCAGAGCAUAGCCGACUCCGAUCCCAGCCACGAACCGGCCGAACAUAAGAAAUGCAUAGUUAGGGGCAAAGCCCAUUAAAAAAGCUCCGGCAAAGAAGAUUGCCCCCGCCAACACUAUGGUGUAACGGCGGCCAAUCCAGUCAGAGGUCCUUCCAGCAACGGCGGAUCCAGCAAGGGCAUAGAUAUUUAUGGUUCCUACUAGGAUCUCUAGUUUGACAUCGGAGACUUUGAGGUCGUCCUUGAUGUAGAUUAUUGCUCCACUCAUCACUCCCGUAUCUGUAAAAAUCAUGAAGAACUUACACACGAACGAAACAAAAUCUUAUUGAAGCCCGAAACAGUAUUAUAGUUAUUAUUAUUAUUACCAUAUCCGAGUAAUAUUGAUGUCAUUGAAGCUAAAAUAGAGCAAGCGAAAGCAAACUUGUUUCUCUUAGGCUUCUUGGGGACGGCCAAACCGGGAACCGGCACAUGGGAUUGGUUGGUAUCUCCAUUUUUUUCUGGGGUAAGGUCAGCCAUAGGAACAGAGGUGGAGCUUAAUUUGGAGAUUGUUUCGAUGAGCAAUAAUUUGUUAAUUCCCUUAUCUUUCGGAAGAUAGGAGACCAAGUGUGAGUUCUUGGGUGUAUUGCUUGUACGCAUAUAUAUACACGAUAGCUGCACAAAGUUUGGUAAAUAUUACGUAAUAGUACCUGAUUGUCACCAAUUAUUUGGAAAAUUAAAGAGUUUUGAAUAAUAUUUUUUGAAAAAUGUAGAGUUAAAAAAUAAAGAAAUUUUAUUGAGUUGCGUAUAAAAUAUUUUAUUGUGUGAAUGUAUGGUGGAGAAUGAUACUGCAGCAAACAAUUUAAAAUUUCAAAGGGAGCCAAACAGGUACUAAGGUUUGUUUGGGAGUUUUUUUUUGUAUUUAUUUUUUAUUUUUUAUUUUUUUUUAUCAAUUUUUUGACGAUUUUUAGUAGCAUUAUUUAUGAGAUGUUGGAAGAACCGAUAUUUGUUAUUUUUUGGGCACUAAGUAUAAGUGUAAUUUUCUCAUUCCACUAGAAAUUUAGUUGUUUCUCAAAUUUUAGUCAAAUUUUACCCUCUAUAAAAUGAUUAUUUCCAACCCUUUUAUUUGAAAUUCAUUUAUAAGCAAAAACUUAAUUUAUAACUAUAAAAAUUCACUCUAUGUAAAAAAAAAUUGCUUAUAAAGUAAUAUUACUAUUAAGACAAAAAAUCACUCAUAAGCAUAAGAAAGUAGCAAAAAAUUACUUAUAACCUAAAUUUUAUUAUGAGUCAAUACUUUUUUCUUUCUUAAGUUUAAAAUUAACUUAUGUGUACAAAAUUACUUACACAUAAAAUAUUUAUUUAUGAGUAAAAUUUCAUAUAAAAAAUUAUAAACUGAAAAUUUUACUACUGAGAGGUACGUUUAUAAUUAUUUUGUUGGAUAAUAAACUCUAAAGCAUGAAUUAAAUUGUUUUUAAAAAUUACUGCUAAAAGUCAUCCAUCAUCGGAUCCCUCGUAAAUGCCAAGUCUGUCAUAAUUGUUGUUUCCACCAAUAUUUUAUUUUGAAACUAGAUUGUGAGGUGUCAAAAUCCUUAUGGAGACUACUCGAAGGACCACCACCUUUGUCAUUACAUGUGAUAUUUUUAGUGAAUGCAGUUAAAGGAAACACACGAUUUCUGGUUCACAAUAAAGCUCAAAUGUGAGUCUAUGUGUUAAAGGAAAAAAUGUGAUUGAACCAUAUAUAGAUUGCAAUUUGGGCACUUCCUGUUAAAGGAAAAAAGGUGAUCGAGUCGACAUAAUGGAUUGAUGAAUCAUGAAAAUCAUAUGAGGAAGAAAAUUAUAGAGUGCAAGGUUAGAUUUAGACGUUAUCCAAUUAUUUACGUAGCGAAGUUUUUCCAUUUCGUUGAAUCAUCAAAGAUAUAUUUUGACAUGUUUAGUUAAAGAAAUUGUAGAUAAUAAAAGAUAAAGUUUGUCACUUGCUUUAGUUACGUUUCUAACAAGAAGUAGUGCAGUAUUGAAUUUUGCACAUUUAGAAGGGAAAAAAAUGUAUGUGGAAGCUGGAAAAUUCAAAUUUCUUUAUGAAUAUUUGAUGCAAAUUAGAGUGUGACACCUUGAUUCCACUCUAUUCAUUCUGCUGCGUACUAUAUAGCCAAAGUUGACACGGAUUCUGGUGAAAGUGAAAUUUUGGGAUCUAUUCUUGGAAAAUUUGUGCAUGUCAUUGUCAAUAUUGAUUGAUUAGCUGAAUAUAUGCUCUUCUUGUGGAUUCCUUUCCCUAGUGUAUGUGGUAGCUAGGAUAAAAACGAACAAUUUUUUCUUCUGUACAAAAGCCAGGUUCACAGAACUCGGUCAGAUCUCUCCCAAAGGAUGAGCUCCACUCGAAUUAAAAAUGACCAAAAAUUAACCCACCCAUCCUCCAUCGUGUGUAACCUGUACAGCCCUUAUGAAGGCUCUCCCCGUACGCCACGUGAGGUUCAAAAAGGAAAUCGAACAGGGUUAAUGACUAUGGUCCUGUUUGGUACCAAUUCAAAUCAUAUUUUAAUUUAAGUUAAAAUCAAACAAUCAAUUUUUACCACAUAUUCUAUGGUUCUCACAACUUUUUAACUACACAUUUCAAUUUUUUAUUUAUUUAUCAAAAUCUACUAAAAAUCUAAUUUUAAUCCUUAACAAACAGGAUAAAUAUCUUUAUGUAAUAAUAUUAUUGAGGAAUAAAAUGUUCGAGAUAACAAAGUAAAGUGUUUUGAUGCCAUUUCAGAUUUUUUUCCCUCCGUCCUAUCAUGAAAUACAUGUAUAUUAAUUUGAGCCCGUCAUCAAAAGAGUCUUUGCACUUAACUAUAAUAAUUCUCUUUUAAUGCGAAAAGAUGCAAGACACUCUCUUCAUACUUGUAUAAUUAUUUGGGUUCUCGUUUGUAAUCUUCAUUUUAGAAAGCUUGGCAGCUACAAAAUGCUCUUAUAUAUGCUUCAAAAGACAAAAUAGAUUUUGCACCGAGCCCAUCCAACGUAAUUAUCAAGUUAUUCUUCUAAGUACAUGUUGAGUCGUGCUCUAUUCAACCUAUUGCCUUAAUAUUUUACUAACUUAUUUGCCUCUCAUGUGUUCGAUCACAUUCUGCUUGUCGUGAAUUUGACCCUAUUUAUUCGUCUUCAAUAAAUUUUUUAUACGAUUGUUUUCAAUGUUUUUUUGGAUGAUUAUGUCAUUUGGAGUUAUAUUUAUACUGAUCUAAACCAACAACGAAAGGUGAUUACCUAAUUUGCCACUAACUAUGACCCUUAUCUCGACUUGUAGCAUUUUAUUUUUAAAAUGUAGCAAAAUUAAUUGUCAAAAGUGAUUAAAAAAAAAAAAGAAAGAUAAAAUACAAUUCGUCAUAUGCACAUUGCGAAAAACUCAAAAUUUUAAAAAAAAGUCAAUGAAGUGAACAAAUUUGACUGUUGGUAUGAGUUUACCUACAUUUGCUGAGAGUAAAGAAGGAAAAGGCUCUGGAAUUUAAAUUAAAACAAUUGAAAAAUAUCUUUAACAAUUAUAAAUUUCUUUACAAAAAUGUUAAUUCAUUGCAGAACUUAUAUGCUAGAUGCUCGGUAAUAUUUCCCCCAAAUACACUCACUUAAUAUUUUUGAAAUGCGUAAUUAGCAAAUAACGUCAAUACUAUUCACUAUUAUUGUGGAAAACGUUCAUAUCUUAUUUAUUAUUAUUAUAUUUUGGCAUUCUUACCUUAAUUACAUAUUUAAUUGCGUAUAUCAUCCUUUUUAUUCAUUUUUAUCCAAUUUCUCAAUAAAAACUUUGAAAUGACAAAUAUAACCUCCUAUUUAAAUAAAAAAAUAAUUUUUAAAAUUUUUUUUAAUAAUUUAUUUGGGACUCAUUAGUAAUUUUUUAUUUUUUUAAUUUCUAAUUUUUUAAUAGUUUAUUUGGGAUUCGAUGCACUUUUUUUCUAGAAAAAAUUGGAAAUAUGAUUGCAAUUAAUCUUUAUUUUUCUUUUUUAUUUAAAUAUGAGGAUAUAUUCGUCAUUUCAUAACUUUUUAUUGAAAAAUUGGAUGAAAAUGGAUAGAAAUGAUGGUUUGUGCAAUUAAAGAUGUAAUUAAAUGUAAAAAUGCCAAAAAAAAAAGGUAGUUUAAUUUCCAACACACACACCCCACAUAGAUAGUAGUUUACAAGAUCAUGAAAAUUGCAUUUAAAAUGAGAAAAGUUUUGUCAAUUUUUGUAGGCUACCAAAGAAUUGUAUUAUCCUACUAGUUUUAAAGUUCUAGCUCAUCUUUAUUUUAUUGCACUAACUUUCAGAGAUUAUAUAAUAGAUAGUGAUAUAUCAGUUGCGAUGGUGAUGAAAUUUAGAAAACAUAUAGAAGAUUUUCCUAUGUUAUUUUGUUUAGAUUAUGUAAUGGAUCCUAUAUAUAUUUCUGAAGGCAUAAAACUUGUCAAACAACAAAUCCCAAAUGAAUUAAAUUUCGAAACUCCAAUUACAUAUCAUAAUAUAGAGAGUUAUUUAUUUGAGAUGCAUGAAAUGCAUGCCCAAAUAUUUGGUCAAAUGUUAGACGAUUGCUUGAUCGAGAUAGCUCGAUUCUUGUAUGUGAGAGAGUCUUUGUAUGUGACCACUUGCUAUAAAAGAGUUCGAGCACGAUUGUUUGACGGAGACCUUAGUCAUUCUACACAUGUUCACGAACUACAAUAUUGAUCAUAUAUACAUAGGACGAAUUAUUAACAUGUGGGCCAUUUUUUAUAUCACUUAGCGUACAUGACUUAGAGAGUUAUAUCUACACUCUCAUCACUAGUCUAGCUAUAUAGACAAACGGCCGACAUACUAUCAUACUUUCAAAGAUUAUUAGGGAGUAGAGGCAUCUAUCAUCAAGAAGAUGGAAGCUAGAUCAUUGACAUCUAUCAGACUACGGAACGCGCAAGCAAAUGUGUAGGCUCAGGGCAAACAAUUGAUCCUCAAGGACGAGGAUGCCGUCGUACCCACUCCUUAAGCAUUAGAGCCAACACUUUACAGAUUUUGAGGCAGAUCGCUCUUCAUUGACCAAGAACAUGAGGUUCAAUCGAGCAAUGCAGUAAAAUAUCAAUUCUCUACAGAGAGAAGUUGGUGAUAUUGGAUCCAAUGUCUAGUUCUUGACAAGGGCUACAUCUGCGAUAUGUGGCGAUCACAUUUUCCUUAGAAGGAAUUGUGAUAAGAUCGCUAGGCACUUGAGUAUUAUGAUUUCAACGUUAGAAUAUCCUCGAAAAAAGGAGUUGAAAGAACAAUUUUGGGAGCGUGUAUAUUACGAGUGAAGAAAUGAUAUAUUUGACCAUUAAGAGUAUGAUGUUACCCAUAAUAUUUGGAAGUAUCGACGUAAUUUUAGGAAUUUAAUCAACUCAUGAAUUUAUGAUGUUUAAUUUGAUUUUACACACUCACAUAUAUUUAACAAUUGGAUGAGUUGAAGUUGGUCUUGGUAUUGUGAUUUUGAAGCUCUUUAUUGUUUACGCAUGAAAUUUCCAAAAAGUGAUACAAAAGGAUAAACUAUCUAACUAUUUUGUGACUUGAGUGUUGAUUUGUUGAGUUAAAUUUACGAUUAUUGUUCGAGGAUGAAUAAAUGUUUAAGUUUGGUGUAUUUGAUUUAUAUGCUUAGGCUGUUCAUCAUGGAUAUUUGAGAGUAUUUUUUAGGGAUUUUCGCUUAAUGUCGUGUAAAUAUUAUUUGCUUAGGGAAAACUUGAUGUUGGACUAGCUUUUGAAGAGAAGGAAUGAAAAACAAAGUGAGUUUAGUGCAUAAUUUACGAAAUGGGACCUAACUUGAUAAAAAUUGGAAGAUGAAGAGACAUAAUUGCAAUUAUAAGCGAUAUAAGCUGGAUGGCAAGUUGAAUUCAAAGAUCAAAAUGCCAGUAUUAGAAAGUGUAACCUUGUGAUUGGAAUGUAUAAAAAUUCUUGCAAUCAUGGAGAAUGAAAAGACUGUAUCAUGAUCGCAAUGCAAUGUACCAUGCGUUUCGAAGAAGAUUUUGUUUUCAAUUUUAGUUUUGUUCAUCUUUUGUAAAGUAAUUUGGCCAAUGAUUUAACCUAUUUGGAAUAAUUUUUUUUGGAGAUUCUUCAUCCAAGAAUGUGGAGAAUAAGGCUAGGAAUAGAUUUAAGACAAAUAACAUCAAGAGUUUGAAAAUUUAAAGCUUCAAACUGAAUAUAUCAAAAGCAAGGAACAAUAUGGAAUCAAUUGAAAAUUGAUUGAAGGAAUUUAAGAAUCCAAAAUUAAUUAUAACUCUUCCUUUUUGCGUAAAAGUUUUUCCGGUGACGAAUAUUCAUAUUUCUUACUGUAGUUUCACAAUAAAUAUGCUAGGUUAAACUUGUAAGUGUUGGAAUGAAGAUAUAAACCUUUGUUUUAUCGUUUUAAUUUAAAGACCUUUUCUUUUAACACGAUUUAUGUAAUUAGUUGAAAUUACAUGAUUAUUGCUUACCUGAAUGCUUGAUCACCUUUUAUAUAAUACAUUGCUUAUUUUAUUUUUGUGGGGUUCAAAAUGGGUUUAGAACAAUAGUGAUAAUUGACAUAGGGCUUAAUAAACGAUAGGAAUGAUGUUUUAUGACUUAUGCAAUCAAAAUAUGUAAUCGUGUGUUUGAAUUUGAAAUAGAGACAUUUCGGGUUGUGUUCAAAAAUAUUUUUAACUUAUCUCUUAAGAGAUAUUUGGAUAAAAUUGGAUUAUCUAUUGUCAAUUUAUACCCAAAUUUAGUUAACACACACACACAAACAAAUAGGUGAAGUUGGAAUGCUAACACGCUAUUCUCAUACAAAGUCUUCAUAAGUCAUCUUUCACUUGCAUUAGAUAGAAAAUAGUGUUAGUAGUAACCAAUCACCAACAUCAAUUCAAUCAUUUGAUUCGGUUAUGUUCGAGUAUGAUUUCAAAUCUAUACAAUUUAUGUUUAAGUAUAUUACUCAGAACAAUAUUCUUAAAAACUUUUAUUUUUUUUUCAUAAUCCGUACAUUUACAGAAUUUCACAGAACAUAACACAUCUUACCAAGUGGCCCUACAUAUUUAAUUAAUUGUGCAUAAAACUAUCUUAAAGUUAAGCCCAAAAAUAAAAUGAUCUAAUAAAGAAAUAAAUUAUUGGAUUAAAACAUUUAAAUAAAAUGUGGGCCAGAUUAUAUGUAUAGAGACCAAAUUCCUUAAAAAUUGUUUUUCAUAACGGGUGAAAUACUUAUGGAAACUAUAGAUAGGGUUAUUAUCCACAAUUCAUGUGUAAUUUCUCAUGUUCUGUGUCAACGCAUCAACAAAAGAAUACAAGAAAAACGUAUUGAAGAGAAAAACCUACAAUCAAGAAGAAGGUAUUGAAGCAAUCAAGAUUAAGGAUGAAGAAGUAAAAAUAAGAACAAAAUUUUAAGAAUCAAAGAAGUUAAAAUUCAAAAUUAAAAGUGAAAAAGCCAAAUAUGAAAGGAUUGUAAUUUAAGCUUCAAGAUUCAAAAUCCGGAAUCAAAAUUUGAUAAUAAGGAAUUAUUCCUAAUGAAUUAAGGUAUUUUCCUUGUUUAAUAAUUCUCUUGGUGAUUUGACUAGAUGAUCUUGACAAUAAGGCCCUCGUCUGGUAGUGCUGAAAAGUGUAAUCCUGACCGUCGCUAAGUGAAAAUCAAACCGUUGGCUGCAGGAAAUGGGUCCCACAAGAUGGCAGGAAAUUUUGACUGCACCAACCAAUCAAGUAAAAAAUUUAAUGAAAAGACCACAUUGUCCCUACACCGUUUAAAUUUUACACCCUCACAAGGAUUUUUUGACAUUUUCAAUAAGAGGAAAAUACGACUGCAACUUUUCUCCCUUUUCUUUGCCAGAUUUGUUGCAGACGCGGGGCCUAUUUUCCUUGAUGCAACGGUAAAAAAUUUCCUAAAAAUCUAGCAACAAUCCCUCCCAGACAAGCCCUAAAUGAAUUUAGGUUAUCAAAUUCUAAAAUUUCUAGUUUUAAAGUUUCAUAAAGUUACAAUAAGUAGCGUCAGAGUCAACUUCAUUUUAAACAAUUGAGAAUAAAGAGAGAAUUUUAGGGUUGAAAUUCAUACUCUAAAUUUCUCAAAAUUUUGGAACGUGAAUUUCAAACCCUAAAUUUCCAAAAUUUGGAUUUGAAGUGCGGUACUCAGUAGCUGUGGCUCCCAUUUUUGGGUGCUACAGUGCCCGGCCUCUGUUCAGUUUUAAAUAUUUUUUAUUAAAACAAAAGAAAGAAAGAAAAAAAAAAACCAAAAGGCUAAGAGGGAAAUCAAAUUCAAAUCUUGUAUUAAAAUUUCAUUUGGAUUGCUAAUUUUCUAAAAAUAAAUAAAUAAAAGCAAUAUAUUACCAAAGUAACCCUUCUUGCUUAAACUAAUUUAUUUGAAAUAUCAGGAAGGUUGUGUGUGCGUGUAUUGAUUGCCUCAAAGGAAGGUUAAUAUUCGAUCGAAUUAUUUGCACACUUGUGGUAAUAAAUUUGGGACAAUUGUAAAAUUUUCCAUUAUAUGAACUGUCCAAAGAUAGACUUGAUAUUUGACCGAAUUUAUUGUCAAUAUUUGAUUACUACACCAAGAAUACUUUUUCAAGUUGAUAUUUCUAUUUAAAAAUUAAAUAUCAAUGUUGUAAUUGAUCUAUUGUGAUGAGACCCACCAUUAUUUGGAAUUAUUGAUUAUCUAAUAAGAGUUCCCAUGUGUACAUCUUAUUUAGGUUUAAUUUUUUUAUUCGAUUAAUUCAUCUAUUUCUAAAAUGUCUGCCAAUUAAUAAAUUAAAUUCCUGUAAUUGAACCAAAGUUUAAAGGGCUGGAAAGAGAACUUUUAAAUCAUUCUUGACGACAUGAAUCUAGACAUUGCGUUAAGGAUUGAACAACCCACUAUUCUUAAGUAUAAGAGUUUCGCUAAUAAAAUGAAACUCGAAUCAGUGGGAUUGUUCAAACCACACAAGUUUUAUGAUCAUGAAGCAUGGAAUUCCAGCAACGUUCAAGUGCACUGUGUCCGAUAAUGUAACUAUUGCCAAGGCGUUUCUUAAAAAAUAAAAAAUAAAAAUGCUUUGCGAAAGACAAUAAAGCUAACCUGACUUAUAGGACCAGCCUAUCUACCGCUUUUAACCCUAUUUGCAUAGUCUCAGUCAACUCUGGAUAUCUUUUUCCAAAGAAUCCCUCAAAUAGUCAGUAGAGGUAUUCCUUAGCACGUUUUUAGCGAAUUUAGUUUCAGUUUAGUAUAAUAGGUAAAGAAAACAUAAGAGAUAUCAUGGAGAUGUCUCGUCUUGCUUCAAAAUUAAAGGCAUUAAAACAUUGGUAGUUUUAUGACUUGCUCAUGCAUUGAGUUUUGACUCUCCUCCUACACAAUUCAAUCAAUUUAAGGCUAGUUAAAAUUGUUAAAGGGGAAGUGAAAUCUUAAUGAGCGUAUUUCAUAUUGUGUGCAAGAAGAACAAAGGCUAAAGCAAGAGAGAAUUGAAAAUACUUAGUUGGCAAGUACUUCUAAGGACAAUUGAAAGAAUAAUCUUGUACAGUACAAAGUAACAGCAAAAGCCAGAAAAUGAUUAAUCAUUGGGCUAUUACUUUUGUGAAAACCUGAACAUAUAAGAAAGAUUGUGCUAAGUACCACGCUUAGCGUGUCAAGAAAGUACAUUUCUUACUUUGAUUUGUUUUGAGGUUAAUUUAAUUUCAAUACCAACACUCAUUUGGUGGGUAAAUUCUGAUGUCACUGCUCACAUAAGUAUGUCUAUGCGAGGUUACCUAAAUAGUCAAAAGUCAAUUGAUGCUGAAAGAUUCAUCUAUAUGGAGUGAUGACAAAUCAGUUAAAGUUAAGGCUAUAAGGACUUUUAGUCUAUUAUUAAAAACUUGUUAUUAUUUGAAUAUGAAAGGGAUACUUGCAGUACCGUCAUUUAGAUGAAGUUUGGGUUCUAUUUUUACAUUCGACAAAUUGGUUACGCUUGUUUAAUUGAAAAUAGUCAGUUUGAUAUUUUUCUUAAUUCAAAUAUUGUGGUUACCACUUCUUUAUACAAUUAUGAUAACUAUAUUUGCUUGAUACGAUUGCCUCUUAUAAGGAAAUCCUACAGUGAAUUCACAUUGUAUUAAGCAUAAAUUAAUCAAUGAGAAUUUCACUUUAUUAUAGCACAAGCGAUUAGGUCACUUCUCUCAAAAGAGAAAGGAACAACUUGUGUCAAAAAGAAUUCUUGAUAUCCUUGAUUUUACGGACUUUAAUGUUUGUGUUAAUUAUAUUAAGGGGAAACAGACAAAUAUAAGGAGAUUAUGUGCCAAUAGGACUUAGUAUGACUUAGAACUAAUUUAUAUGGAUAUAUGUGGAGCAUUUCUCUUAAGCAUCUUGGAAUGCCAAUAGUCUCAUAUUACGUUCAUAGAUGAUUAUUCUCGCUAUGGGUACCUAUAUCUCAUCCAUAAGAAAUCAUAAUCACUAGAAAUAUUUUAGGCUUACAAGGCUGAAGUUGAAGAUCAAGUCGUCAAAAGAAUAAAACAAGUCGGAUCGAAUCGUAUGUUGAAUACAAUGAAAAUUAUGAUGGAUCAGGAGAAAAAUGUACACGGUCUUUUGCUAAAUUCCUAGACGAAUGUGAAUUUAUCCUACAGUACACCUAAAUCUCUAUAGGAAGAAGGACUAAAAUUUGCAGUUUAAAUUCUCAAUAAAGUUCCAAGUAAAGUAACUGUCAAAAUCCUUAUGAGCUUUGAACAUGAAAGAAGCCUAAUUUGAAGCACUUGCGCAUUUGGCGUUUUCCAGUUAAGGCAAGGCCUUAUGAACCAUCGAAAAAUAAACCGGACUCCAAAGUUGUUUGUUGCUAAUUUAUUGGAUACUUUGAAAGGUUAAGGUGUUACAAAUUUUAUGAUCCCAAUAUCAGGUCAAUUUAUGAAACGGGAAAUGUCCAAUUCUUUGAGGAUGUCGAGUUUGAAGGAUCCCAAUAUAAGGUUAAGGAUUUUAUUUUGAAUGAUGAAUAUAUAUAUACACACACACACUAGGGAAAAAUUCUUACUCCAAAACUUAUUCAAGAAUUAAUUUCGAAUCAAGAAAAUAUUACAAAUCCCUUAUAAACAAUCUAAACAUUUUUUCACUAAAACAAACUCAACAACUUUAAGAAUAAAUGCCAUUAAAGAGAUCAAUUAAAGAAAUGAAAAAGGAAAUUCAGAUAGCUUUAUAUUCUCUCCAAGAAAAUAAGAAUAGCAUUGGAUUGGUGGACGAAGAUUUGAUCAAUAAAUUUUCAUUAAGACAUGCAAGGAAUAAUUCUCAAGAGUAGAUUGAUGCCAUGAAUAAAGAGAUAAAAUUCAUGAAAGACAAUGACGUUUGGGAACUCAUCCCAUUGUGUGAAGGUUCAAAAUUCAUUGGUCGUAAAUGGAUAUUUAAAAUCAAGAGGGACUCGAGAGGUGAUGUGAAGGGAUACAAGACUUAUCUUGUUGCAAAUAGCUUUAUUCAAAAGGAAGACAUUGGCCUCAACGAGACUUUCUCUUUGUUUUCUAUGAAAAACUCUUUUAGAAAUAUUAUGACACAUUUGGAUUUAAGUUUAUGGUUGAUCUCAUUAAAGAAUAAGGUAGUACCAGAUGGAAAUUGACACAUUUGGAUCACAUUGCAUGUAAUUUUAACGUUACACAUUCGCAAUUAAUUCAUGUCAUUUGAUUGUGUUGAUAUACAUGAUCAUUGAUGGGUUUAGUUAUGAUACUUGUAAUGAACGUUGCUUUGAUUCUAUAUUGAUAUAAUUGAUGGACGAGAUUUUUUGGAGAUACUUUUGGUUAUGAUAACAAAAGUUUUAAACUCAUAAGGUUAUACAUAUUUAUAAUGUAAUUGUGGUUCAAGUGAGAGGUUGUUGGAAAAAAUUAUUAAUUUUUCACGCGGGCCUACAUAUGUAAUUAAUUGUAUAUAAAGCUAUCUUAAAGUUAAUCACAAAAUUAAAAUGAUCUAAUAAAAAUUAAAUUAUUGGGUUUAGGGCAAAGUGUAGGUCGAAUUAUAUGCAUAGAGACCAAAUUCUUUUAGAGUGGUAUUUCAUGAUGGGUGAAAAUAUAUGUGAAAACUAUAUAUUGAGUUAUGAUUCCCAAUUCAUAUGUCAUAAUCUUUGUAUCAUCCCAUUAACAUAAGAGUACAAGAGAGAACAUAUUAAAGAGAAGGUCCAAAACUCACAAUCAAGAUCAACAAUCAAGAAUUAAGAAAAAGGUAUUGACACAAUCAAGAUUAUGGAUCAAGAAGCAAAAUCAAGAACAAGAAUUUAAGGACCAAAGGAAACAGAAUUCAAAAUUAAAAGUGAAGAAGUCAAAUAUGAAAAGAUUGCAGUUCAAGCUUUAGGAUUCAAGAUCCGAAAUUAAGAUCCAAUAAUAAGGUAAUAUUCCCAAUGAAUUAAGGUAUGUUCCAUAUUUAAUAAUUCUCUUGAUGAUUUGAUUGAAUAAUCUUGACAAUAAAAAAAUUUAGGUUAUCAAGUUCUAAAGUUUCUAAUUUUAAAGUUUCAUAAAUUUACAAUGUCACCUAAUGUUGUUACAACCAUUUUCUCAUUUUAAGCAUGUGUUAGAUAACUUUGUUGAUGAGUGAUGAGUCGUAACAAAAUGGGGAAGAUAAAAAUAGACAAAAUGUGACAUCACUUGACCAAUAAUUUCCUUAUUUUCCCUAUUAUUAUGUACAAAUUCAACUAAAACAUCAACCGGCACCAAUCGCAAAUUUGGAUGAAUUAUCUCUGGGAUCACACAAGUUGGAUUUAUUCAUGUAAAAACACGUCGAAGACAUGUAAAGGUUUCAUCUUGAGAGUAAUUUUGUUGGUACGGACUUGCCGAGCUUGAAUUUAUAAAUGUACGAUUUGUCAAGUUUUAAUUUCAAAUCUUGUUGGUAGGGAUGAAUACAAUUUUGAUCGAGUUACAAUUUGCAUCUGCACACACACAUUUUUUUUUUUUUUUAAGAAUCUUGACUAACUCAAUUUGAUACGCUGAAAUGCAGGUCAUAUCAAACCGCUUAAAAGAUGCUUAUUCAGUAUUUACUCAACGAUUUGAGUUGUAAUUCACAUAUAUAAAAAUAGAUUUCCUGACUCUUUCGAUAACAAUUAGAAAAAAGGGAUAAUUCUUGAGUUCUCAACAAAAACUUGUAUUACCAUAUUUACAAAUUGUUCGGUUAAAUUAGAACUAAACGACAUGAAAUAAUUCGACGUUUCCUCAUUUUCCUUUCAAAUUGAUAAGCUUGAUUGCAUGUUUGUUAAGUGAUAAUUAAAAUUUAAGUUAUUAUAAGUUUGAGCCUAUAAAAUGUGUGAAUAAUUAGUGAGUAAUAAUUUUAAAUUUUACAAAAUUUUAAAUAAAAACCAUGUUUGAUCGAAAUAUUUUGAAUUAUACAAUCAACUUCCCUAUGAACUCGUUAAAAGAAAAUUAAUGUCCUUUUCCUUAUUCUCAAAACCAAACACUCCAUAUGUCCAAGAAAACCAAACAGGCAGUGACGCUGUGCUUGCAACAUUCUGCACACAACCUUAAAAGUCAAAAGUAAGCUCCAACCUUGCAGUCAUGACGUCAAAUCCUUAAUAUCAGUUAACCGUUCUCCAAACAUCUCCUUUCAAAAUUCAUUACCAAUCAAACAAUCUCGUGAUACAUAUUUUGCUCCCGUUUAUGCCCCCAUUUUCUAAAAAUGAAAAAGAGUGGAAUAAUAUUUUUUUUUGAAAUAUAGUGGUUGAAAAAAAGAAAAAUUUUCGAUUUACGUGUAAUGCUAUUUUAUGUAAGAUUGUGUGAUUAAAAAUAGGAUAAAAAAAUAGAAUGUAAUGAAAUGUAAUUUAAUAGAGGUCAAACGGGGUUUAUAAGUAAAUUACUAUUUCAAAAUAUCAGAAAACUCUUUUAGCCAUCAUUUGUUAGGGAUUAAAUCGAAUUUUUAGUAGAUUUUAAUAGAAAUUGAUUAAAUGUGUGGUUGAAAAGUUAUCAUUCCUCAUAAAAUUUAUGGAUUAAAAUUAAUUGUUGAGUUUUCAUAAGAAUCUAAUUUCAUAGUCUAAAUAAACCCAGGUUUGACAUCAUUCUUUUAAAAUUCCUUUUUUUUUUCUCAUACCCAUUUUCAAUUAUAUAGUCUAAUAAUAAUUUUUUUUUUACGUAAAUCUAUUUUUUUUUUUAUAUUUUUAACUAUAUAUUCACUAAAAAUUACUAUUUAAAAACUCAUUUUUACAUAUUAUGCCCUUUUUUGAGAUUCAUUUUGGGGGAAAAUAAUGCAUUUUGAACAGUAGAUUAAUGAAAAAUGUGUGGUUAAAAAUUUGAAAAUUUUUUUGAACUUACGUAAACAUUAUUUUAUUAAAAAAUAUAUGUUUAAAAAUAAGUUUUGAAAAAAUAACUUUUUAAAACAAUGAGACGGCAUAAAAAAGUGGCUGUCAAAUAGGGACUAAAUAAAUAAUAAAUUUAGUUCAAUGUUACUUGUACAUCCGUUCUCUCUUUUCUUUAUUAUUAUUAUUAUUAUUAUUUAUUUUUUUUUAUUUUUUUUUGGUGGACGGUACGCAUCCGACGACCAUUCUUCCUCUUCGGUCAUCCGUUCACAAUUUCUGACCGUAAGUGGAACGGGGCUCGUUGAGUCAAUUACAAGUUAGUAUGAUUCAAGGGUGGAAAGAAAAGUUAGCCGCUAAUUGUUUAACACGUGUGAUGUUGAAUUUAUCAGCUCGGAAAGUGAUAGAAGAAAUGCUUACAUCGUCACGGUCCACAUUUGUUUCAAACUUUGAAUUAUAGCACAAAUUGAGAUAUUACAUUUUUCAUCCAUUCUUUGGGCACGAAUAUUCAACCCCACGGGGGAUUGACCGAUCCCCAAAUCUAGUCAUAAGGGUUGAAAUUUUAAAAACUUAACGUAAUAAAAUUCAUAUAUAUAUAUAUAACAUAAAAAUUAAUUUUAUUAUGUUAAAGUUAUUUUCGAUUUAGAAGUAUGUUUGAUUAAAAUGUAGAGAAAAAUUUUGAGUUUGUGUGUAGAAUAAUUUAUUUUGUGAAUAUGUGAUUGAAAAUGAAUAUUUAAAAUUUUUUUUUUUAAGUAUGAUUGUAAAACAAGGGUUAAAUUUCUUUUGUAAAUUCUAUAACAACGAAUAAGAAAUAAUAAUUUAUCAAUAAUUCAAUGCUCGAAACAAUCAAUAUUCUUAAAAAAGCACCUAGACAAGCAAAAUGCUUUGCUUUAACCGUAAGUGCGAAUGAAGUGGUCGACUGCUAAGUUGAUCACUUAAUGCUCGCUUAAGCACUUUAUUAUUAUUCUUUUUCUUCCCCUUUUUCAAAAAUCUUUUAUUUGACUUUAUUUAUUAAUAUUUUUAAAAAAAGCUUUUAUUUGACUUUAGUGUCAAAUUUAUAAAUGACUUUAUUAUCUAUACAAAAGUUAAAAAUGACUUAUCCGAUUUUGAGACUUAUCAUUUUACUGAAAACUUCGAAAAUAUGUAGAAGUUCCUAUAAAUAUAUUAUGUAUAACUUAUCUAGUUGAAAGUUUAAAUUAUGAAAAAAUAGUUUAGUUUUUGUAUUUCAAAGCUUGAAAAUUGUAUAAUUGUUUAAUUAAAAGAAUUAUUAAGUAAAUAUAAUAUUUCAUAAAUUUAGAUCUUUGGUAUGUAUUAUUUUAAUUAAUAAAUGAUUUUUAGAAUGAUAAAAAAUUUAAAAGAAUAAUAUAAGUAAGCAUCUUAAUUUUUUUUUUUCACAAGCUCCGUAAACUUUGAAACUUGACCUCCAUGCAUAACCACGCUUUGUAUUUGUUAUGACACUGAUAACACAAACAACCCAAAAAAAAAGGCAGCUACGUGUGCAAAGGCCGAUUGAUAGAACUUACACAGAUGAGAUAUAGUUGAAGUGGGUGAUUUUUUCGCACUAUUUUAUUUAUAUGGGCCCAAUCCCCCAAGAGUUCUAUAUUACUUGAUUUACUUCUGUCAAACCAUUUUUGUACAAAUGGAUUUUCUCAUCCAAAUGUAAACAAAAAUCUAACAAAACAACGUCAGCCAUUAAUAAGUUUGACAAUGCAAUAACAAUUCAAACUAUCUAAUGAUAAGCCAACAUCGCAGUAACAAUUCAUUAAUUUGUCGACAAAAUGAAUAACAAUCUAACAAUUUCAUUUCAUAUAAAUUUUUAUAAACACGUUUUCACGGAGAUCAAAAUCAAAUUUUUAUUAGAUUUUGAUAAAAAAAAAAUGAUGAAAUAUGUAGUUGAAAAUCUAAGAUCCCAUAAAAUAUAUAGUUAAAAUUAAUUAUUGAUUUCAAUUUAAACUAAAAUCUAGAUUUUAAUCCCUAUCAAACACUAAAUAUACAACAGCAAUUAUCUAAUAAAUGAAAAAGAUAAACCAUAAUACUUUCUAAGUGCUAAAUUGGUAAACUAACGAUGUGGAAUCGAGUGAAGUACCAUGAAUUAACGGUAUCUAUAGGAGCAUUCUAAGCAAUCUAUUUUUUUUAUGCAUAAAAAAAAUUCAAGAUUCAAUAUACCAUUUAAUAUCAUUAAAGUAAUAAUGAGCAACCAUGAAAUUAGUGCUUUAAUUUUUCAAUAGGGCGCAAUUGCAAAUUAAAUAUAAAGAACAAAAAAUAAAAUAAAAAAUCAGAAAGUCAAUACUAGAAAGCUUGAAAAUAUAAAAUUAGGUAUUUUUCUUUCAUUUUCUAUACAUUUUUCUUGGAACCAUUAUUGAAAAGAUAAAAUAUCAAGUCCGAGACCACCUCCAAUGGUAUACCAAAUUUUAUUUAGUGUAAAAGACCCCUCCGAUGGCACACCAAAUUUGAGGUAAAAUUUGGUGUAAUACUAUUCAUUUGCACCAAUUUCGGUGUAAUUCAUUCUCAUUUUGCCUUCCAUUUUUCUAUCACAACAAUUUUUUUUCCUUCUAUAUCUUUUUUUCUCCUUUUAAAAUUAAUUUAUUUGAAUUUAUUUAUAAUUGUUUUUGAUAUUACUGUUAUUUUUUAUUUAAAAAUUAUUUUUAAAUUCUAAUUAAGUAAUAAAUAGUGAUCCAAUAAAUUAAAAUUGUUUAUUAAAACUAAAAAGUUACAAAUAUGAUAAUUAGAAAUUACUCGAUUUCAAGAAUUCCUUACUCGAUAUAGAGAAAUCAGAAAUAUAGAUGUGCACUUUGCACUUCAAAAUAUAUUAAUUGAUCAUUUGUGGGAUGAAUAUACUAAGUCUGAUAAAUAAGACAAAAAAGUUGUGAUUUUCAUUAUAUGUAACUUUUUUUUUUUUUUUUGCGUUCAAUGUAAUUUUAAUUAGGUAUUUUGUUUAAUUGUUUCCUUUAAUUUAUUAAUAGAUGCAUUAUUUUAGUUCAUUAAAUGUAAUUUUUAAUUUAAUGAUUUUAGUAAUAAUAUAAUUUGUAAUUAAAUAAUUUCAAAUAAAUUGAUUGUUGAGAAAUAUAUAGUAAGAAAAUAUAGGAAAUACUAUUCAUUUGGUGCAAAAUUUGGUGUAACCAUUGGAGACGUUACACCAAAUUGUACCAAAUUCGAUGUAAAGUUGCAUCAAAUAUGACGUAACCAUUGAAGAUACUCUUAGUUUGUGGCAAAUUUUCAAAGAUGGGGGCUGGGUGGUGAGUAAAAUCAAGAAUGAUGAUCAUUUAGAUUUGAAUUAUGUUUUCAAAUGGAUAACGGAUUUAACGGAUGAAGUUUUCUAGAUUAGGUGGGAUUUUAUUUGAAAAAAAUACAUUACUACAAUUCAUUAAUAAUAUAAUUACACAUUUAUUAAACUUGUAAAAAAAUUUCGCACAUCAGAUGUUAAAUCAUUAUAAUAAUAAUACUAAUAUAUAUUUUUAUACAUAUUGCUGAAAUUAAAAUAAGGAAAAAAAAUACAAUUUAAAUAGGGAUAUAUUAACAAAUAUUAUUACAUCCUAAAAUAUAGCAUUUAUUUCCUUUUCAUAACAUAUUUUCUCAUUUAAAAUAUUUCUUACGUCCUUUCUCUAUCUAUCACCACAGUUCACUCAUUCCAUUCCAAUCACAACGAAUUUAUCACACAAAUUGGCUACAAAUUGAUGGUUCUAUUGCAUCAACAACACGUUUCCACUGAUUAAGUCACAUUGGCGUUGUAGAUUUUUGAUAUUCAUCUGCCUACAGUUGUUGAAACGAAUUGAUUAUAGAUUCCGAUGAUUCCAACUCUCCAUGUUUCAAAAUCGAGUAAUUACACUUUCAUUCCAACUUAUUUCGGGUCACUGGACUCUACAUAAUUUCUAUUUCGACUACAUUAACAUCUAUCAAGGCACUUAUAAGUGCUUAUAGGUUCUCCAAUGAGUGAAUUAUUCAAAUGGUCACUAAACUUUGUAAAAAGUUUUCACGGGGUUACUGAAAUUUAUAAAUCAUCCAAUUCAUCGCGUAACUUUGCAAAAGAUUUCCACAAUGUCACUGAACUUAAAAAUAACGUAAUUCAUCACCAAACUUUACAAAAGGUAUACCAAGCUUCACUAAAUUUAGUGACUAUUGGGAUACCUUUUAUAAAGUUCAGUGAUCCGUGGAAAUCUUUUGCAAAAUUCAGUGAUAAAUGUGGUGAUUUUUAAAGUUCGCUGACCCUGUGGAAACCUUUUGCAAAGUUCAGUGAUGAAUUAUGUGAUUUUUGAAAUUCAACGAUCCCGUGAAAACUUUUUACAAAGUUCAAUGAUCAUUUGGAUAAUUCAUUCUUCUCUAACCAAUCAUAUAUCUUUGACCAUUCAUCUUAUUUGUGAACUUCUUCUGUACAUCAUACAUUCAAUUUGUAGCCGUUGCUUUUAUUUCUUAUCUUAUAAUUUUUAACCUUCAUUACGAUUGUGACAUUUCAUGCGUUCUGAUAAGGAUCGUGAUGUGUAUUUCGUUGAAUGUGACAUGUAAUGUGUUCAAUAUGACUUGUAUUAUGUAACUAUGACGUGUUCUACCAAAUACAUUAUCAAAUUUUCUCCAUACAAAAAGCAACAUAAUAUCAGUGGAUAUCAGCAUGAUUAAUUCUAUCCAUAUACACUAACUUUCUAAUCCAAUUGUACUUGUUUCGCACAUUAAAAUAAUAAAUAAAAAAAUUCAAAAUGCAAUACUAAACAUGAAAAACAGCCAUCCGUAGUAGAAAAGGGUAGAAUAUCCAUGCACAUGUAUAUAUCGACCAAUAUUCAUCUACAUUAACGUCUACCCAUAAACGAAAUUUCAUUGUCAAAUAUUAUAGGUACAUAAAAUCAAUCAUUUGUUUUCAUUUUUCUAGCCUUCCAAUCACUUUGUGUUAUGAUUGUAAAACCAAUUAAUUGUGGCAUAUGUAAUAUUAUUAAAUAAUUAAUUAAAGUGGUUUAUAUUUCUUAAAUCCAAUUGGCCCAUUUGAGAAGUGACAAUUUUAUAACCGUCCACUUUGAUGGAAAGUAAGUAGUUUUAUAGCCCAUAAGAAAUUAUCUCUCUCCGUUAUAAACUUGAGUGAAAUUUAUCUUAUAUUCAUUCAAUUACAGAAAGGAAAAUGGAGAGAACAAUUUAUUUAAUUUAACAAUUUUUUUUAAUUUUUUGCAAAUUUAAUUACUCAAUUAUUGUCAUGGAUCAACGUAUGUUUUUUGAUCAAUUAACUUAUAUAUGUGAAAAUCAUGAAUUUUAAAAUCUUGGUAUUAGGGUUUAAUUGCUUACAUGUGGUAUCAGAGUGAAGUUAUGAAAUUCUUGAUUUUCUUUUAAAUAUUUACUGUUUUUUAUGGAAUCUUUAAUUUUCUUAUUGAUUUAUGGAUCAAGUCAUUCCAUCAAAUCCCAUUUGCUCACUGUGUGAAAUUAUCGCCUCUCAAGAUUUGGGAAAAACUGCACUGUUUUCAAUUCUAAUUGGGAAAAUGCAAGUAUGAACAAUGAAUUAAAUGGCGAUUGGGCCUUUCUAUGGAUCUGAGAGAAAGAGACAGCAACGUAUGAUUUAUGCUAAUUAAUUAAUGGACGGCUUGACUGUACAAUUUUGGUGUUGCGGUUUUUUCAGUUUCGGUGGCUUUGUGUUUUAUUCGAAACAUUAUUUAUCGUCGAUAAUUAAUUUAAAGAAAUUGGAAUUUUGUUGGGUUCUUGUGAACUGUUUAUUCCAAGUCUGAUUGAUGUUUGCCAUUUAAUUGUAAUUUGAAUUUUUCUUUCCUGUAAUUACCGUAUAUGCAUGAAUAAUUAAUGGUAAUAUAUGAUAGUGCCUGCCUUUGACUUUGAAUUAUGAAUUAAGUUAGAUUACGUCUAAUUUUAAUAACAUUUUUUUAUGCCUUGUUUAUUUAUUAUCGAUAGUGAAUAAACAUAAUGUGGUAAUUAAUUUAUACUUGGUAAUUCGGAUCGAAAGAAUUUCAUCCAAAGUUUUGAUAAAUGUGUUAAAUAAAUGUCUUGUUUAUGUAAGUAAUGUUCAAUUAAUGUUGUCUGUUAGUCACCAAAGUGGUCAAACCUUAUGGUAUUUCGAACACUAAAUUGUAUAAUUUAUUUGUCAAUUACUCUUGAUAAUCUGAUACUUAUAAAUGAAGAUGACAUUUUGAUUAUUAUUGACAAGAGUAUAUUGAUGUUUAUAGAUUAUAAAAUUAUUAUGGAUCGCCCAAAUGUUGAUCAGUUAAUUUUAUUAAUCUUAAACAUGAUCGUGAUUAAUUGAUUCACAUGGUCGGAUGUGUUUUGUAUAUCCAAAGAUAUCAUAUAUGUUUGAUUAAAGUAUAUUUAAUUACCAAUUAAGUGAAAUUAAAUUAAUAUCGUUAUAUUUAUUAUAAUGGUAUAACGUAGUGUCGUCCAAAUGAGAACUACGGUAUACAUUUAUUGUUAUCUGAAUCUGAACUUAAGUGUUUAAAUCUAAACUGAAAGCAUUAAUGUUAGAGCAUUUUAAAUUUUGCAGUAUUUGUUCUCGUUUCUUUGCAUUCGCAUGCUUCACCACUGUUCAAUGGGCUUAAUUUCUCUGACCGGUGUGAAUAAGUCCAAUUCAAUUUAGAUGUUUUGGACUUAGACUUGGCACUUCAAGUUGAGAAACCUGCUGAUCUUACUGAUGAAAGCAGUGUUGAUAAAAGCUCUUUCCAUAAGGCUUGGAAAAAGCCUAACAGAUUAAGCCAAAUGUUAAUGCUGAUGACUUUAGCAAAGAAUAUCAAGUCUAAUAUCCCAAAAAUUGAGAUUGCUAAGGAAUAUAUGAAGUUUGUGGAAGAACAUUCCCAAAUAGCUGACAAGGCACUUGCUGGCACAUAGAUGGGUACCUUUACCACCAUGAAAUUUGAUAAUUUUCGUACCAUGGAUGAGCAUGUUACUAAAAUGAGUAAUAUUACAGCAAGAUUUAAGACUUUUGGGAUGAAUGUCGAAGAAAACUUUCUAGUACAGUUUAUCAUCAACUCCCUCUCUCUUGAGUAUGGUUCAUUCCAUAUGAAAUAUAAUACCUUAAAAGAUGAACGAAAUGUGAAUAAAUUGCACAGUAUGCUCGUACACGAUGAGACAAGGCUUAAGAAUCAAGGAAAUCAUUUUGUUCAUCCCGUAAGUCAUUAAAGAAUUGGAAAGAAAUAUAAGAAAAGGUUUGAAAAAAGCAUUAAGUAAGGACCACUAAAGAUAAAUGAGUCUUUUGCCCAAAUCCACAAUAAGGAAUACAAGAAAGAUACGUGCGAUUUUUGUCACAAACUUAGGCACCAUAAAAGGGACUGCCUGAAAUGUAACACAUGGUUUGAAAGUAAAGAUAAUAUUAUUUCUUAUGUAUGUUUCGAAUCUAAUUUGGUAAAUCCAAAUGAAAAGUAUGUUCUCAGGGGAAAUCGUGUCAAAGCUCCGUUGAAGUCAUUUGAACCUAUCGUUUGAUUUUAGAUACUAGACAUCAUAUAAAUUUAAUUCUAACUCUUUAUGUACCUUCUAUUUCUCGUAAAUUAGUUUCUUUAUCGAAAUUUGAUUCUGGUGAAUAUUAUUUUAAUGGUGGAAAUGGAUGUUUAAGUUUGUUUAAACAAAAUCUUCUUAUCAAUUCUGCUAUUCAUUGUGAUGGCUUAUAUAAACUAAAGUUUGAUAGCAUUUUCAUCGAGACUCUUUUAACCUUGCAUCAUAAUAUUGGUACUAAACGUGAUUUGUUAAAUGAAGAAUCUGCUAACUUAUGACAUAAACGUUUGGCUCACAUAUCCAAGGAAAUGAUACAAAGAUUGGUAAAGAAUGAAAUCCUUCCCGACUUGAAUUUUAUUGAUCUUGGAACUUGUGUGGAUUGCAUUAAGGGUAAACAAAUCAAACACACAAAGAAAGGAGCCUGGAAUGGGCUGACCAACUCAAAAUUGAGCCCUGAUGGUGCUUCCAUAUAGAUAUAGACCAUAUGGAUGAUGGUAAGCAAACAAACAACGAGCUGACAUGGCAAAUAAAUCCACCCUUGAUGCAAAAGUGCUACAAGAAGCACACAGCUUCUUGAGGUAAUACACGUCGAUCUAUAUGGGUCUUUUGAUGUUCUAUCCUUUAGUGGAGAAAAAUAUUUUAUCACUUUAUUGACGACUUUUCACGUUAUGGUUAUGUCUAUCUGUUGCAUGAAAUGUCUCAAGCUAUAAAUGCUUUAGAGAUCUUUGUUAAUGAAGUUGAACGACAAUUAGACAGAAAUGUGAGAAAUGUUAGAUCUGAUAGAGGUAGUAAAUACUAUGGAAGGUAUGGUGAAACUGGACAACACCCUGGUCCAUUUGCUAAAUUUCUUAAGAGACAUUGCAUAUUUUCUCAAUACACUAUGUCAUGCACACAACAACAAAAUGGUUUAGCCAAAAGGUAUAAUCGUACUCUAAUAGAAAUGGUUAGGUGUAUGUUAAGCAAUUCAUCUUUACCCAUUUUUUAUUGGAUGUUUGCAUUAAAGACCACUAUGUAUUUGCAAAAUAGGAUUCCUAGUGAGGCAGUUCCAAAGACUCAUUUUUAACUGUAGACGAAAAGGAAACCCAGUUUAAGGCACCAGCAUAUUUGGGGUUGUUCGAAAUAAGCAAGAAUUUAAAAUCCACAUGAAAAGAAACUGGACUCAAAACAAUCAGUGAAUUUUUCAUUGGUUAUCUUAAAAAAUCAAAGGGUAUAGAUUUUAAUGUCAUAACCGUAGUACUAAAAUUGUUCAAAUUGGAAAUGCUAAGUUCAUUGAAAAUGGUGAAGCUAGUGGGAGUUCGAAACCACGAAAUGUGGAAAUACAAGAAGUUAGAGUUCAUGUUUCUCUACCCUCAACUUCUUCUAAUAUUUUUAUUUUUCGAAUUGUUGAAGAGUAUGACAAUUUGCCAGGACAACAAAUAAAUGAUCAAACAUCUCACAAUGAAGUUGCUAUUGAUGAACCUGCACUAAAUGAACCAUAAGAAAUAGCAUUAAAAAGGUCAUAAAGACAUCAUAGGACUUCUAUUUCUGAUGAUUAUGUGGUUUACCUACAAGAGUCUGAAUUUGACUUAAGAAUCAUUGAUGACAAUUCAGUUUCAUUUUCACUAGCCAUCGAGAGUGCUAAUUCUGAUAAGUGGCUAGAUGCCAUAAAAGAUGAGUUGAAAUCUAUGAAGCAUAAUGAAGUCUUGAAUCUCAUCGAAUUACUUGAAUCAUUAAAAGAAUUGGGUGUAAAUGGCUUUUUAAGACCAAACGCGACUCUAAUGGUAAUAUCGAACGAUAUAAGGCUAGACUUGUUGCCAAAUGUUUUACUAAGAAAGAUAGUAUUGAUUAUAAAGAAACAUUUUUGCCAGUCCUUAAGAAAGACUCACUCAGAAUUAUAAUGGCUUUAGUAGCUCAUUAUAACUUAGAGUUACAUCAAAUGGAUGUGAAAACUGUUUUUCUAAAUGGAAAUUUAGAUGAAGAAGUUAUAUAGAUCAGCAUGAAGGUUUUUCAAUUAAAGAAAAGGAACACAUGGUGUAUAAGUUAAAGAAAUUAAUAUAUAACAGGCUUCCUGUCAAUGGUAUCUUAAAUUCAACGAUACCAUUACUUCCUCUGGAUUUAAGGAAAAUAUCGUUGAUCGAUGUAUAUAUCUAAAGGUCAGUGGGAACAAGUUUACAUUUUUAUUUUGUAUGUUAAUGAUAUCAUGCUAGCUACUAAUGAUCUUGGUCUAUUAUAUGCAAUGUUUUAAAAAUCGACUCGUAUAUCGACCCGAAAAAGAAAAAGGGUCAAUGGUCAAACGGUCGAACUGGGGUCCACCCGAGGUUAAACCGAAUAUCAAAAUUAAAUAAAUAAAUACUUCAACAAACUCUAAAAUAUUAUAACAAUAACAAAUUUCUAAAUUGUAGUAUUACUAAUUCAAAGUAAAUAUAAAUCAAUAUUUGUCAAUUAGAUUUAAUGAUUUAUUAUCCUAUAAUUUUUUUUAAAAUAUCAAAAACUAACAAUUGUUGUGUCUAAAAUAAUUUGCUUUGUUAAAAUUGAAAUUAUUUGUGCUUUUGGGGCCAAAAUUUCUUUAAUAGAAAGAAAAAAGUGAACAAUUAUUAAAUUUAUAAAUUGCAAAGGAUUUUACAAUUUAUUCCAUAUUAAAAGUUGAGGAAAACAUUGCAUGUUUCUUCUCUUUUAAAAACAACACUUAUACUUAUCCCACGUUGUAAGUUGAGGAAAACAUUGUAUGUCUCUCCUCUUUUAAAAACAACACUUUUAUUGGAAGGAACAUAAGAUUGGGCUUACCAAUGCUUGAGCCCAUUUAUCAAAGUAAUUAUACUUUUAUUAUUAUUAUUGUCUUUUUUUUUUUUGAAAAAAACCAAUAAAAAUCGUGAUCGAUUUUUCGGUUUCCGGUUAAAAUGGCUGGUUCGACCGGUUAUUUAUUGAUUUUUUUCAUUUUCGAUUAAUUUAUUGGUAUUGGACCGGAUUUGAGGCUGAUUUCCAGUUUUUUCGGUUGAACCGGCCGGUCCGGUCCAAUUUUCAAAACAUUGAUUACACGAGACUAAGAAAUUUCUCUCUAAAAAUUUUGAAAUGAAAGAUAUGGGAGAGGCAACCUAUGUGAUUGGAAUUGAAAUAUUUCAUGAUAGGUCACAUGGAUUAUUGAGGUUGCCUCAAAAGGCAUACAUCAACAAAGUUUUAGAGAGAUUUAAGAGGAAAAAUUGUUCAGCGAUUGUUGUUCCAAUUAAAAAAGGAGACAAAUUUAGUCUCAUGCAAUAUCCUAAAAACGAAUUGGACUGCAAACAAAUGAUAGCUAUUCCUUAUGCAUCUCUUGUUGAAAACUUAAUGCAUGCUUAGAUUUGCACCAGACCAGACAUUAGUUUUGCCAUUGAAGUGCAGGGCAAGUAUUAAAAUAACUCGGGACUUGAUCAUUGGAAAGCUGCAAAGAAAGUAUUGAGAUACUUGCAAGGAAUGAAAGAUCACAUGCUCACUUAUAGAAGAUCUGAUAACUUAGAGGUCAUUGGGUAUUCAGAUUCGAAUUUCACUGGAUGUGUGGAUACUAGAAUGUCCACAUUUAGUUAUCUGUUCCUUUUGGCUGGAGGGCUAUAUCAUGGAAAAGUAGGAAGCAGUCAGCCUUUGCUGCAUCCACUAUGGAAGCUAAGUUUGUGGCAUGCUUUGAGACUACAGUUCAAGGAAACUGGCUGUGGAACUUUAUUUCAGGACUUGGAAUUGUCGACAAUAUUGUCAAGCCGCUUAAAAUUUAUUGUGGCAAUUCUAUGACGAUCUCCUUUUCAAAGAACGAAAAGUAUGUUAAAGGUGCUAAACACAUGGAACUAAAGUACUAUGCCGUUAAAGAAGAAGUUCAAAAACAACAAGUGUCAAUCGAGCAUAUUAAUACCAAUCUUAUGAUUGCAAAUCUACUAAGGAAAAGAUUACCACCAAAGACAUUUAAUGAACAUGUCGAAAGAAUGUGUAUUAUUGGAAAUGAUCAUUGACAUUAUUAUGCAAUUUAUGGAUUGACACUUUGAGCUCAUUUAUGUAUUAUAUUUGACAAAAUACUAUUCUUGUCAUAAUUAUUGGUACAUGUACAUAAAUGGAUUAUAUAAAUGCUAACAGGGAUAGUCCUUUUAAAGAUAGUAUUGGAAUGUAAUUAUUGAACUUCUCACUACGCGUCAUGUCAAGUAGGGACUAUUAUUGUAGUACAUGGAAGGAAUUCUAUCGAUAUGAUGGUGUAAAAUCGCCACGACUCUUAUUAGUCUUAAGGAUGAUAAUUAAGUGGCCAAUGUACGAGGGAUUUGCUUAUGAUAUGUGCAUUAUGCUAUAGAUCACAUAACGAAGCAGUAUUAUAUGGGCCAAGUGGAAGAAUGUAAAACCAAUUAAUUGUGGCCCAUGUAUUACUAUUAAAUAAUUAAAUAAAGUGGAAAUUACAUAUUUCCAGGUAUAUGAAGAACUGAGUUCACAAGCUAGGUUUGAAAUAUUUAUAUGCACAUCUCCGGUUUCUAUUAUGUUAUUAAAAUAUUAAUAAUUAAUUUUUUGUUAAAUAAUUAAAUCAUACGUAUAGUAACUGGUGCCUUAAUUAUCGCAAUUAGGAUAUCCAUUAAGUUAACUUCUAUAAUAUACUAAUUCCUCUCUCUCUCUCAAUAUCUUCUGCACGAUUCCAAACUACCCAAAACUUUUGCCCCAUGAAUCCGCUUCGAUCGUUCGAUUUCACAUCCGGUAAUUUCGAAGUCUCUCGUUUUCCAUUUUGCAACUGUGUUAUCAGCUUCAUUCGUAGUAGUAUAUAAUCUGUUCAAGUACUUUUCGCCCAAUUUUUUUGCUUGGGAUCAACAAGCGAAGUGAAAUGGAGGAAUUGAAGGGCACAAAACCGGUUACUAAUGUCGAAGACAUGUCAAAACGAACAAAAAAGAGGAAAUUUGAGCAGAGCCCCAAAAGAACCUCACCUAAGAAGCACGUCGUUUCGGUGUCCGCGAGAAAAGUGCGAUCAAACAAGGUUUUUUAAAUUUCUGGUGUAUGCGUUCUGAUUUUAGUGGCACACAUGUUGGUGGAAUCAUGGGUUUAGCACUAUUGAACAUUAAUUUGACAUCUGUAAACUUAAUCUGUUGUAAUCGUAGGAUUAAAGUUUCGUCACCUCAUUGUGUGUGAACAACAUGUGUGCUAAAAUGUGUUUUGUUUACCCCGUCGAUGAACAUGACCAUCAUCAACAAUGAAGGUUCAUGUGAUGAUUAUGUCAACCUGUGACCGAGACAAAUAUGAAUUUGUGGCCUUAAUCAAUGGAUGACAUUAUGCAUGUACUGAACUGAUUGUUAACGUAAUUGUUGAAGAGUUUUAUGUGACCAUGAGCUCCAAUUUGUGACUACGUUUUUUAACACACUUAUGGCGUGUGACCAUGAUAUCCAUCGGUCACUAAGGUGGUUGUGUAUAUGAGGCUUGAAUUCAUAUUAUUACGCAUUCCUGCGACCAUGUUAUUAUUGUCUUACGAUAUUGUGAAUAUGUUUUGUGGCGUGAGUACACGAUUACAUAUAUAUGUGACCCUUUCAAAAUAAUCAGUUUUCUAGGCUGACUGUGUGAUUUGACUACGUUUGUGUGUAAACAUGUGUGCUGAAAUGAGUUUUUAUUACACCAUCUGUGAACAUGACCAUUAUCAACAUGAUCAUGUGACCAAUAUGUGAAUCUGUGACCGAGACAAUUAUGAAUUUGUGCCUUUAAUGGAUGACAUAGUGCAUGCAUGUGACCUGAUUGAUAACAUAGUUAUUGAAUAGUUAUAUGUGACCAUGAUAUCGAAUUAUGAAUAUGUUUUUGUGGUCUAAGUGCACAGUUGCAUACAUAUGUGACAUGUACAAAACAAUUUGUUUCAGGCUAACUGUACAGGUGCAUGCAUAUCUAAGUGUUUGUGCUUUCACUACAUUUGCUUAACAUUACGUCAUUCUAAAAACUUCGUGUAGGCCUGGAAAUUCAUCAUUCCAGAGGAACAGUGGUUCCCAGGCAAGAUUACAACAUCAGUGACCAAGGGUGUCUUGAAAAGUAUACAAACAAACUUAACCAACCAUCAGAAGCAAAUCAUGAGGAGAACCUGCUUCGCACAUUUCCUCGACUGCGAUGAAAUUGUGGUACAACAACAGCUAAUUCACUUUUUUCCUAUUGAGGCAGGUAUAUCAACCCAAUCCUGAAGAAUUGUGGUUUUAGUUGCCGGGCGAUAUGUAAGAUUUUCUAUAGCUGAGUUUUGACUGGUCACGGGAUUGAGAUGUUCCGGCAACAGUGACAUCAAUAUUUUUGAAAGUAGACCGUCACAAUUGAAGACAAAAUACUUUUCUCAGGUAGGUAGUGUAACACAUGAAGAUGUGAAGUCCACAUUUAUAUCUGCCUGCCAAAUGCCGGACUUAGAUCUUGUCGAAGCCCUCCUUGAUCAUGAUGUUGCACUGAUUAGUAUCCUCUAUUUUAUUACUGCCUAUUUGUUUCCUAGAGAUUAUAAGAAAGUUGUCGAUCACUAUUUGUUCACACUCGUUGAAAACUUCCCUACACUGAAUAGUUUUUCGUGGGGAAAGUUACUGUCCGAUGUUACUUUGAGUUCUUUGAAAGAUGGGUUGAGUCGUCGAACAACACACUACAGGCUACGAGGUAUGUUGGUAGCCUUUCAAGCAUGGAUCUACGAAACCUUCCCUGGUCUAGAUGAAGUUAUUGUCACGAAGAUAUCAACAACGCACCCCCGAAUAAAAAACUGGUUUGCAAACGAGCAACCAUCUGCUUCUAAGUUGGAGGAGCCUGAUUGCUUCAAGAAGCCUAAUGUAAUGGUCCAAUAAUUCUUUUUGUCUGAUAGUUGAAUAUAUGUAAAAAUUAUUGUUUUCUAAUCUCUACUGGAAUGCAGAUGCAGAUCUGUGACCUGGUACCAAGUGAAGCGGAAAUGGCGAUGCCAUAUAUGGAUGGGGUGCAGUAUAACAAAACAAAUCAACCGGAGUUUUCCUGUGGCAGCUAUCGAAGGAAAAACAGGAAGCGAAAGUCUGCUAACCCUGCUUGCAUGAGUGGAGAAUAUGUGCCUUUGGUAAUGGACAUUGGCGUUGGACCUGCUCAUGUUGCAGAUGACGACGAUGAUUUCGUGGAUCCUCCACGAAGAUGUGAGGUGACUUCACAUCAGGAAACAUCCAAUGCUGCUGAAGGCCCUUCGGCCCCCCAACAUUCACCAAAUGAACCACAAUAUCAUGGGACGGAACGGAGUGAUCAGACAAAAAAGAUUAUGCAAGAACAGAUAAAAUGUGACAUGACGGAAAUUAGGACGAAUAUGCAAUUCUUGUCCGAGUCUGUGACUGCAAUGAUAUCAAGUACUAUGGAUGAGAUUUUAAGGCUUUUCAACGAUAGGAAAGGUCGUCAUGUUAAAGAGUUUGGAGAUACGGAAGCUACUGUAGUUGGAGGUGAAGAAAGUCAUGUUGUCGAAGAAGUUUACAAGAUUGAUGAGGUAGGUAAACAAUAUGUUCAAUCCAUCCUUCACUGACCGUAUUUACAUUUUUUCACAUGUCAUAUUCUCCAAUUUCACAUGCAAGUGGGAAAUCAGGAACCUGUUGUUGACAGGAAAGGGAAGGGAAAGGUCGACCCAACUGAUGAUGCUACUUUUGAAUGUAGUCUUCAACCGCCAUCAUUUGACUUGGGUUUUAGAUACACACAAUUGGAUGUUUCUCACUCUGCAUAAAUUCAAAAGCGGGUAGAUGCUGUCAUAUCUGAUGUGGUCACAGCAUCUGCAAAUGUUGAGGAAGAGGUAUUUCCAUUUUGUUCUUUGUGCUGCAUGCUGGUCACUGAAUGUGUAGGUCACGAACGGUACACGUUUCGAAAUACACAGAUCACACGCAUCCAUGAAUUCAUGUUACAUUCAUUCUGCAUAAACUAACAUUUUAUCUUUUUCAAUACAGAGGAAUCUCCAACUUCUGAACCGCCUUCUGAAUUACCAAUGAAGCGGGUGUCAAGGCCAACGAGGAUUUUGUGUUCUCCAUUUGUUGCGGGUGCAGGAAAGUUAUUCCGGCAUGACGAUAACAUUAUUGUAUUUGGAAGUUACAAAGACAAUGUUGAAGAAGGUGAUAAGUCGACAUUCUUGGGUUGGUUCCAGAGAGGGUACAAGCCCAAAAACAGGCACGAAUAUUUUCUUCCCUUUCUUCAAUCUAUUGCUCAUAUGGUCACAGUAAAUUGUUCUUACAUUUCUGGUUUCAGGAAAAAGUUUAAUGAGCAUGAUGACGUAAUCAAACCAGCUUUUGUUAUUGGCUCAUAUCCAGUCGGUAACAAAACAUGGUUCCACCAACUCGUAGACCCUGAGACGUCUUUGAAUAGCGGGGUAUGGUAACAUUCAUGUAUUUGUUCACCUUACAAUUACUUGUUAACAAAUGAGACCACGUUACGACUCUGCUACCACAUCAUGCACGAACUACUAUGCGGUUCACUGACAUAGUGGUCUCAUAAGUAUAUGUUUUGUUCAACAAGUCACAUACCAACCUGGUCACAAGUCACAGAAUCACAACUUUAUGAAAUUUUCUGAUGUUGUUCUUAUUUCUUAUCUUCCUGAUCACACAGCACAUGGAUGCAUGCUUCUACUACAUUCGGCAGCUAGCAAAAUUUGGGAAAGUAUAGUACAGAGCUACAACAACAAACUCCUCUUUCCAGAACAUGAUAAAAGACAUAUACCCCGCUUUCAAAAAAGAUCCUAAUGUUCUGUUGUCAGGAAGCCGGUUGUUCCAGGUGGUCACAGGUGAUAGCAUAACUAUGAGCACACCUUGGGCUGAUGUAGAUUAUGUGUUCAUGCCUCUCCUGCCCACGAAUAAAGCUCACUGGUUGCUAGGUCUGCUAGAAUUCAGAAGCCACAGAUUGAUCGUGUUCAAUUCAGCUGGUAAAACUUACCAUGACUGGAAGGUGCUAAAAGGUGUUGAGCCUCAUGUGAAGAUAUUGCCUGCUCUUAUGAAUGCAUUGGGAAUUUCGAAAAAAGACCCUGACUAUAAUGGAUCUGGGUGCAUGGAAUUGAAGGUGACCGUUGACACUGCCAUACCCCAACAGAUGAAUGGGUGAGUAUGUGACCAAUACUACAUACAUAACAUAUUUUAAUAUUAUUUCAUAACAUACUGUUUUGUGUUAUUCCACAGUCAUGAUUGCGGGGUGUUCGUCAUAUUAUAUGCUUUAUAUAUCCUUCGAGAUGGCAGAUCUUCUAUAACACAGAAAUUUGAUGUCGCCAAGUGUAGACUUGAUAUUGCAUCGCUACUCUACAAACAUCGGGAGACCUAUGUGAAGAAUCCGAGGCAGGCCACAAAAGGAGAGGGCAUUGUCAUUGAAUGAGGAUUGUCACAAAAGUUUUUGUAAACGGAUUUUAUGCUCGAAUAUGUAGUCUUUUAUAAAUCAAUGGGGGUGAUUGAUUUGAACAUUGUCUUAUUGAUGUAAACUCAUUUUUUGCAUUCCAUGAGUGCCACUACUUUUAGUAUGUAAUGAACCGUUGUUUGGACACAUAGUAGUGUGACUAGUCAUCGAUUUCGUUUGCAUGUUAACAUGUCUUAUGAAUAUCAUGUCACAUAUUCACAUUGCGACACAAAGCAUAUUAAUAACAGGUCAUAGAUUGCAUUGUUCAAUAAAGGCACAGGUCACAGUUUAUAUUUUUCUACUGACGGGUUCGUCACAUAUUUAAUUUCCCGCACGGGACUUAUGAAUAUUAGGUCACAGAUUACUGUGUUCACUACAUAUUUUGUUUUGUGACCUGUUUACAAAUAGUUCAAGAUUUUAUAAAUUUUGUUUGUAAUGCUGCACGUUAACAUCAGUCACAUGUCUUAUGAUUCUGAGGUCACAUUUCAUGUUCUGCAGCAUUGAAAAUAUAUUAAUAACAGGUCACAGAUUACAUUGUUCAAUAAAGGCACAGGUCACAGUUUAUGUUUUUCUACUGACGGGUUGGUCACAUAUUUAAUUUCCUGCACGGGACUUAUAAAUAUUAGGUCACAGAUUACUGUGUUCACUACAUAUUUUGUUCUGUGACCUGUUUACAAAUAGUUUAAGAUUUUAUUCUAAGCAAAUUUUGUUUGUAAUGUUGCACGUUAACAUCAGUCACAUGUCUUAUGAUUCUAAGGUCACAUUUCAUGUUCUGUAGCACUGAAAACAUAUUAAUAACAGGUCACAUAUUACAUUGUUCAAUAAAGGCACAGGUCACAGUUUAUAUUUUUCUACUGAUGGGUUGGUCACAUAUUUAAUUUCCCGUACAGGACGUAUGAAUAUCAGGUCACAGAUUACUGUGCUCACUACAUAUUUUGUUCUGCGACCCGUUUACAAAUAGUUUAAGAUUUUAUUCUGAGCAAAUUUUAUUCUGAGGUCACAUUUCAUGUUCAGUAGCACUGAAAACAUGAAUGUCAGGUCACAGAUGACAAUGUUGAGUAGAAAUACAAGUCACCAUUUUGUGACCUGGCACCAACAAUUGAAGAUUUUGUAGUGAUCUUGUGGUCACAUGUUAUUUCCUAAUUUAUUUUUCUUUUGAUACACGAUAAUGCGAUUGGUCACAGUUGUAGUUUGUAAUAGAAAUAUCACGUCAUAUGAUUAUGAGGUCACAUAUGUGACUAUGAGGUCACAUGUUUACAUAUGAUUAUGAGGUCACAUAUGUGAUUAUGAGGUCACAUGUUUACAGAUGAAAAUGUUCAGUAGAAACACAAGUCAUCAUUCUGUGACCUGAAACCAACAAUUAAAGAUUUUGUAGUGAUCUUAUGGUCACAUGUAAUCUCCUAAUUUAUUAAUCUUCUGGUACACAAUAAUGCGAUUGGUCACAGUUGUAGUUCGUAAUAGCAGUCACACGUCGUAUGAUUACGAGGUCACAUAUUUACAGCGAACACAGUAAUACGACUAGUCAUCGAUUUAGUUUGCAGUUUCACAUAUUCUAUGAAUAUUAGGUCACAUAUUUACAUUGCGACACAAAACAUAUUAAUAAAAGGUCACAGAAUACCUUGAAUAAUACAGGCACAGGUCACAGUUUAAGUUUUUCUAUUGAAAGUGUGGUUAUAUCAGGUCACAGUUUAUAGUGUUCAGUUAUUUCCUGCUCUUACGAAUGCACUGAAAAUCUCGAAAAAAGACCCUGAUAUGAAUAUCAUGUCACAGAUUUAUGUGUUCACUGUAAAUGAUGUAGGUUCCAUAUGGAGGUCUUCAAGCUCUUCUUCUGCGCAAAUUUUGAUCGUAAUUCCGCACGUGAAUAACAGUCAUAUGUCUUUUGAUUAUGGGGUCACAUAUUAUGUUCUGAAGCAGUUGUAGUUCGUAAUGCCACAUGUGACUAGCAGACACACAUGUCGUACGAUUAUGAGGUAAUAUAUUUAGUUUUGCAGCACUAGAUAUACGAAUGUCAAGUCACAGAUUACAGUGUCCACUAGAUAAGAUAGGCCACAUAUCAUUUGAAAGACAUUUGGUCACAAGUGAUGUCAACGCUGUUAUUCCAGUAAUGUUUCAAAUUCAAGAAUAUGACAUAUGGUCACAAUUGAAUAAUGUUUCUUAUUCAAGAAUGAAAACUUUGGUGUUUUUAUCAGGCAUUGGUCCCUACUAUGAGUUGUCUUUUUCAAACGUUGUUACUCUGUCGAACGCUCUUGUUUAAUGGAAGAAAAUUUGAGCAUCUCCUGCGGUUGUGUCCAUGUUCACCACACCGUCCACAUCUUACUUUCGGUUUGCCUUCCCUAGAUGAUCUCUUCCUCUUCUCUGUAGGUCUUCCACAACUUCAUUUUUGGUCAGGAGGUAACACAAUUUGGUUUUGUACUUCGUUAGGAACUGUCCAUUCGUCUGGGUUUCCAAUAGGAUAUACUGAAUGUUCAUAAGCUUUUAAAAAUGCAUCCUUUGUGUAAUAAUAUGAACAAUAAGCAUACGGAUCCCUUUUUGUAUGCUCAAUUACAGCUAAUGCAUGUGGACAGGGCAUCCGAUCGACUUGCAUCAUCCGACACGUGCAUGUACGUUCCUCAAUAUCAACAACAAAGGUAGACCUGUCAUUGCUGAUGACAGAAAAAAUUGUCUGGUUGGAAGCAGAUACCUACAAGAAUGUAGUGUUGUAGUACCAAUUGUAUUUUGUCAGUUUCAAAAAGAUCAGUUCUGGUCACAGACAUGCAAAUUUCAGUGUACAUUGCUCAAAUCGGGUCACAUGCAGUCAUACUUUAUUUUGGAUAUCAUGGAUUCGAGUCACAGAUGCAAACUCCAAAUCACUCAGUGUUGCAAAUGCAAAUUUCAAGAGAGAUGAAUUUAAUACUGGGUCACAUGCAUUUAUAGUUAGAACACAAUCACAACUGUUCAUUCCAGGUCGGAUGCAAUUAUGGUCAGGUCACAUGUAUCUUCAUUUAGUACACAAACACAAACAUCAGGAUAAAGAUAAGAUACCUACCCUUAAGUUCCUUAAUUCUGAACUCAUUUUUCUUAAAUUAUUCUCAAACUUGCUUGUCAACAUUGUCAAAGGUCCAUGCGCCUCGUCUCUAUGUUUACAGAACCAAAUUUGCACUGUUUGUCGUAAAGACUCUAGCAACGACACAAUGGGGUAAUUCUUAGCUGCCUUUGUGACUGCAUUAACUGAUUCUACAAUAUUUGAUGUCAUUGUGGAAAAUCUGUUCACUGGCAUAUGAAUUCUCGAUCACUUUUCAGGGCCGACUUCAGCCUGCAAACAUGUAUCAUACAUAUGAGUUCCAUAUACAAUGACAUAUGUGACCAAUUUAGUGUGCAUGAUAUCUAUUUUUGGAAAGCAAUACAUUACUAGGUAUCCAGUAAUAUUCUCAUUCAUUGUGUGUAGUCGAUGCAUGUUGUAUUCAAAUUCCUCCAAUGUGUAAGCGCGGACAGCCGAGUUGAAAGCUUGUGUAAUAUUUUCUCCUGAUUUUCCAUAAUAAUCUUUUAGGUUCUGUAGCAAAUGAUACGAGCAAAUACCAUGACAGGCUCCUGGAUACACAUGUUCUAUUGCUUUCUUUAUACUGCCAUGACGGUCUGAUACAAAACAUAGUCCUUCUCUAUAUCCAUAAGUCUCUUUCAGUUUUUCCAAAAACCAUCUCCAAGAGUUAUCGUUCUCAUUAUCCCCAACACCAAAAGCAAGAACAAAUAUGCUAUUGUUUGCUUCCUGCGUACAUGCUGUGAAGAGUGUGCCCCCGUAAUGACCAUUUAAGUAUGUACCGUCGACUACAAUUACAGGCCUACAAUGUGGCCACCCACGUAUUGAAUCACCGAGUGCCAUAAAACAAUACUUCAACCUGUUGUGACUAUCAAUCUCUAGAUAUGUGACCGUACCUGGAUUCUUUUGUUGGAGCAUGUAGAAGAAACUUGGUAUCCUACUGAAUGAUUCGGUUGGAUCACCCCUAAUCAUCUUCAAGGUUUGUUCACAGCAUCUCCAAGCUUUCGUGUAGUUCAAAUAGACUCCAAAAGUAUGCAACAUUUCACUGCAUAUAUCCUUUGGUGUGUAUAUGGUGCUGGACGAUGUGUACUUAUACUUGAUUCUAGAUGAAACAACUGCAGUUGUGACUUGUCUAUGUGACCCCAACACUACAUUUGAUGCACAUGUGUGACUACCAAUCUUUCGAAUCUUAAAUAGAUCCGUUUUGUCCCAUUUCGAUGAUCUGCAUAUCCAACUACAUCCUUCCUGUGAAUACCUCACAACAUAUUCUUUCUUGUCUGACCGCUCAACCAUGAACUCAAACAUAUUCCUUAUGGCAAACAAGGAUAGGCUCAAUUUUAAAAUCUCCUUAUCACGGAAAACCCUUCCUUCUUCGACCUCCCCAGCUUCUGCUACUGAAACAACUGUGACCUCGUUGUCGUAAAUGUGACCUACAUGUUCACUCGAUGCUUUGCAUAUUUUAGCUGCCAUAUCCCGCAAUGUAUGAAGCUCGCUGCUAUGGUAAGCAGUAUAUGGAGCCGUGUUAGAUGGCUUCUCUAUUGCUGCAUCGGUAACAUCGAUGACUAAUGGGUAUUUAACAGGUUCGCGAUCGCCUUCCUUCAGCAGAAUGUACGAGAGGACGUUACUGUCAUUUUUUAUCUUGACUGGAGGCAAAUUGUCAUUCAGGACAUACUUCAGUGACACUGCCACCUUCGUAGGAUCCAAGCUGAACUCUGACAUGAUUGUGUCAACAAGGUUUACGUAUCCGCAACCACGGUCUACCAAUGCCAACGCUGACUGAGAUCCAUAUAGCAAACAUACGUGCACGUACACCAUUCCUACAAAAAUUGAAUUUCAUGUAGCUGAUUUAUUGUAAUACAAUGCAUAUAGUUCAAACAUGAAUGACUGUAAUGACAUGGAGGUCACAUUUGUGAACAAGUCAUAUAUGAGACUAAAGAUGCAAUAAAAUGGAGGUCACAUAUGUUGGAUGGCAACCACUGUUUCAUGUGGUUACAUUCCUGCCAGAUAUAUGAGAAGGUACGCUAAAUAUUUGACCCGAUAUUCAUAGGAUAUGUGAACUUCUGUUCAUAUGUGGCAUUGCUAACUAAAUCGGCGAGUAGUCGCAUUACUAUGUAUCCAAACGAAAAUACAUUAUCUUACUGUAGGUGAAACGGAAGUCACAUACGUGGAUGGCAACCACUGUUUCACGUAGUUACAUUUCGGUCACAUUUAUAAGAAGGUCACAUAUGACAGGAAUCAAUGUCAGGAUGCGUGGUGCAACAGACACAUGCUUCCAUUACAUUGGUCACAUUUGUUGUCAGUGUGCAUAAUGGAAUAAAUUGCAUGCCACAUUUUUUUUCACAUAGUUUACAUUUCAUGCUCGAAAACGAAGCCUCUACAUCUACCUAUUCCAGUACAAAUCACAUAACACUGGUAAUAUAUGCUGCCUACAUCCUCUGAUUGGUGUGGUUACAAUCUGUUCAGAUUAUUGAACCGGUCACAGAUCAUCGGAAUAAAUCCCAAAGAUGGUUUAAAGUAGUUCAGAUUUGUUCACAACACUGAUAUGGAACAAUGUUUUUGCAUCAAACAAAAUAUGCGCCCAGAAUAGAUCCGAUGGACGAUUAUGUGACUGCACGCAAAUCCUAUUCGAUGGAUCGUGACUACAAACAUAGUAGCUAUCCACAAUAUUGUCGAAGUAUUACCUAGAUUGUCUUUUUCUCUGCGAUUGUGUUAAUUUCACGAAAUUGAGUCCCAAAUCUGUGUCACAAACAAUUAAUUUCCAUCAAUCCAAAUACAAAAUUGAAAAUAUUCUGUGACACGGAGAAAAUAAUAAUUUCGAAAUCGUUCAAAUUCAUCGUCCGUUACCUUCUCUUUUCUUCUUCUCUGGCGGCCAAAAUAGGGUUGUGACAUGAAAUUCUGAAAUUUGGGCUCUUUUGGUUGAGAUCUCGAUUGUUGUAGUGGAAAGAAUCCUGUUAUAAAUGGGAACUGAGCUUGAUUUCAGGAAACUGCUGUAACAGAAAUAUAUAUAUAUAUAUAUAUAUAAUACACCGGAUACAAUACACCGGAUAUAUGUAUUCUUCCCUUAAAUAAAGUGGUUUAUAUUUCUUAAAUCCAAUUGGCCCAUUUGAAAAGUAGCAAUUUUAUAACCGUCUACUUUGAUGGAAAGUGGAUAGUUUUAUGGCCGAUAAGAACCCAGUGGAAUGAGACCCAAACUCUAUUUUUAUUUUUGAAAAAGGACUGUAUUUUUUUAUUUUUUGUUACGGCUACUCGUAAAAAAGAAAUAAAAAUUAACUUUAAAAUGGACAUGGGCUGACCCAAUCAUCAGCUUUGGAAUCUGCAUUUUUUCAACAAUGUGAUGAUUUUCUUGUAUCUUGAUGCUCUGGCUAGUCUAAGCCCUCGUUUGGCUCCCAUUAGUUUAAUUCUUAUUUUUCUCUCUUAUUUUCAAUCAAAUAAUUUCCAUAAAAUAAUAUUACACGUAAAUCGAAAACUUUUCUUUAUUUUCAACCACUUAUUUUUCAAAAAAAUACUAUUUUACCCAUUAAAAUUUGAAAUAAUGGGUGGCCAAACGGGGGCUAACUAUAAUUGCAAUUUCAUUCCCUAAUUCUUUUCAAGUAAUCUUGUGUUUCAGCUGAUGCUGGUUUUGAAAUUAUUAGAUUUUCAAUUGUCAUAGCUUACUUGAUCACUUUCAGAUGAGAAUAAAGUAUAGAUAUUUGUGUUGGUCAUCUUGUUUCAGUUUAGAAUUUCUAGUAGAAAAAAAUCUCGGUGUUUGAAGACGUAUUUAUUUUCUCGUAACUACUUGUAGGAAGGAGCUGAAUUAAUCUGGUACUGACUGUGAAUGCGUAGGUUCAAAUGCAGAUUCUGUAUUCUAAUGUGCUUGGGAUUAAAAGAGCAGACUUAAGAUUAUCUUUCAUUCUCUAUAGCUUGUUGGCCUUAUUCCACUGGGCUCGAAAAUUCCAUUGGAAUUCGAAAAUUUCGAUAGAGGAAAACAACUAUUGGAUUUCUUCAAAUGGGGACUUCGUAGUUGGGUUCUUUAGAACAUCUCCAAUGAAUGCACAAAAUCACCAAAAUACACCAAACUUUGGUGCAAAAUGGUACAACACUAUUCACUUUGCAGCAUUUGGUGCAAAGUCAAAUUUGCCAUUUUUUUUCCAUUGUAAUUGAUGGAUAGGUAUUUGUGUCACUUGUGUUAUAUAUUUUUUAAUACAAUUAGUACUACUACUACUAAUACUACAAAUACUAAUUAUUAUUAUAUUUAAAAUUGCAUUUAAAAUAAAAUUUUUAAAUGUAAAAAAUAAUAAUUAAUGAAUUAAUUGAAUACAAAAAGAAUAUUAAAAUAUAACAAACAUGAUUCUUGUGCUAAUCCAAAUGUCCUUGGGAUUGAAAGAGCGGACAUAGGAUUACCUUUCCUUCUCGAUAGCUUGUUGGCCUUAUUCCACUGGGUUUGAAAAUUCCAUUGGAUUCAAAAAUUUCGAUAGAGGAAAACAACUAUUGGCUUCCCUGAAAUGGGGAUUUCGUAGUUGGGUCCUUUAGGACAUAUCCAAUGAAUGCACAAAAUCACCAAAAUACACCAAAUUUUGGUGCAAAAUGGUACAAUACUAUUCACUUUACAUCAUUUGGGGCAAAAUGAUGCAAAGUCAAAUUUGCCAUUUUUCUCCGUUGUAAUUGAUGGAUGAGUAUUUGUGUCAUUUGUGUUAUAUAUAUUUUAAUAUAAUUAGUACUAUUACUAAUUAUUAUUAUUUUUAAAAGUGCAUUUAAAAUACAUUAUUUAAAUGUAAAAAAUAAUAAUUAAUGAAUUAAUUAAAAUAGGAAUACAAAAAGAAAAUUAAAAUAUAUCAAACACGGUUAUUUAAACAAUUCACGAGCCACGCGGUCCCAAAAAAGUUAUUUGCAAUGAAACAAGAAGUGUGUAGAAAAGAUGUUGAACGUGCAUUUGACGUUCUACAAUCAAAAUUUACAAUAAUAAAAGAACGGACAAGGUUUUGGGAAAAACAAGUAUUACAUAAUAUCACGGAUGCAAGUAUAAUCAUGCAUAACAUGAUUAUCGAGGACGAACGUAAUACUGAUACACUAGUUUGAGAAUGGGUGGAAGCAUCAAGUCUGAAAGUUGAGUUGGUUGAAGACAAAAUUCAUCGUUUUCAAGAAUUUCUUGCUCGUCAUAUACAAAUCAAGGAUAAAAAGGCUCACGUUACACUUCAAAAUGCAUUAAUCGAUCAUUUGUGGGAAGGGUAUAUGAAUUUCGAGAAUUAAAUUGUAAUGAUAUUUCGACUUCGUAAUAUCAUAAUAUCUAAAUUCGAAAUGCAUUACACUAUUUUUUAAUAUCAUGAUUUAAUAUUCUCAUUUUUGUAGUGUUUUUACUAAUUGUACUAUAUAUAUUUUUUUAUAUUUAUUAAUGAAUUUAAUUUUUUCCUUAAUUUAACGUAGUUAUUUAUUUAGUCAUUUAUGUAUUUGUAAAAUAAAUAAAUAAAUAAAUUUUCAAAUAAAUAACUUAUUAAGAAUUAAAAAAGAAGGAAAAUGAUUAAACACUAUUCAUUUGAUGUAAACUUUAGAGUAAUGGUUGGAGAUGAUUUUUAAUUUGGUGCAAAUUUUGGUGCACGAUUGGAGAUGACCUUAACAUAUUUAACCAAUAUAGUGUAAGGAUUUGCUUCAAUUCAAGUUUUACUCGAAGACCAUAAAAACAUUGCCUAGCACACUUCUAUUUGAUCAAAUGCUGCUGAAACUUACUUGAUGUUGAAGAAAUCCGAAGAUAAUUUGAUUGAAUCACUUGCUUUCUCUUUACUUGCACUACUUGAUCUAGAACUCGAUCGAAAUGGAAGAAGUUCCUUUGACAAAAUCAAAAUGAUCGUUAUGUGAUGAUUGUGUACCCAAAAAAGUUGAUUUCUUACCUUUUCAAUUUUGCAACAUUUAUCUAAUGAAUAUUGUUGUAUUUGUUGAAUCUUUAUGAAAUUUAAACUUUAUAAAACUCAAUGAAUUGCUAAGAUCAAAUUACCAAGAUAAAUAAUUAAUGUGGAACAUACCUUGAUCUAUGACUUCGAAUCUUUAAUCUUUAACCUUGAACAUCAACUUGCAAUCCUCUCUUGAUUUAUUUUUUUGCUUUUAAUCUUGAUUGUUUUGUUCUUCAAUUUAAUUGCUUCAAUCUUUCUUCUAGAUUAAUUGAUCUUGAUUCUUCAUUGUGGGUUUAUGAUCUUCCUCUUCAAUAUGUUUUCUUUUACAUUCUCGUGUUGAUGGGGGUGACACAAAGAAUGAGAAUCAUACAUGAAUUGGAGACCAUAACCUUAUAUAUCCAUAAGUAUUUAGCCCAUUAUGAAAUUCAACCCUAAUGGAUCCUAUUUCUAUUCAUAUUUAGAAUCACACUUUAUUUAAAUGCCUAAACCCAAUGAUUUUAAAGCUUUAUUAGAUCAUUUUAAACAGGCUUAACUUUAAGAUUGCCUUUAUACACAAAUUAAUUAUAUACGUAGACUAGCACGACAAAUUAAAAUCCAACAAUCUUUCACUUGGACCACAAAUAUUAUCUUAUAAAUGUAUAUAACCUUAUGAGCUCAAAACUUUUGCUAUCAUAACCGAAAGUAUCUUCAAACAAUGUCGUCCAUCAAUUGUGCCAAUAUAAGAUCAAAGUAGUCUUCGUUACAAGUAAUAUAAGUAAAUCCAUUGAUGACCAUGUAUAUCAAUACAAUCAAAUAACAUAAAUCAAGCAUGUAUGUGUAGCAUGAAAAAUAAAUGUAAUAUAACCCAAAUAUGUUUAUUUCCAUUUGGUCAUACUUUAUUUUUAAUGAGAUCAAGCUAAAACUUUAAUCAGAAUGAAAAUAAUUGAAUACUUUAUUUCUACAGAAUAGAUUGAAUAUCUAUAAGCAUAAAAUAUGUUUGAAUCAGACAACAGUUGAAUACAAACUCCACUUAACUGUCAUAUCAUCAAAACAUGCAACUUCCAUAUGAAUAGUAUGCUCAUGAAAGAUCUGGGUGGUAGUCCUUUAGUAAGCAGAUCCACAAUCAUAGAGUUUGUCAUAAUAUGCCUAAUAGAAACUUGGCUGCUCUAAAUUAUUUCUUUAACAACCAAGAACUUAAUGUCUAUAUGCUUUGAUAUCAUUGAACUCCUCUUGGAAUACAGGACUGCUAUUAUUGCAAAAUAACUUAACCGGUCUUUUCGUUCUAUCUAAAAUAUGCAGCCUAGUGACAAAAUAUCGUAGUCAUAUUACAUGAUUAGAAUCAAAAUAUCUAAUGAUCUCCAAUUGGUCUGAUUUUCUGUAUAUGAUCAUGUAAUCCUUAGUUCUCAAUGAAUACCAAAUAACCCAUUUAGCUACUUUCCAAAUAUCGAAUCUAGAGUUAUUUGUAUCUGUCCAACAUUCAAACAAUGAAUGUUACACAGGAUGUGCAAAUCUGAGCGCACAUUAAACUUGUAACUCCUGAAAUACAAGAAAUUUUCUACAUUUCAUUUUCUUUAAGUUUAUACUUCGGCAUUAAUUGAGACUAAACUUAUUUUUCUUAACAAUAGGGAUAUUACCUGGUUUAUAUUCCUGCACCCCAAAUCUCACCUAAUCGAUAUAAUUCAAAAACACAUCAAGAACGAUCCCAGUAUAUCUGUAUCUCUAACAUAAAAGAUGCAUCACCAAGAUCUUUCAUUUCAAAAUUUCAUGUCAGAAAUUUCUUAAUUUCGUGCAAUAAGCCUAUAUCAUAGUAGGAAAGUAGUAUGCCAUUAACAUAUAAUACUAGAAAAAUAUUGUUACUCCUACUAGUGAUACACACAACUAUCAACUACAAUUAUCUCAAAACCAAAUGAGAUAAUUUCUUAACGAAAUUUGUAAUACCAUUUGACGAGAAGCCUGUUUAAGCUCAUAGAUGAAUUUUCUUAAUGUGCAAAUGAUUUUAUUUUGAUCUCUUGAUAAAAAGUUAUCCGUUUGCACCAUAUAAAUUUGUUUCGUCAAUGUUACCAUUGAGAAACACCGUUUUUAUAUCCAUCUUGUGUAACUCAAGAUCAAAAUGUGUCACAAGUGUCAUAAUAGUCCUAAAAGAAUCUUUCGUAGAAAUCGAAGAAAGUCUCUUUAAAAUCAAUUUCUUCCUUUUAAAUAAAGUCAAUUACAACAAGACAAGACUUAGAUAUCUCCACAUUACCAUUCGAAUCCCUCUUGAUUUUAAAUAUCCAUUUACAACCAAUUGGCUUAGCACCUUCACAUAAAGGGAUGAGUUCCCAAGCGUCAUUGUCACUCAUAGAUAUUAUCUAUUUAUUCAUGACAUUAAUCCACUUUAAAGAAUUAUUUAUUUGCAUUGCUUGAUAAAAGUUGAUUGAAUCUUCUUCCACCAAUACAAUGCCAUCCUUAUCUUCUGAAAGAAAGACUAUAAAUUCAUCUGAAACUACCAUUCUCCUUCUCUAGUGGAUCUCUUUAAUGGCAUUUAUUUUUUAUGUUGUUCAUUUUGAUCUUCUGAAACAAUCUUUUGAUUAUUUAUAGAGGAUUUUGUAAUAUAGUCUUAAUUUGAAAUAGUAACAAUUGAUUCUAGAGUCUAGUUCCAUUUUAUUUAGCUGAAAAGGCCUUGCCUUAGUUGGACAAUCCCAAAUGUGCAGGUGCUUCAAACUAAAUUUCUUGCCUGUCUAAAGCUCACAAGAGAUUUUAACAGUUGCUUUACUUGAAACGUUAUUUAGAUCUUAAGCUACAGUUUUUAGUGCUUCUUUCUAUAGUGAUUUUGGUAAGAUAAAAUGACUAAUCAUACACAUUACCAUGCCCUUAAAAGUUAUGUUUCGUCUUUUAGUAAUACUAUUAAGGAAACUUGGCAUGGUGUAUCGUGUGACGAUUCCAUAUUCAUCUAGGACUUUAGUAAAAGGCCAUGGACAUUGUUCUUCAAAUCUGUCAUAUAUGUCAUAGUAUUCAUUGCCACGGUUAGAUCGAUGUGUUUUAUUCUCUUGCUGAGUUGAUUUUCAACAUCAACCAUUAAAGCUUUGAACCUGUCCAUUGAUUGGUAUUUCUCAUGGACUAAAUACAGGUAGCCAUAAUGAGAAAAAUCGUUUAUGAACGUAAUAAAUGACUGUUGACCAAUCCCAAAAGUCGGAGGGAAUAGUCAAUUGAUAUCCAUAUGAAUUAGUUCUAAACAUCAGAAAUUCUAUUGGCAUCUAAUCUCUUUACAUUUGCUUGCUUCAAGAAUUCCUUUUGACACAAGCUUUUCCUUUUUCUUUUGAUAGAUGUGACAAAAACACUUGUACCAUAAUGAAUCGAAAUUCUUGUUGUUAAUUUAUGUUCUAUACUAUGUGAAUUCACAUGAAAUGUUUCAUUAUAAGAGGCAACUAUAUUAAGCAAACAUAGGUUAUCAUAACUAGAAAAAAAAAUUGGUACACACGACAUUUGAAUUAAAAAAGAAAUAAAAUUGACCAUUUUCAAAUGAAUAAAAGUAACCAAAUUUGUCUAAUGUAGAAAUAGAUACCAAAUUACGUCUUAAAAGACAGUAAUGUAAAUGUCUCUUUCAAAUUCAAUUAAUAACCAGUCUUUAAUAAUAAUCUCAAAGUUCCUUAGCCUCAACUUUAAUUGAUUUGCCAUUAUCAUAAAUAGAUGAAUCUUUUAACAUCAAUUGACUAUUGACAGUUCAAACAAUCUCGCAUAGGCACACUUAUAUGAGUAGCAGCACCAUAAGUUAUCCACCAAGUGUGUCUUGGUAUUAAAAAAUGAGAAGAAUUUCUAGAAAUUAGUAAAGGAAAGGUUUUCCAAUCCUAGCUUCUGAAAGAAGAGAAAAUGUUAGACUUCCAACCCAAUAACUGAUAGCGAAGACGAAAUUAACCUUAAAACAUACCAAAGUGAGAAGUGUACUUUUCAUUACAUGUCUAAUGUGGUAUUUAGUACAGUUUAUCUUAAUGUGUCCCAAAUCUACACAGAAGUAACGAUCAUAAUUAAUUCUUUUCAAUCUUUCGCGAUUGAGCUGAACCAAACACAGCUUUCUUAUUUUUUAACUUUCCUUAAAGGUACUUUGCAAGUGAACACUUUCAAUUCUCUAUUGUUUUAGCAUUUCUUCUUAUUGCACACAAUAUGAAAUGAACUCAUUAAGAGUUCACAUUUCCUUUUGAUACUAUAACUGACCUCAAACUUACUGAAUUGUACAGGAAGAGAAAUCAAAAUCAAAUGUACGAAUAAAUCAUCAGAUAACUCAAAUUUUAAUACCUUUAGUUUUGAAGCAAGAUAAGCCAUAUCCAUGAUGUACUCCUUUAUGUUUUCUCAAGCUUUAUACUUUAGUGAAACUAAGUUUACCAGACGCAUGUUAGUUUCGGCCUUAUCACCUUUUGCAAGGUUUUUUUUUUUGUUUCAAUUUUUUAAAGAAAUUUCUUGAUAGUAGUUACCUUAUUGGAUCCAAUGCCCCUAAGUGUUACUGAAAUUUCACGCUUCAUUAUUAUAAGACUUAUGCAAUUUGAAUGAUCCUACUUUUCAAUUCCACUUUUUUAUCAAUAGAACUUUUAUCCUUAAGUGUAGUGGGUUAUUCGAUCCUUAAAACAAGGUCUAAAUCCUUGUAGCGAAUGAUAAGAACAUUCUCUUUUCAGUCCUUACAAUUUGGUUUAUUAAAUUAACUGAACAGAACUUAAACCUAAAUAAAACGCUUACAUGAGAAUCCAUAUUGGACAAUCAAUAACUUGAAAUAAUGGUGGGCCCAUCAAAAGAGACCGAACACAACAUUGAUAUUUAGUCUUCGGACUGAAAUAUUAACUUGUAAGUGGAACUCUUGGUGUAGUAAUAAAAUAUUGACAAUAAAUCAUAUCAAAUAAUAAAGAUAUCUUUGGAAUGAUUUAUUGUUCACAUAAAACAAAAAUUUAUAAUUGUUACAUGUUUAUUACCAUAGGUGUGUAUGUAAUUCUGGCAAAUAUUUACAAUACUUUGGGCCGGUGCAUAUCUGCAUGAUUUACAUACACACAAUCACCUUAAUAUUCCAAACAAAUUAAUUUGGACAUAAGAGGUUACUUUGGUAACAUUUUUCUUCAACUAAUCUAUUUUGAAAAAUUAAUUAUUUGAAAUAAACUUUAUGUAUCAAGAUUUGAUAUUGAUCGCUCUCUCAUAUUUUAGUUUUAUUUUUCUUUCGUUUUAAUAAAAAAGUAGAAAAAUCUAACAGAAUUACAGCGUUGUGGAACUGCUGGCUGUGCCCAGCACUGUAACGUUGCAUGAAAGGCAAUCGCCGGGUGUCGCAGCUCUUGAAUGCGGCGCUACAGCACCAUGACUGCUGUUAUGACCUAGAUUUUUUUGAAACAUCUCAAAAAAUAAAAAAAUUUGAACCUUAGGGCUUGGAAUUCGUAUCCCAAAAUUUAGAAAUCUAAAUUAUGAAUUUCAACCCUAAAAUUCUUCGUGUAAUCUUGAUAGUUUAAUAUGGAUUGGCUCUGAUACCACUUGUUGAAUCUUUAUGAAAUCUGAACUUUAUAAAGCCAUGUCAAAUUACCAAGAUACAUAAUUAAUGUGAAAAAUACAUUGAUCCAUGAGUUUGAAUUUUGAAUCUUUAGUCUUGAUUAUCAAAUUACGAGAAGGAUUAUAGGUAAUAGCCUCUUUUCUUUGUGUUAGAAUAAAAGAUUUUGUUCAAAACAAUCCUCUCUUGAUUUAUCUUAUUGCUUUUAAUCUUGAUUGCCUUGGUCUUCAUUUAAAUGCUUCAAUCUUUCUUCCUGGUUCUAGAUUAAUGAUUGUGGAUUUUGGAUAUUACUUUUCAAUAUGUUUUCUCUUAUAUUCUCGUGUUGAUGAGAUGACACAAUGAAUGUGAAUCACACAUGAAUUGAAGACCAUACCCUUAUAUAUGCAUUAGUAUUUUCCCUAUCAUGAAAUACAAUCCUAAUAUAUCCGACCUCUUCACUUAUUUAGACCCACACUAAUUUAGAUGCCCAAAGCCCAAUGACUUAAUUUUUUAUUAGAUCACUUUAGACAUGCUUAAUUUUAAAAUAGCCUUUAUACACAAAUUAAUUACAUAUGUAAACCCACAUGACAAAUUAAAGUCCAACAGUAUUUUCUGGGGAGAAUUCUUAACCUUGUAUUUUCAUGCUACAUGGGUUCGGUCAACCCUCAUGAAUGACCCGAUCAUUUCUAAAACAGUCAAUAUCAAAUGGUGGUUUGUAGCUGGAGCUGACCAUUCAGUUGUUCGCAAGUCAUAUUUCCAAUUUACUCAAGAAGGUGAAUUAAUUUUUAUUUAAUUUUGUCACGUGAGAUAUUGCUUCGACAAGCAAGACUUGAAACGCAUAAGCUUUUCCUCGCAAUGGUGGCAUCAUUUAAUAAUGUGCACCUUAUAUUUUAGUAAGAGAGAAACUAAUGUAGAAUUAUUAGUCCCAAUCAUACGUUUUAACCUUAAAAAUUGGAAAGAACUUGUAGAAAAUAUAAGAUUGAACACAAAAGAAUUUUUACCCAAUAAAUGGUCUGAAUGUUCAUAUACUCUAAAUGCAACUUACAAGUUGACCAUCUAUCUUAAUAUAUAUAGCCCCUGUUUGUUUCCAAUUUUUUCUUCAUUAAAAUGAAAAAUAUGACCGUUAUCCAUCACAUCAAGCCACCAAAUUUAAUUUUUUAACUCUUAUGUGGGAACCAUAACGACUAUAUUUUUCAUUUUCAUUUUUACAUUAAUGUGUACCAAAUGGGCCCAUAAUAUUAGAAACAAAUCAACUUCCAGAAAUUUAAUAAAAUGUGAGUAAUCACACAUAUUUCUCUUCUCUCUCUCGCCUCACGAAAAUGUUAUAAAACAUUGUUCACCUUAGUAAACAAAAACCUAGUUGACAAAUGAAAUCUACUAAGAAUUUCAGUAGAAAGAAAACGAAGAGGAAGAACUUUGGAAAGAGAAGAUGUCAUAAAAGAAAAAGCUUCACACAUAGGCUAUGUGAAGAAAUGAGGGUUAGGGCCCUUCUUAUUGACACAACAAUUUUGCCUUCCAUCUAAAGGCCAAGAGACCACCAUGUCUAGAUAAGGCGGGCCCUAAGAUUUUGGAGACCUUUGACCAAUUUCAAAUAUAGGGCCCUAUAUAUGUAAAAUAUAACUUUAAAAAUAAUAAUAUUUUUAUUUUAUUUAUUCAAAGUUACAAUAAUAAUAAUAAUAAUCUAAAACUUUCAGAUGUUUAGAUUAAAUUUAUUUUAUUACAAUUUUUUCACGAUAACAACUAUACUAUUAUAAUCAAUUUGUUUUAGAACUUCUUUUAAGAAAGAUAGAUUGAUCAAUUCAUUCAACAUUUGUCACAUUGUUGAUCAAAAAUAGAAAUUUAUAAACUUCAAAUUUAAGAAGGUGCUCUCCGCAAAUGCUACUGUAACUAGUAUAUCAAUAAUAUUCAAUAAGCAAUCCACACAUUUGGAAAACAAUCAUCAUUUUUAUAUAGUCUAAAACACCAAUUAUUUUUUGGUGCCUUUUGAUAAAUAGUUUCUAGCAAUUUAUAGUUCAGAAAAUAAAGUUGUGCUUAAAAUUUCUUCAAUCUAAUCACAUCAAUACUUCAAACAGUUAUCAUUUACAAUUUACGUAUUUUAAAUCAAACUACGACAUAAUUUUUUUUUUCAUAAUUUUAAAAUUGUUCAAACCUUAGCCUAGGCAAAUAAACAUCUUAAUCACCUAUAAAUACUAAAUGAUAAAAUCUAAAAAGAUUCUUUAGCAUAAUAUUUUAUGUCAUCAUUAACGUUUUGAUCUAAUUGCUUCUUUCUAUAGAUAAUACAUGAAAUGUAGGUUCAACUUCUACUCGUGCAUCAAUUUUUUUAGGAGUACUCAGAUUCUGUUUUUCCAUAUGUUUCAGAAAAUGAAGUAAGUGCAUUCAAGUUACUAAUAGUGCCAUCAGUACACAUACUCAUUAUGUUACAAUUUUUUUAUUCUAUUAAUGGCAGACAACAUAGUCUCAAAAAAUCGUGCCAAAAAAGAACUCAAAAUUUAUAAUGUCAGAAGACAAAUUUUUAGCAUCUCUAAAUGUCUUAGUGUUAUCACAUGUUCCCACAAAGUGUUUAAAAGCGAUUUAUAUUUUUGACAAUUGAAGUGUUAUUACUUUAACACUUUCAACUUGACGUUCUUAACGAUCUUUGGGUAGUGGCUUAAGUAUUAGAUCUUUUACCUUAUCCUGAAAAAUUUUCUAUUGCUUGAUAGAAGAUGAAAACAAUACUCUUUUUUUUUUUUUUUAGAAAUUUUCUUUAAUAUUUAUAAUUAUAUUAGAUAAUAUUUUUUUGUGGCCCUCACCAAAGUGAGGCAUUAGGCGAUUGUCUAUCCUACUUAUAGUCAGGGCUGACAUUGUGUCUAGUCACCAGAUCCUUUCUUGAGCAAAAGUUAAAGUCGCAUUUUAGAACACACUUUGGUCUACAAGUCAACUUUGAGGCGUAUUCCAACAUUUUACACAUUCGUAAAUAAUUGACUCCACUCUAGUAUUUUGAGCUAUACUACAUAAGGUUUCAUUUACUUUGCAGUACCAGCAAAGAAAAAUAAGCUAGUUUUGAAGUUUAUAAGAUUCUUGACAGCUCAAACUAUCAAUACUUAACCACCUACAAACAAUUACUCAUUAGUAACAUUUAAGAUAGUUAAAUAGUUUAUAAGUUUAUAUAAGUAAAAAACUUGAGUACCAAGAUCAGAUGGAUUAAAUUGAGUUGGGAUUUUAACUAAAGUUAUCAUACCUUUCUCAACCAUACCCUUAACAAAAUAAAAUUCAGUAUCAACAUGUUUGGUUUAGUUUGUCAUGAUAAACUGGUUCUUAGUAAAAUGGAUUGCACUUUCUUCGUUUGGUAUAUAAUUGACUAUUUCAAAAAUAAAACAACAAUUUCUCCCAACAAUGCCCUUAAUCUAUCUUUUACAACAUCAUAGGCUGUUAUAUACUUUGCCUUUGUAGAGGAUAAGGCUACAAUCUUUUACAACUGUUAUUUCCAACUAACACACCCAUCAAAAAAGUAUGAAAAUAUAAGUAGUAGACCUUUUUUAUCACGUGCACCUGGAAAAUUUGAGUGAGUGUAGCCUUUCAAAUAACGCCCUUAUCGCACCUUUUAAACUUUAAAAUAUUGGCCUAUGGUUGAAUCUAUCUUAAAAUUUUGAUCAUAACAAAUAAGUUGCAUCUUGUUUACUGACAAUUGAUUUAAAGUAAUCAUAGUCUUCAAAACAUUCACUGAUAAACCAAUCAUAAUCAAAAGAUCAAAAUCAAGACUAUCAUUACCAAUUGAAUUCUAUAAAGUUAAGAUUGAAGUCAUGUCUUCCAAGAAUUCAAGAUAUAAUCUUUCAAGACGAGAGGUUAAGAGUGAAAUUUAGAAAAUAUCGAUUAUUAAGCAUUUAGACCAAAUGUAAAGGAAAUAACGCUUCGAUCUAUGGCAAUCAAUGAUAAUAGCUCAAAAACUAUUUUGUGCACCAAACUAUUUUGACAUCACUUGCAUAAAAUAUUUUGAUCAAGCUGAAUUUGAUUUUCAUCAUUUAUGUUUUCUGAAAAUCAACAUUUGAUAUAAAAUGAUAUUUAAACUCAUCAUUUUUCUACAAUAUCAUUUACCCUUGAAAAACUAGUUAUUCCAAAAAUCCCAAGUUUUUCAAAGUAAUUCGGAUGAGGCCAAACUUGAUGAUCGUACAAUAGAACGGUCGACUAAUUGAUAGAUUGGUCAACUGAACUCCAAAAUGUUCAAAAUUUAAACAUUCGACUUUUGAUCCUAUACUUUUUGACGGCUACAUUUUUUAGUCAUCCGAACUUGCACCUGCCGAUUGAAACCUCUUCCCAAUUGCGAGAAAGUUUUGCAAUUUGUUUACUAUAAAUUGAUUUUAUUUUUGCAAAUAGUAACAGAUCUUUGAAAGUACAUUCUUACAAAAUAUAUUUUUAACUAAUCUUUAUUAAUAUUUCUUCUACAUAUUCAUCUUGAAAAACUUUUGAUUGAAUCAAACUCUUGAAACAUCAUCUUCAUAAAGCUUUUUCACCAACACUUGAACUAUCUUUUAUUUAUAUGUAUUGAAGUGUCAGUCUCUAUUUGGUACUUAAUUGUAUUUUUAUCAUUUAUUACGAGAGAAGUUUGAUUGUAAAACUAUUUUUCGUCAAACCUUUGGAUCAUAUUGAUGUUUUUUAAUGGGUUAAUUGCAGCAGAAGCCCCAAACUUUUGAAACAUUAGUAGACAUUCCAAUAACCUUUGAUUUGUUGCAGCCUUCACCCCCUAACAUUUCCAAACAUUACAUGUGAGGUCCUUUUGGAUGGUUUUAGUAAAAAAAAUCCGUUUGUUGACCAUCAAACUAAAUUUUGACCACUUGUUAAUCAAUUUUAAAAGGGUAAAAUGGUAAUACUAAAAAAAAAAAAUACAGAGAGAGAGAGAAAUGGUUCUUCUUCUUCCCACCCAACUCAAUCUAAAACGAUUGCUGCAAUCACCUUCACCACAUCCUUCAACACCAACAUUCAAGCUCUUUUUUUGCUAAAUAGCCUGCAAUAUCCUCAAAUUUAUGACUAAUCGGCAAUGAAACCAUGGACUUUGUCAUGUACUCAGAAACCCUAUUUUCCUUAUCAGUUACUUUUUCCCAUUCAGAUAUUUUAACAAUCCCCAAUAGCUUCGAUUUCUGGAUUCCAGAUUCAAUUACAAAAAUGCAAGGAGAAGACAAAAACUCAUCGGCGGAUAGAAUCAAAUUAGAGGAAGAUUUGAAGAUGAGUUCAUGCCUAAAGGGAAUUUGUGCGAUUUUGCUAGUCGAACCAAUGAGGCCUGAUGAAAAGGCGUGGUGUUAGAAUGGACUAUGUCGAUUGCACCAAGUGCGGCCAUGGUAGCCGCCAUGGAGGACUCAGUCACAAUGUCCAUGAGGGAAGCGACGCAGGGUGUAGGAAGGGCAAUGCGACGGCUGAGUUUCAUGGAGAAGAAGAAGAAGAAGAACCAUUUCUUUUUUUUUUUUUGGUUGUUGAUUUAGUUUUUCAAUCGUUUAAUGUGGUAAAUAGAAAAUUAUCAUUUUGCCCUUUUAAAAUUUAUUAAAAGGUAUUCAAAGUUUAGUUUGAUGGUCAACUAACGAAAUUUUUACAGAAACCAUUGAAAAGAGCCUCACAUGCAACGUUUGAAAAUGUUAGGUAUGAUGGCUGCAACAAAUGAGAGGUUUGGGGAAGUCUGCUAAUGUUUCAAAGGUUUGGGGCUUCAUCUACAAUUAUUAUUUUUUUAAAUCUCAACGUUGUGUAAGGAUCGAUGUUCUUUCUUCAUAAGUCAUCGAAAGCUUUUUAAGGAUUUCGAUUGUACUAUAAGACAAUCAAUAUAGUGAAAAUAUCGUGCUUAUGAUAGAAAGUCUUGCAAUGGAGGAUAUAGAUCAUUGAUUUGGAUGGAACUUACAUAAAUACAUUUUUUUGCAAUUUUUUCUACUCUUUCAUUUACCUUUUUUUUUUUUUUUUGCUUACAUUAUUGUUUGAUUGAUCUAUGUAUUUUAACUUGUUUAAUUUGAGGUCAAAAUUCGAAAAGUUUUAAAAGUCAAUACAUCCCGUUCGCUAGAAAAGUGCAAAAUCGCAAGUGUACCGAUUGCGUUCAAGUAAUAAAGUGAACCUUUUGAGUUCGGAUUGUCGAUCCCUCGAGAAAUAUUUACUUUCAAUUACACAACUUUAACUAAUUUAAUCUAACAAUAAAAAUAAAAACAAUUAAAUUAUGAUUUUGGAAAAGAACUAAAAAUCUACAAAAUAAGAAAAUACAAAAAUCUUUGGAAUUUCAAAAGCAAGUAUGGUUGGGAUUCAUGGUUUCGUCUAAUCUUCGCCUAAUUAAUUUCUCUAAAAUCCAAUUAAUAAAUUGAUCAUUUACAAUAUUAGACCUGAUUUUUCAAUUUUAGUUAGUUAUCUCUCUCGAGCGAAAUUAACCCUAAUUGAUUGGUUUAACAUACUAUAUCUCUAUGUCGAUUAAAACCAAACAACCGUAGUAAAUCUUUGUGAAAAUAGCUCGAUCAUCACCUAGGAUUGAGGGUAUAUCUUUAUCAUCUACACAAAUUUAGGGUUUCUACUAUUUGGUCUAAAAUGUACAAUCUUUUUUAAAACGAUGUACAAAUCACUAAACAUAAUCAUUUGUUGGACACAUAAAUGAAAAAUGCAAUAUUAACAAUAAUAAAAACACUUGAAAAUAAAUAACUUAACAUUAAAGAGCAAAUAUUAAAAUAAAUUAAAAGCUAAAUUAAAUUAAUACCAUAAACUCCAACACAAAUAUUUAGCUCAUAUUAUACAAAUAAUGAAAAGGAGAAUAUUUCAUAAAAAAACAUUGCAAAUAUGAGACAAUAAUGAGGAAAGUACAAAGUGAAGAUACAACCCUUUUUGGAUUUGGAUUCUUGUUACUUUGAUAUUGAUUUUCCCUAACUCUUUCUCCAAAAAUUAUUCUCCUUUGUGUUGUAUAAUUUGCUCCCAAAAACACCAAGAAAUAGGAAAGAUUAAGAAGAGAAAGAGAAGGAAAAUGAAAGAAAAAAAAGGAAAAGAAAACCAGCAAUAAAAAUCGGCCGAAAAGAGAAGGAAGCAGGCCUAGAAUCAAUUCCAACAAUUUGGUUAUUUUAUUGAAACCUAGAGAAAUUGCAACUCAAGUCCUGAAGUUUUAGAAAGUGACACCCAGACCUUUUCUAAAAUCAGAAACGGUGCCUAGGCGCUUGAACGGAGGGAAAGUGACACCUAGGCCUUUUCUAAAAUCAGCUUGAACAGAGGCGCUUGAGCACCGUGUUUCUGUCAGCAGCUAAGAAAAUAUGAAUUUUAUAUCAUUUGCAGCUUAGUCCCUUAGUAAUUGCAUGCCAAGUUCCUCAACUUUGAACUUGUAUAAUUUGGUCCUCAUAUUUUGACUUUAUAUCAAUUUAGCCCUUCAUAAAUUGAAGCCCAAGGUCCUCAACUUUCAACGCUUGUGCACUUUGGUCCCAACUUUACAAUUUUGUACGCUUUUGGUCCUUUUUUUUUUUUUUUUUUUUUCCCUUUUACCUUGUUCUCUUACAUUCAACGAUUUUUACUUAUUUACAAUUUUUUUCGCUUUUUGUCUUUUUUUUUUUUUUUUUUUUUAUCCCUUUUACCUUGUUCUCUUACAUUCAACGAUUUUUACUUACAAAAGCAAUAGUUAUAUAAUUGUGAAUAGAAUUUCAUUCAUUUAAUCAAUAUUUAAGCUUAUUUAGGUAUUAAACGAGUGUGCAAAACAUGUUUAUCAGUUAAUCUUACAUUAUCAAUUGGAAUUAGAGCAAAUUGCUCACAUUGAAAUUAAGAUUUUACAAUCUUAAGUAAUGGCUAACUAUAAUUUUCAAAAUCUCGAAGGACAUUCUAUAAGUCGUCUUCCUUUUUAUAAUGAUACUUAUUAUAACUAUUGGAAGCCUAUAACGAUAAUAUACAUUCAAUCAAUAUAUUAUAAAAAUUUGAAGUUAUUGAGACUUUGUUUGAGCCCCAUUUUGUUGAAAAAUAGAUUUGUAAUAGUAUUUUUGGGAGAAUGUGUGGUUAAAAGGUUAAAAUUUUUUUUUUCGAGAUUACGUGUAAAUUAUUUUAUUUUAAGAAUGUAUGCUUGAAAAUAAGUUUGGAGAAAAAUAAGUUUUGAAAUAAUGGGACUCAAACAGAGGCUGAAUUUGGUGCUUAUGUGCCUAUAAAAUUUAUUAACUUGAUGGUAAAUUGAACCAUAUCAUUUCAAAUCUAGAGAGGAGUAUGUUGAAGAUGAUAAACAAAAAUCAUCUUCAAAUGCAAGAGCAAAAAAUCUACUCUAUCAUACUUUAGUUAAAAUGAAUUUAAUUGUAUUAGUACAUGUGAUUUCACUUAUGAUAUUUUGCAUACUUUGGACGUCAUUCACAUGGGUAAUAGCAAAAUUAAAGAAACUAAGAUCAAUCCCUCGAUUAAAAAUUUCGUUAUGAAACAAAAUGAACGUAUUGUUUAUAUGACUAAUUGUUUUAACGAUAUUGUUUAAUGGUCUCAAACAUUUUGAUCAAAAUUUUACUAAUAGUAAACUUGUGAAUAAAAUGCUUAGGUCUGUCUUGGAAGAUUGUAACUCAUUGAGGAUGUUGAUAAAAAAACACCGAAGAUGUCAACAUAUAUUCAUUGGAGGAGCUUAUGGAACACUAUUGACAUAUAAGCUAAAUCACUUGAAAGGAAGGAAAAAAUAAGAUAAAGAAAAGAAGAGGAAAUGAAGGAGCCUCCUAAGCGACAAUUGCUUUAAAAUUAGUAUUUGAUGAAAGCACUUUGAGCGAAAACUUGAAUGAUUAAGAACUUGAUGAUUAUUUCUUAUUUUCAAGAGAUAGAGGGAUUUUCGCAAACAAUAAAAUGGCAAAGAAAAUAAUAAAAAAAUUAUUUAUUAUGAUUGUGACAAACUUGAUCACAAAAAAAAUCGAAUGUCCUAAUAAGAAGAAUUUUAUUAAAAAAAUAAAAAAUGGAAACACUCCAAGCAACAUGGGAUAAGGGUGAUGAUAAAGACCAUGUAGAAAAUGAGAGUCAAGAAGAAGUUAUCAAUAUAUGCUUCAUGGCUAUUGAAAAUGAGAUACACUCAAAUGAAAAUUCUUUAUAUGAUGAACAUCUUGAAGAAUUUGAAAAUUUUGUUCUCAACAGUUACUCAAAAGAAAAAUUAUUUAUUGAAAAAGGAGGUGACGAAUUUUUUGAAAACACAAAAGGAUUUGAGAAAGUAAAAGUUGAUCACAAUUCUUUAAUUAAAGAAAACUCUUCUUUAAAAGAAAAUAUUUUAGAUUUGACAAAAAUUGUUCACAAAUUCCUCAAGGCAAUAAAAGUUUUGACUUAAUACUUGAUGAGCAAAAAUGCAUUUUCAAUAAAGGAGUACAAACCUUUCUUGAAACAAAAAUCUCUAAAAAAUUUCUUUGUUAAAGUCUCUACCUCUCAUCUUCCUAAUGUUAUAUGUACUUUUACAUUAGAGAUAGACAUGUAGCUUUUGAUUGUUCAAUAAAAAAUGGGGGUUACACUUUGAAAGCAAACACAAGUGGAUUCCAUGGUCCACAAACACCAAGGACCUAAAAUUGUAUAGGUACCUAAGAUCAAAAAUUAAAUUAUUUCUUGUAGAUACCAAAGAAAAUAAGAACAAAUGGUUUUUGCAUAGUGGAUACUCAAAGAAUGUGACUAGAGAUCAAAGUUUAUUCUCAAGCUUCAAAAUGAAGGAUAGGUGUUAUGUCAUUUUUGGAGAUAAUGCCAAAGAAAAAAUCAGUAGCAUUGAAAAUAUUGGUAAUUAUUCAUAUGAUUUUAUUUAAAAUAUUCUUCUUGUUGAUAACCUUAAACAUAACUUGCUUAGUAUUAGUCAAUUAUGUGAUAAAGGUUAUCAUAUCAAAUUUAGUUCUUCCAAGUGCCUUAGAAAUUUGCUACAUCAAGAGAAAUUAUAUUUAUAGGAAGCUAUUAUGUCAUAAACAUUGAAUUUGAAAGAAAUGUAAAGUGCUUAUCAAGUUUAAAAGAUCGUAAUUGAUUAUGGCAGAAAAGAUUGGGUCAUGUUAGCAUGGACCUACUGUAAAAAAAAUUCAAAAAUGCUUGUUAAAGGUCUGUCAAAAUUAAAUUUGAAAAAGAUAAAAUUGUGAGAUAUGUCAAUUUGGAAAACAAGUAAAGAGUUCUAUCAAUCUAAAGAAACAUUCUUCAACUGCAAAAUAUUUACAACUUCUCUACAUAGAUCUUUUUGGACCAUCUAAAACUAUAUGCUUAAAUAGUAAAAACUAUACAUUCGUCAUUGUUUACAACUUUUCUAAGUUUACUUGGAUCUUAUUUUUGAACUUACAAGAUGAAACUAUGAAUGUUUUUAAGCAUAUUUGUAAAAAUGUUCAAAAUGAAAAGGAAUAUACUAUCACUACAAUUAGGAGUAAUCACGGUGGAGAAUUUGACAAUAUUGCAUUUUAUAAUUUUUGUAAAAUUAAUGGCUAUGAACAAAAUUUUCAAUUCCCAGAACUCUUUAGCAAAAUAGUGUAGUAAAAAGAAAUAAUAACUCAUUACAAGAAAUGGUUUGAACUAUGCUAAAUGAAAAUAGUUUACCAAAAUAUUUUUAUGCCCACACCAUCAACACGACAUGUUACACUGUGAAUAGAGUUUUGGUUGGUCAAUAAAAACAAAAACUCCAUAUGAGUUUUGAAAAAAUAAAGUUCUCAACAUUAGUUAUUUUAAAGUAUUUGGGCAUAAAUUUUUUAUUUUAGAAACAAAAGAAAUUUUGAGAAAAUUUUAUCCAAAAUCCAAUAUUUGAAUCUUUCUUAGAUAUUCAUCUAUUAGCAAGACUUACAUAGUUUUUAACCAAAGAACUUUAAUUGUUAAAGAAUCCAUGCAUAUAAUUUAUGAUGAAGUUAGUCCUCUUAAUCAAGAAAAAGGUAUUGAUAAUAACGUAGGUUUAGAGAUUCCUUUUGAGCAAAUGAACAUUCAAAAUCAAAAAACGAAGAUCCUAAAAUGUUUGAGAUCAAUACGAGAAAAAAGCAAAUGUGCAACAAGUUGAGGUGAAAUCUCCUAUAGUAAAAAAUAAUUCAUCUCUACCUAAGGAAUGGAAGUUUGUUUUUUCUCAUUCAAAAUAGCUUAUCAUUGGUGACCCAUCCAAAGGUGUAACUCGAGUUUGAACCAAAGAAUUUCAAAGAAUUGAGUUUGGUGAAUUUUGGGUUCUAGUUAUGUAAGAUGAAUUAAAUCAAUUUCAAAGAAAUUAUGUUUGAGAUUUAGUAGCUAGGCCAAGUAGUCAAAUCGCUAUCGGUAUAAAAUGGAUUUUUUUUGAAAUAAAUGAGAUGAAAACAGUAUAAUUAUGCUUAAUAAGUCUUAGUGGUUCAAUAUUACAAUCAAGAAGAAGGUGUUGAUUUUGAAGAAACUUUUGCACCAACAGCUAAAUUAAAAUUCAUAUGCAUGCUUUUGUUUGUCAUAAAAAGAUUCACUUGUUAUCAAAUGGAUGUCAAAGGUACAUCUAAAUGGUUUCAUUAAAGAAGAAAUAUUUGUUGAACAACUUCCCCAUUCAACAAUCACAAGCAUCUGGAUAGUGUUUUUAAGUUAAGAAAAGCUCAUUAUGGCUUAAAGUAAACUCGUAGAGCAUGUUAUGAAAGAUUAAGCAAAUUUCUUAUAUUAAAUUGUUUUAUAAUGGAAAAAGUGGAUACUACAGUUUUUAUCAAAACUAAAAAGAAUGAUAUAUUUACUGUCCAAAUUUAUAUUUAUAAUACUAUUUUUUGUGCUACAAACAUUUCACUUUGUGAAGAGUUUUCAAAUUGUAAGAGCAGGGAAUUUGGAAUGAACAUGACAGGGGAGCUCAAGUUCUUCCUUGGACUUCAAAUCAAACAAAUUAAUGAUGGAAUCAUCAUUAGUCAAACAAAGUACAUCAUGAAUAUGCUCAAAAAAUUUGAAAUGGAAGAGGUGAUACCAGUGAUACUCCAACGAGUUCAUCAAUCAUAUUGGGCAUUGAUGAUCAAGGUACUUCCAUAGAUAACAAAAUAUCGAGGAAUGGUCAAAUCUCUUCUUUAUUUAAUCCCUAGUAGACCUGAUAUUAUGCUUGGUGUAUGUUUAUAACAAGAUUUCAAUCAAAUCCUAUGUAUUCACAUCUUAAUGUCAUUGAACAAAUUUUUAGAUUAAAUAAACGUUAAGUGAUUACCAAAACUUGUCUAAAUCUCUUCUUGCAUUCUCGAACCAAGCUGAAUGAGAGUAGGCAUCACUUUCUAAGAAAUCAUGUACAAAAGGUGAUAUUGUUCUAGAAUUUAUGAAUACGGAAAAAUAAAUAGCCAACAUUCUUACUAACAUAAGAGGUUUGUGCACAAUGACUUCGAAAUACGUGGCUAAAAUUGAAUCUGUACUAUUUGCAUUUAUAUGACUAAUAUUAUGAAUAUGAUAUGAUGAUGAUUGAUUCAAAUUUAUAUGUUGAAAUACAUGACAAAAAUCAUUGCCUAAUUUUUUUAGUUCAUUCAAUUCUCUCAAAAUCCUGAUCAGUUAAGAAUUCAAUCGAUAGGUUGAGCAUGCAGACAACCUACUGUCUCAUCCAAAUUGGCAUAACCUUUUUUUCAUUUUUUGAUUUUCAUCGAAUGAUCAUUGGACGUUCGGUCAUAUUAUCCGAAUGGAUAGAAACAUUUGUCCAAUUUUCAUCCAUUAAACCCUUCACAAUCCUCCUCUGGGAGAUCAUCCAAACUCUAGCUUUUCAAAUCCGAUUGUACACUAUGACUCGACUAAAGAUGCCUAGAAAGCAUUCAAGGAGAAGUGAGAGGGAAUCGACUCCGCCAUCUGACGAAGAAAAUCCCCCAUUGUCGAAAACUAGAUUUGACGAAUGCUCAAUUCUUAUUGGUAAGCCCUUAUAUUUCACAUCGUUUACUUUCAGUGCUCCAUCAUUUCAAAUUGAGAGAUAAUUUAUGAGAAUGGAUUGGGUUUCUAUUGCUACGUUGCAAGAAAUAACCUAGCCAAUCUUAUCAAAGAAUUUUACAAAAACAUGAACUUUAUUCCAAGAAUGGGUAUAACUUGUUUUCCUAAGGGAAAGAGUAUAAAAAACACUAGGAGCCUCAUUAGGAUGUUUAUUGUGCUUUAGGAAUGUGAAAAUAGAGGAUAUUAUCAUAUGACUCCUCAUUUUGAGAGUUAUAAUCCGGUCGAAGCUUGUAGUAGAAUUAUCAGUACACCUUUCAAAAUGCCAUAAAACAUAGUUCAAAUUAACUCACUCUACUUUGCCAAGUUUUACACAACAUUAUUGUUCAUUUCAUCGUUCCUACAAAAUGUCAUCUAGAUGACGUUAAUCUUUUUGACCUAUUUUUUGUUGACUUGUUCAUGAUUGGAUGUAAAAUUGAUUUUCCCUCAUUGUCAUGAGUCACAUGAAUAAUGCCUAUUCAACCUUUAGUGUUCUUGCUUUACCUUAUUGCAUGAUUCUUGCAAAGAUUUUUCAAUAUUUUACUGUACCUUUGAGCGGUGAGGUUUUCGUUGGCCAACGUCGUACCAAAACUAUUGAUGUUAGCACCCCUGGAAGAAUGAAAUUUUGAAAGAACUAGGGCAAUGGGUGGCAAACACAAAGGUGUUUGAUAUGCUACUUUAACGUUUGAAGGUGAUGAAGCAAUGGAAGGUGAUAAAAACAAAGAAGAUGCAACAUUAAUUCAUCCUAUUCUGAACACUCCUCCUGACAUCCUGAGCUCAAGUAACCUACCUCCUUCCUUCAAUUUCACAUUAACAAAAGAUCACUAUAAUUUAUUGCAUGAUCAUAUUGUUUCUCUCAUUUCCACCAUUGAGGGUUUGCAAAAUUGUGCAUGGUCUACAAAAUUUGAUGGAUGGGUUAGCUACUUUGCUUAAGCAAGUGCUUGCAUCCCCAUAAGACUUAAAUGCUUAUUUUGAUUCGGCCUUUACUCCUCCAUCUACACUGAAUCACAUGAUUUUCGUUUAGUAUUCUUUUUUCUUUUUUGGCAUUUUCCAUUUCAAGCUUGAUGUAUUUUGGAGCCAUUUUUAUGGUCCUUAAACUAUGAUUAUGCUUUUGACCUUCAUCACUUAUGUUUUGACAAGUAUUUUUGCUAUGAAUGUGAUGAGUAUUGAUAUUUUUGGAUUCGUGUAUGUUUUUGCAAGUACAAGUGUUUAAUUUAGGGUGAAUAUUAUUAUUCUAUAUGUUCCGUUGUUGUUUGAUCAUUAACGUUGAAUUUUUGCUCUCAUAUGCUUUACCUUUUUUUUUUAUGCCAAAUGUCAGAAAAUGGGUGAUUUACAAUAUUCUUUAAAUUGAUAAUGUGAUAAUUGCAAGAUUACACUUCAAAAUAGUGAUAUUGCAUUUUUGGCAAAGAAAAUAAUAGUUUGUAAAAGAUAGUGGGAAUAUACGUCAAAAAUUGAGCAUUUUAUUCCUUAUCAAUUAUUGAUCUUACUUUACAAAUUAUUGUCAUAAUAAAAACUAAGGAAAUGGUUGACCACUUGACCUAUAAUUGAAUUUACCUUAAAGUUUUGAUUAUAAAAAACAAGUUAAUCUUAUUUACUAACAAUUGAUUUAAAGUGAUCAUAGUCUUCAAAGCAUUCAAUGAUAAAUCAAUCAUCAUCAAAAGAUCAAGAUCAAUACUAUCAUUACAAAUCAGACUCUCCAAGAAGAUCAAGAUCGAAGCCACGUCUUCCAAGCAUUCAAGACAAUAUCUUUCAAGAAGAGAGCUUAAGAGCCAAAUUUAGAAAAGAUCAAAUACUAAGCAUAACACAAAAUGUAAAGGUACUAACGCUUCGAUCUUUGACAAUCGUUGAUCAAAGUUCAAAACUAUUGUAUGCAGUACAUUACUUUGACAUCACUUGCUUAAAAUAUUUUAAUUAGGUUGAAUUUGAUUUUCAUCGUUUAUCUUUUUAAAAAUCAACAUUUGAUAUAAAUAAUAUUUGAACUUAUAUUUUAUAUUUACAAUAUCAUUUAACCUUGAAAAGCUAGUUGUUCCAAAAGUUCAAGUUUUUCAAAGUGAUUCGGAUCAGGCCGAAUCGGACGGUCGUUUGACAGACCAAUUCAUGGUUCGGUCGACUAAAUUCCAAAGGUUUAAAAUUUAAACGUUCUAAUUUUUGACCAUGUACUUUGCAACCCCUACACUUUUGGGUCGUUCGAACUUACACUGAAUGACUGAACCCUCUUUCGAAUUGCCAGAAAGUUAUGCAAUUAAUUAUCUAUAAAUCGAUUCUCUUUUACAAACAAUAAUAUGUCGUUGAAAGUAGAUUAUUGUACGAAAUAUUUUGAGCCAAUAUUUCUUCUACAACUUCAUUUUGAAAAUCUUUGUUGAUUGAAUAUAAAAUUUAAGAAAUCAUCUUCAUUGAAGCUUUUUACCUAACAUUUGAGCUAUCAUUUAUUGUUACUUAUUAAAAUGUUACUCUCUCUUGGGACUCGAUUUAUUUCUUUCAAUUAUUAAGAGAAGUUUAAUUGUAAAACUAUUUUCAUCAAACAUUUGGAUCAUAUUGAGGCCCCUUAAAAUGUCAAUGUUGUAUAAGGAUUGAUACUCUUGAUUUGUAAGCUAUUGGAAGCAUAAGUCAAGUAAUAUAGUGGAAAGACCUUACUCGUGACAGAGAUGUUGAUAAUAAAAGAUGUAUAUCAUAGGUUGGGAACGAACCUUCAUAAAUACAUUGUUUGCAAUUUUCUCUACUAAAUCAUGUAUAUUUAUCUUGCUUACAAUUUUGGUUGAUAUACACGUCUUUAACUUACCUAAUUUGAGAUUAAAAUUUAAAAAAAAAAGUUUCAAAAACUAAUUUACCCCUAUCGUGGUCAGUUAUUCAUAGAUUAUCAUAAUUUUGAUCCAAAUGAAUUGUUCCUGAGCAUCAACUUUGUAGCAACCCAGUGAGUUUCACUUAUAUUUGUCAUAAACUUGCUGUAGAUACUUACUGCCGAAUCCGAACUUGUACAAACCAUUGAUACAUAAUAGAGCCAACAGUAUUAGCAUAUGAUAUUUUACAUAUCAACUUCAACAAUUUUAGAUGAUUUUUUACUUGAAAGUUUAAAAUGGUUAACUACAGAAUAACAAGCUUAGUAUAAUUCUUGGAAAACUUUUCUAAAACCUUGGUAACAUAUUAAAAUUAAUUCAUAUAAAGAAUGCAGUUUUCCUAUAUAUUUUAAUUUCCAUGCCCAAAAUUCUUUUCUUCUUGUCCUAAAACUUUUGUUUUAAAGUAAUGUUUCAAUUUUGAUUUUAUACCAUCAAUUUCUUUUCUAUCAUGGAAUGCCAACUUUAUAUCAUCAACAAAUAAAAGCGAAUUGAUGAAUUUACUAACACCUGUACCUUUAUAGAAAAGACAUGAAUUAAAAUUGUUAUGAUGCGAACCCGAUUAACAAAGUCGCUAUCAAACCCACAUGAAUUGACACCGGAUCCCAAGAACACCCAAAUACGACCAAGGUUUACGAAUCGACCCGCAAAAGUAAACCAAGCAACCGAACUUAUACGAAACGAACAACCUCUUAAUCACACAAUCUUGAAAUCUCAUCCGGAUUUGUAGAUUUGAAUUCCGAAAUAGUGAAUUAAGCAACCAAAGGUAUAUUAAACCAAUGACCUCUUAAUUACACUAACGAAAUCGCACCCGGUAAUUUUGAAUGCCACAAGGAAAUUAAUCCUUUGAUAAGUUCAACCCGUUCAUUGAAGAACAAAGUUUGAAAGGAGAAAAUCUCAAUUAUUCAUUAUCAAAAGUCUUGUAUUACAAUGUAAAAAAAUAAAUAUAUUUAUACUAAAACCUAGAAUAAAGUUUAAAUGGAAUAAAAUUCUAGAAUAUCUAGAAAUCUAUUAAAAUCGGAAAUAGAGUCCUAAAAUAUCUAAAUUACCAAAAAUAAGAAAUUAGACCAAAAUAAAACUUCUCCAGAUCACAUCAGACCCUCUCUCUUCAAGAGGAUUCGUUCUCGAAUCCUGAUCCAAGUUAUAGCUUUUACUUUCAAUCAACUCAAGCACAUGAAAUGGCCCAUCACCUCUCGGAUGCAAUUUGGACCUCUUUUGAUAUCGAACUCUCCUCUUUUGAAUAUAGACCCAAUCACCCUUACACAGAUCAAAGUGUGUACACCUUGACGGUUUCUUUUUGCCAUUUUGUGAUGCUCCAAGAAUGUUUUCAGCUAAUAAAUCACUGUUCAUUUUCCACGCUUUACUCUGCCCAGGUGAUGUUGACAAUAUUACUUCCACUGGAUGCAUGUUUCCCAACAUAUCGACUUUGUAGCUCAACUCCUUGCAUAUUAAUUCCUUCCAUUGCUUUUGAAAUUCAUUUGUCUCCUUGGGGAUAACAAAAUUAAUCUUCGGUAAUAUAGUGAUUUCCAAACUAGGAUGUGAUUGUUGUUGAAUUGUAUCCACCAUUUGGUAAUUAAUGCCUUGAUUGUAAGGGAUUCCAAUCUGAUUAAUUUCUGGAAUCAAAUCUUCGUUAACCUGCAAAAUAGAAUUAGCAAAAAUAGGGAGGGAAAUGUUAGUAUUCACCAACGCCUUCUCAAUUUUAACCUCCUCUUCAUGCAACUUCACUCUCAACUCCUCAUUUACCUCCAAAGACUCUUCUUCACUUUCAUCCUAUGACACCACUUCCAUUUUAACCAUUUCACCAUUUUCAAUUUCACCCCCGACUUUCUUUUCACUCACUUGUGGCUCCUCUUCUUUUUCCUCACAAACUACCACCUCAAUAUUUUCAUGUUUUUUUCUCUUGCUCCUUUCGUUCUUUCGGAUGAUCAAUUUGAGACCUAAUAAUGUCGAGAAUAUCGAAGAAUUUCUAUUUAUAAUCCACCCGAGUCCUCUUGCUUGAUGUACUACCCGCUAGGCCGGGGAAAAUCUCCAAAACCGAGCCCAACGGUUCUUGUCAAAUUAAAUACCUGAACGAGUAUUUGAAUUGAGAACCGACGGGUACGAUUUGGUUCUCGAUUCUAGACUAAGAACUGAAGAACCGAAUAAAAAUCGAAUCUUUUUAAUUUUUUUUUAUAUUGAGUAAAUCAAAUUAAUUUAAUUUUAAUUUUUCUAAACAAAUUAACAAAUUAACGAUUUCUAAAUCCAAAUUUUUGGCCCAAUAAUUUGUUUCAUUUCUAACUUUUUAAUUUUUGACCCAAUUACCAAUUUUAUUAUUUCAUUUCUUAGUCAAACAAGAUCAAAUCCACUAAAUAACCCUAAACACCUAUACUAAAGUGCAUAACAUUGUCUCGACUCUCGCACUCACUUUCCCAGCCUCGCUAAUAUUCCAAAACAUAUACAAUCGUCGACAAACACUGUGAUCUCCGCCGAUCGAAACUUUGAUCGUAGCGAUCAUUUGAACAAGGUAGUUUACUAGUCUCUGACAUUUCAAAACCAUUGAAUGUAUCAUUAGUUGUAUUUAUAUAAUGUUGUUAUAAAUGUUAAAAAAUUUAAUUAUAGUACAGAACCGAACGGAACUGAACCGAACCGAACCAAACCCGAACGGUUCCAUAAUUAUAUUUGGAUCCAACGGUUCCAUUUACUAGAUACCCGAAAAUUUUGGUUAGGUUCGGUUCUCUUUAGAAUCGAGCCGAUCCAACCUACGCCCACCCCUACUACCCGCACACUUCGCACUAAGUGUUUUCAUUUCCACUCGAUAAUUAUCCCCAUAGCAUCUCCUAGGUUUCUCCCUAAAUUUGACUUCUCGCCAAUCUCUCUAAUAAUAAUUUGUAUCCCUUCUCCCAUGUCUAUCGCCUCUAUUUCUCGAUUCCCAUACUUCAUCAAUGCCACAACCAUAUCCAUAUGCAUCACAAAUUUUCAUCCUAGGUUCCCGUCUCCUCACACUGCACCCCUCAUCACAUUGAUCCCUAUGAAUUUUUUUUCAAUUUUGCAUCCAUCAUAUCCAUCUUAUUCCACAUCUUCUCAAAUCUCUGAAUAAAAUUUUCCGACAUUUUUUUUCUUUUUUUGACUCUUUUUUUUUUUUACUUUUUUUCUCAAAAAUUUUUUCCAAGUAUUGUACGGACGUGAAUGGUACCUCGUGAAACAGUAAAUUUUUUUUUUUUUUUGAAAACUUGACGACGAAUCAAAGACUCAAAAAAAUUGAAAAAUUACAAGAACUCAAAAAUAACAAAACAAAGACUCAAUAAAAUAAAAUAAAAACUGGAUAUAACCUUGAUUUUGGUGUCUUAACUCUGAUACCAUAUGAUACGAACCCGGUUAACAAGGUCGUUAUCGAACCCACAGGAAUUGACACCGGAUCCCAAGAAUGCCCAAAUAUGACCAAGGUUUAGAAAUCGACCCGCAAAAGUGAACCAAGCAACCGACCGUAUAUGAAACGAACGACCUCUUAAUCACACAAUCUUGAAAUCUUAUCCGGAUUUGAAUUCCGAAAUAGUGAAUUAAGCAAAUAUUAAAUCAAUGACCUCUUAAUUACACAAUAACGAAAUUGCACCCAAUAAUUUUGAACGCCACAAGGAAAUUAAUCAUUUGAUAAGUUCGACCCGUUCAUUGAAGAAAAAAGUUUGAAAGGAAAAAAUCUCAAUAAUUCAUUAUCAAAAGUCUUGUAUUACAAUGUAGAAAAAUAAAGCUAUUUUUACUAAAACCUAGAAUAAAGUUUAAAUAGAAUAAAAUUUUAGAAUAUCUAGAAAUCUAUUAAAAUCGGAAAUAGAAUCCUAAAAUAUCUAAAUUACCAAAAAUAAGAAAUUGGACCAAAAUAAAACUUCUCCACAUCACAUCAUGUUGUUUCUAAAUCCCUAGCCUUUGAUAUAAAUAUUAAUUUUUUUACCAUUGCCUUGAUGCCUGCUCUAAACCAUAGAGGUUUCUUUAACAAGCAAACUUUUUUCAGUUUGCAACUUAGAGCUAAUAGCUUCUUCAUAAGUACUUGAUUCUGUACAAAAGGAUCCAAAACUAAAAAUAAUAACAAAGUCAUCACUGUUCAUUCUAGAUGAAGGAAACCUAUGUCUUUUACAUCUAUCUCUUGCAAUUGAUAAUCAGCUAAGUCUCAGUUUGAACUUCAACUUUUUCAAUAUUAGACUCAACCUGAUUUACUCUAGUUUGAGGUAUCUCCACCUCAAAUUGAACCCCAUAACCAUUGUCAUCAAGAUUUUGAGAUUUUAAGACAGUUUCUUUGCUUAUCUAUCUUAUUUCAGAAAUUGAGACACUAAUACUCAAACAGGGCUUCAACUCGUCUAUAAAAAUUGUAUUUCUACAUAUAAUAACUUAAAAAAAAAUUGUUAUUUAACCCACAAUCUAAAGGAUCUUGGCACUAGUUUUCCCUCACUUUGGUAUGGGUGGGCAACACAUUCAAACAUGGCUGACUCUGAAAAUUUUGAGGGCCAAGGCAACGAAAUAUUAUGAGGCCCCUUAAAAAAUAUAUUUUACCAACGUAGUAAUCUCUUUAGCGUCAAGAGAAAAUUAUGCCACACACCUACUUUUAAUAAAUAUUUCUGAUUUCAACAUUUUUUAACCAUAUAUACUGUUUCUAUAUAGUAAAAAGGAAUGGGAAAAAGUAACCAAAUAAUCAGCUAUUCAUUACCUACCUAAUAUUACUCCAACAAACACGCCCUUAUUAUGUCAAAUUACAAAACAAAUCCCAAAAUUAGUGCUCUUUUAUAUUCCACAUCCAAAAUCCCUAAGUUAUAUUAGAACAUACAUAGUGAUAUAGCGAAAAUCUUGACAAUAUUUCGUCAAACAAUGUGUGUAUCGAUCGCUUUAGAAGAUUAAUAUGGUUUAGCAUUUGUGUUUUCAAUGUGGUAAUAUUUUCUGUAUUUGGAUCGACAUGUAAUGAAUGUGUACGUUCAUCACACUUUUUUUUUUUUUUUUCAUAUAACUAAAUUCUGUUUAUGGAAGGACUAGAAUGAGAAUUGAAAUUUACAUCAGUUACAAAUUUUGGUUUGAGCUUUAAUUUUGGGAGCUAGUAUUUUAAAUAUAAUUAACCAUCGAACUAAUAUUUUAGUUAAUAUUAUCAUGACAUAGUAAGAUGUGAAUUAAUAUCUUGUUUUGAUGUAUAUGUGAAUUUUUCCAUUAGCAUCAAUGAUGGUUGAUUCAAACACAAUUUUUUGUGAUAAAAAGCAUUGAGCUCAUGACACUCACUCACCAUUUGAUAUGUUCAAGAAUCAAAUUUAACAUUCAAGAAAUAGAACUAAAGUCUUCUGAAAACUCUUGAGGCAUGUGCAGGGACGGAUCCAGGAUUGGAUCCAAGAUCGGACUACAAAAUUUCAAGCCGGGCUACUAUGUGGAAAAAAAAUUUUUACACAUAAAAAGCUAGUUUUUCACCAAAAAAAUAAAAAUAAAAAAUACCUUCAAAAAAGCUAUUGGGCCCCUAAAUCUGUCUUUGGACAUGUGAGUGGUGACGACCAUUUAUUACCUAAAUUUUUCUAUAUUAAAAAGAAAUAAAAAUUGUAAAGAAGCAAUCAAAUCUACAAAGUAAAAAAUAACCUUGAAUAAUUACACCAAAAAAAUUCAUUACUGGGUAGUGGGAUAACCUUUCUUUUAUUUGCACCACUACAUCUUCAAGCAAAUAUUUAAUGUAAGAAUUCCAUGAAUUUUGUACAAUAUAUACUAAUUUUGGACUUUGAUUUUUUUUUUUUAGGCCCCUUAUAUUUUGAUGCCCAAGGCCACACUGCCUUGGUGGCCUUGGGCCAGAACCAACUUUGCAUAUAAAACCUCUAAGUCUUAAGUUAUUUACAAGUUUUUAGAACAAACCAGUUCAGGUAUUUUAAAGUUAAUAUAUCUAGAUGGACUCAUGUUAUCCCCAAAAUAAUUUUGGAAGACCUAUGUUGAAAAUUUAUGAAACUUAUAAAUCAUAUCAACUUAUAAGUGGUACUUUUGGUGUAGGAAUAAAAUAUUGACAAUAAACCAUGUCAAACAAUAAACCUAUAUUUGGAUCGAUUUAUUGUUCACAUAAAACAAAUCUUUAUAAUUAUCAAACAUUAGGAAGGUUGUGUGUAUGUACUUUUGGUGUGCAUGUAAUUCUGUCAAAUAUUUACCUUCAUUUGAGCUAGUAUAUAUCCGCAUGAAUUACGCACAUAUGAUCUUCAUAAUAUUUCAAAUAAAUUCAUCCAGACAGGUGAGGUUACUUUGGUAACACGUUGUUUCACUUAAUCUAUUUUAGAAAAUUAGUAAGUCGAAAUAAACCUUAGUACCAAGAUUUGAAAUUUAAUUGUUUUAAUCAAGAAAGAAAAAAAAAUGGAAAAUCAACACUGCAACGCCCAGAUAUGGGCAUCAUGACGCUGCCUCGAUAUCAUCAGCAAUGAUAGGGCGUUGUAAUAUCCAAUUUGGGAGCCGCAACCCACUAUGCAGAACUACGGCACUAGAAGACUAAUGCUGCGACGCUGCUCACUUUUCCUGGCCGAAACGUAGCGCAACAGUGAUGGAGAUUCAACGUCGCAACGCUGCCCGUGCUACUGCGCACCCGUAACACAGUACCACGACUUCCAAACACAGCACUGCAGUGUAGCGAUGAUUCCUUAAUUUUGAAAAAUUCCAAAACAUUUUGAAUUUUGAAAUUUAUGGCUUGAAAUUCACAUUCCAAAAUUUAGAGAUCAAAAUUAUACACUCUAAAAUUCUUCUUUUAAUUUCAAUGAUUUAACAUAGAUUGGCUCUGAUAUUACUGAUUUAAACUUUAUAAAAUUUAAUGAAUUUCCAAAAAUCUCCAUAUCAAAUCACCAAGAAAAUCAAUUAAUGCGGAACAUUUUUUAAUCCAUUGAUCUUAAUCGGCUUCUUGCUUUUAAUCUGAUUGCCUUGUUGAAGAUAAUUACUUCAAUCCUUCUUCUUGAUUCUUGAUCUUAAUUGUGGAUUUUGGAUCUUUCUUUUUAAUAUAUUUUUCGUUUAUUCUUGUGUUGAUUGGACGACAUAAAGAAUAAGAAUCAUAUAUGAAUUAGGGCCCAUAACCCCAGGAUUUCGCCCAUCACGAAGGACAAUUCUAAUAUAUCCGAUCUCUACACAUAUGUAGGCCCAUACUUUAUUUUAGAUGCUCAUAGCCCCUAGCUUUAGUUAAUUAUUAGAUCUCUUUAAAAUGGUUUAACUUUAAGAUAAUCUUUAUACAUAAUUAAUUAAAUAUGUAGGCCUACAUGAUAAAUUAAUAAUUUUCCAACAUCCUAAAGCUAGAAUCAUGCAUAUGACUUUAUCUAGUAAAGUUUUAUUUAUCAUUUCUGCCACACCACUUCCUUUUGGCGUUUAUAUGACAGUGUUAUGUCUUAAUAUGUCCCACUCUUUAUAGAAAAGAUCAAACUCAAGAUUGUACAAUCCAACCCAUUGUUAAAAGGUUGAACCCCAACCUUAAGGGUCUUCCACCGCCUUUGCUCUGGAGUAUUGUGAGGGAGGUAAAUCGCAGGUUAUGCCUCCAAGGGUACAUGGUGGAAGGCUGCUUGUACACUUGCACUUACCCAAGAGCCAAAUCCAUAUUUCAGGAUUCGAACCCUUGACGCAGCAGCCUCAAGCAAAGCUGAAUUUUUCCACCCUCCCCUUUUACCACUUGGAGAUGUGCCGUGGGGGCAAUCCAACCCAUUGUUUGUUUUGAGAACAUUGGUUUUAUAUUAAGAUCUUCCAUUGUUUGAAAUUUCAAGAGGUGUCAGAUUUUGAAGAAAGGUUCAAAUUUUUCUUGAAAAAUCAUGUGAAAUCAAUAGAUAAAAAUCUAUACCCACUAAGAGUAUUUACAGUUUUUGUUCCUCAAAGAUCAACAUACAGAUAUUCAUGAUAAUAUUGAACUUAUGAAUUCCACUUACAAAAGGCAACGUACUUUGCUUUUCUAUGACACGCUCCUCACGAAAUUUAAUUUGUUCUAUAUUAUGCUUUCUAAAUAUCCUUCUUUUCAAAGUUGGAGUCCCUUAUCAUUUAUAUGGCCAGUCUUUUAUGUCAAAAAAGUGGUCAAGUUUUACACUUGUGGCUACAGUAGUUUUACCUACCAAAGGCUUUGCUUUUACAAUAUCAAUGUCUUAGGUGUAGCUAGUACCUUUAGAGAAUUUAAGAAAAAUUUAGCAAAUUAAAUCCUUCAUAAAUUCUUAUAUCAUAUUCAUCUUCUAAUUUACCCGAAGAGACUAGAUUUCUUCGAAGGUCAUGAACAUAUCUAGCUCCCCUUUUUUUUAUUAGGUAAAUAAAUUUGUAUUGAUCAAAAUUGAGUACAACUGCUCCGGACAUAGAAGUCAAACAUUACAAAAUAUCUAAUGAUCCAAAGCAAAAGACUCAAACCGAAAGUUGUUGCAACUUCAUCUAAUCAAAACUAACCUAAGAUGUUGAACCUCUAUGCAAACGUAGGGUGACCCCCUUCUUGCAUAAUCAUUUCGAUAUCAAGCGGGGGUUAUCCUCUUUUUAUCUUUCUCGACUGCAGCAGUAUGUAGAUCAUCCAUCUUGCCUUCAAGCUUGCCAUUACAUGUUGCCGUCAUCUGUCGUUCUUCUUGAACAUGGCCAUUGGACUUAUUCAUUCUCUUCUUUUUGCUAGCGACCUCAACAAAGGGAUAUUCCAACUCAUCCCUAUUUUCUUGCACUGAUUCUCCACUAGCAUUCUCGCCAUUUCGCCCAACAACGUGCUGGCCAUUUUGUCCGCAACUGUUCUGUCCCUUGUGCACGACCUUUUUCCUGUUGACAACCUCAACAAAUGGGUCGUCAACUAGUUUAGUAAGCUGCCUUUGUUAUGCAUCAAUCUGUUGUAUAUCUUACUGUCUAACGGAACCUGCCCGCUCCAAAUUUACAACAAACUGUCUAUUUUUCCCAGAUUUUGCUGAAAUUCUGUCAGCAAUCUAUCCAUGUAUCCCAUGCUGAUUCUGCUGUGUUUUAGGCUCCACAACUAGGACCUGUUUAGUAUUUGCGCCCCCAGCCUGAUUUAUUAUUGCAGUCUAAUUUUUCGAUGAGCAUAUAGUCGUCUUGUGCACAAACAUUUUACAAAUUCACAAAAUUUAGGCUCAUGCUCAUAUAUUACCUGUUGUACUCUCGACUUCCAUGUAGAUAAAUUCAUUUCAACAAUUCUCACCAACUCUUUAAACGCAUCAACUUCCACGAGCACCCAGGCAUCAGACAAUCUACCUUUGGUAGAUGUGAGCUUGUCCGUGCAAUAAGAUUUCCAAACUCUGAAGCGAUCUUUCCCAAUGCUUUUGAAUUCCAAAAAUCUAAAGGUAAUCCGGGUAAUUUGAUCCAUACUGACAUAAGACUAAUGUCUUCGUCAUCAAAUUCAAAACAACGGGCCACGACCUUUAACAUUAGCUGUCUACCGAACACAAGAUAAGGGCCUCCAUGCAACGCCCUCUAUCUAGCCCUUUAUAAUUACAGAAUGUGACAAUUAUACAGUACAUUUUUCCAAUUUUUCCCAAAAUCGACAACUCAUAUCAUUUCCAUUUUGUACUUGUCGACCAUUUACAUCAACUAAAUCGGUGAACCACUCUCUAACAUGGUACAUAUGAAAGGUGCAACCAAAAUGAAGCACUCAUUUAGAGUUACUUUAGUUGAGGCCACUAAAACCACCCCAUUCAUUUCAUCAUUAUUGUUGCAAGCUGCAGUUCCAUCUAAUUUUACUUUUUCUCUCACAUCAGCUCUUUUUUUUUUUUUUUUUUUUUUAAAAUUAACUUUAAUUUAAUGUUGUGUUUUCCCACAAUAAUAGCAUGUUAAAAUUUCCCUUUGUAAUUUUCAGUGUUAUCAAAGUUGGAUCGAAUCCAAUCAACCAAUUCAACUGAAAAGCUUUGAAACCGGAUGGUGAACAGGUUCGGUUAUGACUUAAAACCCAGCAGACUAAUAACCAAAAAAAAUCCAGACAAAAGCAAGGUUCAACCAAAAUCGUUGACCCGGCAUCAAUUUCUCCAGUUUAAUUGGUUCAUUUUGUUAAGUAAACUAAAAUUUCAAGGCCCAAUGUCGUAAAGAGUUUAAGCCCAAAAUUUAUUGUUCCUUUACCUUAUGCCGGCCAUCUUAUAUUUGCUUGUUUUAUCUUUUGGGAAAAAAAUCAAAAUUAAGAAGUUAAAUAUCACUCAUUUCAAAACUAAGAACAAAUAUUUAAAAUUUGAAAAAUCAAAUAUUUGAUAAAAUUUAUUUAUGAUUUGUUUAAUUAAUUAUAUAUUUUAUUUAUUAAAUAUAUUAAGGUCACGAAUCUAUAAAAUUUGGCAACGGAUCAACGAUUUUGUUAGUCACAUAUUAUUUUGUUCAUAAAUUAGAAUUUUUAUAUAUCACAAAUAUUUUACGAUCACAAUUAAAAAAAUUUUAAAGUCACACAUUAUUUCUUGAUCACAAUUUAUCUUUUUUAUUGGUUAUAUAUUGUUUAUUGGCAAAAAUUAACCAAAUUAAUGGUCACAGUCGACCAAAUAAUUUGUGACUACUAUCAACACUUGCGACCACCAUCUCACCACUACCACCAUUAUCGUCAUCAGAUCUACCACCACCAUCACCUACCAACAGAAACACCACCAUAAAAAAACACCACAACAUCAUUGCGCCAAAUCCACCACUACAAAAAAGAUUAUUAUAGUAACCGCCACGGCCACAGAUCGAGACCCAUCACAUCCGUCACCACCACCCGAAAUGAAAAACGGUGGUCUCAGCCCCCACCACCUCCACCACCACAUUACCAACAAUCUCCCAACUCUACCAUACCAUACCACCAUGACCAACCAAAAAAAUCUCAAACCUACUGUCAUUGCCGCAGCCGCAGCCGCAGCCGCCACCACCACCAACACUGCUACCUCCACCAAUCUACAAUCACAACCAUAGUCAUCGCCACCAUCUCCAUCACAUCCGCCCUCGCCACUGCCACCACCAUAUCACUUGAACCAAAAAUCAUUAAUGCAGCCCCAGCUACUACGUCCACCACCACACCACAAACAGUCCUCCAUCUCUACCACACCACAGAUUCAGUCCUCGUCACCAACACCAUUACACCUUCCCACCAUAUGGUACAUCAUAGUGGCUACGAACAGGAAAAAUCUGCAGGAACAAUAUGUGAUGUAAGCGAUUACCAAUACCAUUACACCUCACCACCACUCGAUCUAUGAUGCAGGCAAUUGGCACACAAAUCAUUGCCAAUGACGGUGAUCGGCCUCGCGCAGCAUUGCUUUGGCAUCUGGUGGCGAUAGUGAACUAAAGAGAAUCGGUUGAAAAUGAAAAAGGAAAUGGAGAUAAGGGUUUAAGGUAUGGGUAUAUAAUUUUUAAGUGAAAAUUACCAAAAUAGUCAAUUUUUUUGCUUUGCAUUUACAAAAAUGUCACAUUUUUUAAGUCUUUACAAGAUUGAUAAUUUUGAAAAAUUUUAGACAUUUUUACCCAUCUAAAUAAUUCAAAUACCCUACAUGUUCUUCAUUAAAAAUUGAUUUGACUAGAUAGAAAAAUAUUACAAAAAACUUUAAAACAUCACAUCAUAUAUAUAUAUAUAUAUAUAUAUCCUCUCAUUCCUUAAAAGAUAAAAGUUCUAUCAUUCUCUCUCUCAUUCCCUAAAUCUAAAUGGCUCAAUUUCCUCUUGCUCAAGGUCAUCGACGACGCUAAAGUCCUCAAUUUUUGUCCAGGCUUGAAGCCAAAUAACCGUUAGUCAAUCCACCAUCAAUGAAAAUCACCAUUAAUCUUUUGAGGUUUAAUUUUUUUUCUUUCUUUUGUAUUUGUUGUUCUCUUCUCCUCUCUUCUGAUUUUUCAAAUUUAAGGGUAUUUAUUUUUUUAUUCUUCACAAAUUUGGUCUGAAUUGGUACAAUAUGUCUCAUUUUUUUGUUGUCUAUUUUUCUAGUGACAUGAAAAUGUUAACGUUUUGGUUUAUGUAAGUUAUCUAUGAAUUUAUUUCUUACAAUUAUGUUUUUCAUUUUUCUUUCCUGUAAAUAAUGGUUAUUGAUCAUUAUUGGACAAAUUGAGUUUGAGUUUGUGAAAUGAGCUAAGAUUGAAUUGGAUAUAUUCUGAUCAACAUGCACAAAUAAGUUCGGUUAAAUGUUUCUUUAUAUGAUUAUUCGGGGUUAUUUGAAUGUUGAUUGAAGUGUUGGAUUAUUAUAUUUUCAUUCUUGAAAAUGUCUUUGCAUUUAUAUAUAAAACUUGUGGUUGAGUAUAUGAAAAGUGGUGCUAUUGGAAGCUAUAAGUAUAACACAUAUCAUGUUUGUAAUAACUUGGCCCUUCAUGUCUUGGAAAGUCAAUAUGAAUGUGAAAUAUGUAAUGUCCAAUCUGUCGACAGACGAACUGUCGUUCUCAACAGUUAGGCUCUGAAAUUCUCGAUAGUUGAUUGCAGAAACCAAAUUUUGUUAAGCUUCCCUUCUAUGUAUGAUUUUAGGGUAUUGAAAUGUAUAGCAUGUCAUUUGAGCACCAUUAUUACUUCAUGAAUUAUAGACAUAACAGUUAUGAAUCCAUCUGUAAAGAGAAACUGUCAUUCUAGAUAGAGAAGUCAUCGACCCAAAAGGUGCUUGCCUGGACUACUGGAGGGUCCAUCAGCUAGCUAGGUGGAGGAGGGGAUUGGUAUGUAUUAUCACUUUAAUUUAAUAAUGCAUUUGUUCCACUAUUUGAAGUUUUUAUCUUUAUGAUUUCAAACAUGGUUGUUUCGUAUGAAAUUACUGACCUGAAAGUUGGUAGCCGAAACUACCGAAAGGUCCAUUGACUAGAUGGGUAAAAUAGGCAAUUAAUAUGUGUUACUACUUUCAGUUUUAAAAAACAAAUAUUAGAAUGUUUUGAUUUCUUAACUUGGCAUUUGACACUUGAUUAUUUCGUAUGAAAGUGUUGAACCAAAAGGUACAUGAUCGGACAGUCGUGAAGUUCCUUAUGCUUGUGGUAGAUGGUAAGUUCCGUAGUAGGAUAGUUAUACAAUGUCAAAUUUUUAUAUUUUACGUUAAAUAUGUUUAGUUGAAGAUAAACGUAUAAUUUCGAUGUUAUACUUCAAAUUUUGGUAGAAUCUGUUAUUUUCUUCCAUUAUUAAAUUUUGGUGCCUAAUACAACUCCAACCACUUUUGCAUAGGAGUAUACACUGAUGUACCACUGGCAUCAACUAUACCCGUUCAAGGUGACGAUGAUGUUAACGCAACUAUGCAACGAUCGACACGUGUUCGAGUGCCCGCUGCAUUGACUAGAACUCCUUUCACAAUGGAGAGUGGAUAGAAAGUCAACCAACAUUAAAUCAAGCAACAUAUCAGAUACAUUGUAGCAGUUAACUAGAGAAAUAGUCACAUAUUCUCAAGGAUAACAUAACAGCUGUUUUAAGUAGUUAAUGACGUGAUAGUAUUUUUGGAUGUAUUUAUUUCACAAUAGAAACGUAUCGUGAUAGUACUUUUGUGUAGCUUUUUACUUUAAAAUAUUUUACAGUUUCUAUUAGUGAUGCGCAUAAAUAUUUUAGUUUGCGAUAACUAUUGCUUAAAUGUUGUGUGCUCCUAGGUGAAAUUCAAUAGUAACAUAGUUGAAUUUAUUAAUUUUGAAACUAUUAUACUUAUGUGUAGACUAUAUUUAUGGUCUCUAGUUUCUAUCAGGAAUUCAUGUGAUAAUGUAUGUACAUAAUGCUGUGUAUUUGAAUAUUUGUUACAUUGAAAUUUUUAGUGUACUUUACUCAAUUGCAAUGAACUGUCGAAAAUUAUUCAUACAAUUUGUCAUGACCAAGUGUCGAGGAUGACAAAAACAAUCCGUCGAGAACGGCAUAUGAACUGUCUGGCUAUCAUGCAAUAUGUUGUUUAUGGAUCUGUAUUUUACUUGUGAAGUUGGACAUAUAUUUGCCUAUCUACAAAUGAUGUGGGAAUGAUGAUGAAGAUGUAAGUUGAAGAUGGUAAUGUAAGUUGAGAAUGUGUUGAGGAACACCGUAAGUUGAAAAUGCCUUUAUGCAAGAUAUGUACACUCCAAUGAAAUCAAUAGGUUAUAAACAUAAUAAAAAUGAAUAAAGAUAACGAAAACGUUAAAUUGUUAAUUUUUUCUAAAGUAAAAAAAGUACUCCACCUCUAAUAUUGUAGUAAAUAAUUCAAUCCAAUUUUGUAAUUUUUAUCCUCAUUUUCUUCAUAGUAAUACGAUUUAACAUUAGUGACAUUUAUCAUUUAUGCGUCAAUUGAGUCCACUAUUUACAACUUACAAACAAUGUGUUUUGUGGGGAUUAAAAUUAGAUUUUUUUAGUGGAUUGUGAUAGUAGUUUUUGAAUGGUGUGGUUGAAUUAUUUUCAACAAUAAUAGAGUUCGAUAAUGAAAACAUAAGGACCAAUAAUGACCGCAAACGAUAAUGACAACAAAGCUAUAAUAUAACUUGAUAAUGUACAACGCAGUAGGGGGAACAUUCGACAUACAACGUCAACAACAACAUUGAGUGGUUGUUUAAGAAACUAGUAUUAUAUUGAGGGUUGAACAAACUUUCCUCUAUGCGACACGAUGAAUCUCAAGUGAUGGCUCAUACCUGAAACGUUAAGAUUGCAAAUGUGAGAAUUUUGUACAUUCCAUAUGUCGACAUUUAUUACCACCAAAUUGGAGCUUUCGAAUAUUUAGAUCCAUAUAAUAGCAAAAAGGAAAAUAUAGGGUUUCAACAGUUUUCAAGUGUCGAAGUCGACAGUUAAAUUAUCUAUCCCGACAGUGAGUAAAUGUCGAGUUUGACAGUUCAAAUGUCUAAACUGCUAUAAAUUUCGGGGAACCUUGAAAACCAUGUAUUUAGUCCUUUGGAAGAAAUUAUUGAAAAUAUUAAUGGUGAUAAUAAAUUCUUAACUACAAUAUUGCAAUAUCUUCCCACAAAUAAAUAAGGAAUGACUCAAUGCUUCAUUAAAUAUGAAAUCUUUCACUUUUUUUUAGAGGAUGUUGGUAUUUUUUCCCUUUGAAAAAUAUAUCAAAAAUAAAAUACAUCAAUGAAUAAAAGAUUCAAAAAGUUCAAUUAAAUAUAACUAUGUUAUAUUAAACAUCUAAAGUAGUAAACUAUGAGAUGAAAAUAUAAAUAAUUUCUAGUAACUCACAUUUGAGAUUGAUCAAUAACUUUCUCUUAUUAAUGAUGGAAUGAAGAUGAAGAUGAAAAAUGUAGGGUUUGUGUUCAUACAUGCUUAUGUAUUUUUUUUAACUUUUCACCCAUUUUUUAACAAAAAAUCAUAUUAUACAAUAUAAUAAUUAUAUUUUAAAUGUUUAAAAUAUAUAAAACAAAUCAUCACAUCACACCAUUGAUUGCAUUCAAAUCAAUCAUUUAUUGCUCCUAAAAAGGUGUCAUAAAGGGUAAAUUGGACAUUUUGAAUAAAAAAAGUGACAUUUUUGGAAGAAAUUUGUGCAAAUGAAAUUUUUUUAUGCAUUUUAAAUUUUAGUGACAUUUAUGUAAAUUUUCUAUAGUUAAUUGAAUUUUAUAAUAUUAUUUUUUAAUAUUGAAAAAUGUAUUAUUAUCUGAUAUUUGUAUAUAUAAACUAGACUUCUGAUUUUUGAAAUGCAAUAUUUAAAAGUAUGUCUCUAUAUAGUUUUCACUUAUCCUUUUCCUUUGCUAAUUUCGAUGUGAGGUUGUAGUUAUACGAAUGGACACCCUUCAAGCCUUUACUCACCUUUGGGAAUAUAAGGAGUGAAAUGUUUUUUUUAUUUGAAAAUUUAUUCCUCAAGAGUCAAACUAAAUUAUUUCCUUUCUUCAAAAGCGUAGUUACAUUUUGACUUUGACAAGUAACUUUUGACUUUUUAGCUACAUAUACUCAUUAAUUUUAAAACAUAACAUAAUUUACUUAAAUUGUUGUGGUAUAUUUGUUUCUUUAUUUAUUAUAGUGGAAAUUACAAAAUGGUCAAUUUUUGACUUUGCAUUUACAAAAAUGUUACUUUUUUAAGUCUUUGUAAGAUUGUUAAUUUUGAACAAUUUUGGACAUUUUUACCCCUCUAGAUAAUUCAAAUACCCUACACGUCUUUCAUUAAAAAUUGAUUUGACUAGAUGGAAAAAUAAUACAAAAAAUUUUCAAACAUCACAUCAAGUGCUCACACACACACACACACACACACACAUAUAUAUAUCAUUUACAUUAUUGCUUUUUGGCCUCUCAUUCAUCGCUUAAAUACAUCUCUUUGGACGAUCGAAGGAUUUGAAGCCCUAACUCAGAAAUUCCUACCUGUAAGAAGAAGAAGAAAAAAUCUGCAAAAGCCGCUUUUGGUGGUGGUCAGCGGCAUAGCGGUGCUAUGCUUCUCAGUGUUUUAUUUCAAGAUCAUGACAACCUUAUUUUUGCCAUCGAGACUGUUCAAUGUUUGGUAAGAUUUAGGAAAUUAGUUGGGGAAUUCUGGAAUGUUAAUUUUAUGAAUUUUAUCAGCUUCUUUUGCUGGAUUUGAAUCAAUCUUUGGUCAAUUGUAGUGUCUGAAAGAUAGGGUUCCUUAUAAUUAUUUUCUUUAAUUCCAAACGGCAAAACUAAUGUGGCAAAAUGGAAAUAUGUUAAAUAUAUAUAGCUAAAAAUAUUCACUGGAAUCUCAAUCUUCUGGCCAAGAAUAUAGCUCAAAAAAGUUCUUUGGGAUCUCAAUCUAGUAACCAACAAUUUUACUGUAAAAUGAGUUUUGCGUUACAAUUUGAUCAUUCUAGCUUGUAGCCAAUUUUAGUUUUUAGGAAAUGUAACAACCAUAUGCAAAAUAUAUAACAUGUAAUGAAUGUGAAUAAUUAGUCAUUGCUAUGAUUAUUGCUGACUGUGUAUUUAUAGCUCCAUUUUAUUAGCUUCUACUUCUUGGGCAACAUAUCUUCUGACAAAGAUUUUUACUAUUGCUUCAUGCACGUGUGCGUUCAUAUGAUAGUGAAAGGUUGUUCGGAUAUGUCCAAGUGCGGGUAAUUCCAUUUUCGUUCUACGAAAUGUCUUUGCAUUGCUUAGAAAUGGUGUCGUAGAUGUCGAACUUCUAUGUCUCAUGUGUACAUUUUAGCAGAUUGCUGAAGUGUGCAAGCUGCUUAAACGUUGUUUUCGACAGUUCAAAUCUGCCAAUCUCGACAGAUAGACAGAAUCUCAGGCAUAUGUUGACAUUAACCGUCGGUAUCGAUAGAUUAACCGUUUAUACUGACAAUUGAUGUUAGUUUUUCGCGACAGUUCACCUCAUUACAAGCAUGAGUUUGAUUCAUUACGUGUUACAUUUCUAUGUUUUACCAUGAUCUAAUCCGUAUUUUUCUCAUUGUACCUUGUAGGAGAAAUGGAGUUUGAAUUCCUCGUUUCGAAAAAUGCUCGGUUGCGGAAGUUGGUCUAAUGUGCUAGAUGUUGGUAUGUUGUUUUUUAGUUUGAAUGUUAUAAUGCGAAAACUGAAGAUCAGCAAUGUAGGGUUAGUGCAUGGUGAAUGUAUGGAUUUUGCAACUAAUAAAUGGUUAUGUACACUAUAAUUUAUUUUGUAAUGAAGGCACGAGCACGUUGUGUAAGAGUUCUUAGUUUACUUGGACCAUAUUUUCUUCUUUCCUGAUCAAUUUCAAAGUCGUUCGUCAAUGAUGAUUAGGUUAAGAUGACUAGCCAUUAAAUUUUUUUCAUUUCACGAAACCAUGUUACAACUAAUUCUCAAGGACGUUAAUGUGAGUUUUUUUUUAUUGGGUUAAGAUGAUGAGCCAUUUUUAUAAUUAUACCAAAGUAAUGACAACCAUUUUCAGCUAAUUUACAAAGUGCAUAAUGUGAGUUGCAGGAAACUUGAAUCCAUUGUUCACGUGAUUUAAGAGUCACAAUAUCCUAAUAAUUAUGUGGAAAUGGGGGAUAAAUGUACAGAUAUUUUAUUGAACCAUCAUACCAACACAUUUAGAUGAGAUUGGAUUUUGUGGUUAGGUAGUAAAUGACAACAAUUGCUUCCUCCCUUCAAGUUGAUUAUAAAUAGCAUGUUGUCAUUGUCAGUUACACAUAAAGCACUUCAUGAGCAUUGAAAGACUUUCAAGUUCUCACAUAUACAAAUCGUUUCAUCAAUUGUAUUACGUCAAUAUAAUGAGUUCGUCCAGAGGAAGCAACGAAACGUUCGAGCCUAUCUAGCCUUUGCCAGUUCUUGGCUCAUCCCAGUUAUUUCCAAUAUACAUUUUCGUAAUAACACUAUUUAAUAUUAGCUGUGUUUAUCAUUUAUGCGUCACUUGAGUCUACCAUUUACAAUUUAGAAACUACAAUUUAGUAGGUGGGGAUUAAAAUUAUCAUUUUGAGUGGAUUGUGAUAAAAGGUUUUGAAGCAGUAGAUUGAAUUAUUUUGAACAAGCAUAGAGUUGGAGGUCCUUUUAUACGUUUUCAACGAAUCAGCAAUUUAAAUUUUUCGACAUGUUUUAUACAUUCCAUAACAGACAGGUAGAUCGAUGUAGUACCAAAAAGGGAAAGGGUCACAACAGUUUUCAGGUAUCCAAAUCGACAAUUAAAUUAUUUAUCCCGGCAAUUAUUAAAUGUCAAAUUCGACAGUUAAAAUGUCUAACACGACGGUUUCAAGGAUACUAUUCGACAGUUGAACUGCCAUAAUUUUCAAAAAAGUUUAAAAACAUGUGUUUGAUUAAUUGGAAGAAAUUAUUGAAAACAUUAAUGGUGAUAAUCAAUUCUCAACUACAAUCUUCCCACAAACAAAGAAGAAAUAACUCAAUACUUCAUUAAAUAUGGAACCCUUCACAUUUUCUAGAGGAUGUUGGUAUUUUUUCCCUUAAAAAUAUAUCAAAAAUAAAACAUACGAAUAAAUAAGAGAUUCAAAAAGUUCAAUUAAAUAUGACCAUGUUGUACUAAAAUUUAAAGUAGUAAACUAUAACAUGAAAAGAUAAUUUUUUUAAUAGUUCACCUUUGAAAUUGAUCAAUAGUUUUUCCUCUUUGAUGAUGGAAUGAAGACGGUGAAGAAGAAGGUAGGAUUUGUAUUCAUAGGUGUUUUUGUGUGUGUGUGUGUGUGUGUGUUUUUUUUUUUUACCCCUUCUUUUAACAAUAAAAAAUAUUAUACAAUAUAAUAUAAAUAUUUAAAAUAAAUAAAACAAAUCAUCACAUCACACAAUUAUUUGCAUUCAAAUCAAACAUUUAUUGCUCCUAAAAAUGUGUCACAAGGGGUAAAAUGGACAUUUCGCAGAAAAAGUGACAUUUUUGGAAGAAAUUGGUGCAAAUGAAUUUUUUUUGUGCAUUUUCAAUUUUAGUGACAUUUAUGUAAAUUCCCCUUUAUUAUAAUUGGUUCAACAUUUUGAUCCUUGACUCUUUAUCUUUUUUCGGGUCAAUGCCGGGAUCGAUUUCCGAAACAUUAAUUUUUUCAAUCACUUUAUUUUCAUCCUUGUUCUUAUUUGAUGAACAUUUUUUUCCUUUUUUUUUUAUAAGAAUUAAAAUUAAAUAAGUUAAAAUUCUUAUUAGUUGAUUUUUCUUUCACAAUUAAUCCCUCACAAGCCUUAAAAUUAGUUCUUUAUUUCUUAAAAUUGAAACAACAAUCUGUUGGGAAAUUUCAUGCCAAUUCCCUUAUUUCUAUUUACCCGCAUGAUCGUUUGUUGUUUAGAAUAAUAUUAGCAAACAAGAAAAAUAAAUAAUAUAACGCACAAACUAAACGGACCAUCAAAGCUUUUCACUAUAUGAAAAAUUGUUACAAUAAUAUAGAAUUUCACUCAACAACCCAAUAUCAAAGUAUUACAAAGAAAAAAAUAAACCCGAGCUUUACCACACUUAUUUUUCUAUCCAAUGUAUGAAAAGUUUCAAGAUACUAGGUUCAUAAUAUUUUUCUCUCAGAUCAACUAUUUGGCUACAUUCAAAAUAAUGAAAUACAUCCACCAUUUAUAGGAUCAAUAACUAAGUAGAAGAGUUUAAUUUAAACUCAAAUAAGACUCCUUUAACUCAACAAGAAUUCUUUCAUGUGCAAGACUCCAAAAUCGACUAUAAAUUAGAGACUAAAUUUUGUAAGAAUUCUGCUCUCAACUUUAAUUAGAAGUCUUCCAUAUAAUAACUAACUUUUAUUAUUUGCAAUAGAAGUCCUCCAAUUUUUGACUUUUGAGACAAUUACCCAACAAAAUCUACAGUUAGUUCGUCUCUUUCAUAUUCUAAGGAAUUUCUAAGUUCUUUGUAUCUAUCUACCUGAGAAUUAAGGAAAGCAACAACAUGUUGAUCGCCUGAAUCAAUUUAGUAAAGCUAUCAAUGUUUUCUUCUAAAUUUGAUGAUGCAUUGAAUCUAAACUUGUAAAAAUUCUUAAGAUAUGACAUUUAUUUGACAUAGAUUUGUCUAUAUAAAGAUUUUUUUCUAAUUUAUUCCACAUUAUAUCAGCACUAGAAGUUCACCUACUUUCUUAAUUACACUAUCUGACAAAUGAAGAAAAUUUGAAUGCCAAGCAAUCUCACGACAUUCCUUUUUCUUGAAGGCAUAAGUUCCUGUUGCCCAAGAUCCAACGAGGACAGAAGCACAUAAUUGUUGUAAUAACAGACCUUUCGUCUUUUGGCCCCUGAUACUAAAGUCUUAACCAGCUUUCAACGCAAGAUCCCAUUCCUUUCAUCUUGCUUUACCUUAUUGUGUGCUUCUUGCAAACAUUUUUCAAUAUUUUAAUGUGUAAGUGUUGAGAUUUUCAUGAGCCAAUGUCAUACCAACACUAUCGAUAUUAGCACCCAUUGAAGAAUGAAAAUUGUGAAAGAACAAGGACAAUCAUUGGCCAACACUAAUGGGUUUGAUACGGACUCGGUGCCCUCUACUUCACAACUUCAAAGUGAAAAAGCAAUGGAAGUCGAUAAAAAAACGAAGAAGAUGCAUCGAUUCCUUCUAUUCCAAGCACUACUCAUGACAUCCCAAGCCCAAGUAACCUACCUUCUUCCUUCAAUUUUAAGUUAAUAUCAUUAGCUGACUCAUGUUUAUUAACUUGUAGUUUUGAAGUUCUCCCCAAAAUUAUUUUGAAGUCAUAAACCUAGAAUCAUGCAUCUCGCUUUAUAUAGUAAAGUUUUAUUUAUCUGUGUCGCCAUUUUGUUGUGGUCUGUAUGUGACAGUCUUAUAUCUUAAUAAGUCCCACUCUUUACAGAAAAAAUCAAACUCAAGAUUGCACAAUCCACACCAUUGUUUGUUCUAAGAGUAUUAAUAUUCUUAAUUGUUUGAUUUUCAAUUAACAUCUUCCAUUAUUUAAACUUUGAAAGUUGUCAGAUUUUGAUUUUAAAAAUUAUCAAAAAUCCGCUCCAAUAUUUGUUCUAAGAAAACUAACUUUCUUAUUUAUUUAUUUUUUAAAUAUAUAUUAAAAUCUUCCGUUUGAAAUUUUGAAAGGUGUUAGAUUAUGAUUUUAAAAUAAAGUUCCAAAAUUUUCUUGAAAAAUCACGUACAAUCAAUAGAUAAAAAUCUAUACCCACUAAAGGUAUUUAAAGUUUCUGGUCCCCAAAUUCAGCAUACAAAUAUUUAAUGCCGGUAUUGGAUUUAUGAAUUCCCCUUAUAAAAUGCAACCUACUUUGCUUUCCUAUAGCAUGCUCCUCACUAAAUUUAAUUUGUUCUAUAUUAUGCUUUCCAAACAUCGGGUUCCCCCACCCCCCCUCCCCUCCAAAUUUGGAGCCCCUUAUCCCUGAUAUGGCCCAAUCUUUUAUGCCAAAUAAAUGAUUUGUCAAAUUUUAAACUAAAGGCUUUGACAUUAUAAAUGUCAUUAAUUUUAGAUGUAGCUAGUACCUUUAGAGAAUUUUUAAAGAAAAUAUCAAAUCCUUCAUGAAUUCUUAUAUUCUAUUCCUCAUCUAAUUUACCCAAGGAGACUAGAUUUCUUUGAAGGUCAUGAACAUAACUAGCCCAUUAUAAUUACAGUGCGACUAUUAUUCAGUAACUGGUUUAUUUUCCAAUUUCUUAAAUUUGACAACUCAUGUUAUUUCAUUUUUGUACUUGUCGACCAUUUAUAUCCACUAAAUCCGUGAACCACUUUCUAACAUGAUACAUAUGAACAGUGCAACCAAAAUGAAGUACUCAUUUAUAGUUGCUUAUAGUUGAGGCCACUAAGACCAUUAAUGUUACAAGCUACAACUAAAAGGUCUAUCCUUAUCUUAUUUUAUCUAUUACAUCAGCUAUUUUUUCUUAAACACUCUUUAAUUAAAUGUCACGCUUUUCCACAAUAAUAUCAUGUUUAAAUUUCCCUUUUUGUUGUAAAAUAAUGAGAUAAUUAUUGAUAAUUAUUUAGUAUUAUGAUGAUACAUAAAUAAAUCUUAUUUAGUCUAGAAGAUUUAUUUCAUUUCAAUUGUAACCCUUAUUUUUGGACCCUAUAAAUAUGGGGUAUUGAUUUUUAAUAAUACACACAAGUUUAUGGACUCAUAUUAUCUCUUCUGUUUUUUCUCUCUAGUUUAUAACACGUUAUAAGCACAAAUCUCUAAAAAUUAAAGCAAAUUAGUUUGAAUAUAGUUUAUAGCCAAUCUCAAAUCGUACAAUUUAUUUUUUUAGCUUAUACGUAUAAUUAACUUGCAUGGAUUGAUUUCCGUCCAAUUAUUUUUUAUUGUCACAUAGCAAAUUGGUUUCUACCUAGUUUUCUUUGUAAUUUUGAAAUCCAAUUGCCAAGUUGUGUAUGUCCAAUCGUCAUAUAGUAGAAUGAGCAAUCAUAAUUAUGCAUAUCCAAUAACCGUAAUCAAUUUUAUUUUUUUUUUAUUUUUUUUGCUUCUUGUUUAUUAUUAAUUAAUUACCUCAUUAUUGUUCUUGUUAAUAUGAGUAUACUUUAUGAGUUUAGUACUCAUAUUUCUAUCUAUUAUAAAAUAUUGUUGCUCCUAAAGUAGCACAUUAAUAUUAAUGUUUUAGUUAGAUUUUACUUGCUCCUGAAUAUCAUAAUUAAGUAAAAUCCAACAUAAAUUAUGUUUUCUCUCAUGAAGAGUAAAUUCUUAAUUUAUUAUUUCAAACAUUAAUCUGUUAUUCCUUCUAAAAAGUAUAACAUUGUGGUUCCAAUAUAUUUCAGAAUAAUGUUAUUCGCAGAUCUGUCUAUUACAAAUAUUUUGCUACUCUUGAAGUAGCACAAUAUUGUAAUUAAUAUUUUAAAAGAAUACUAAUUGCUCUAAAAGAGCAUGAUAUUAUAAUUUUGAUAUCCUAAAAGAACAUUGAUCUAUUGCUCUUAAAAAAUAAUAAUAAAAUAUAAUGUGCUCUCGAAAUAGCGCACAUUCCGAAUAAUAUAUAUCUCAUUGUGUUCCUGAAAAAACAUAAAUUAACAACUCAAUAGUAGAUUGUAAUUUUUUAAAGGAAACUAAUUUUCUAUGUUAUUAAUAUUCAAGAAAAAAUAUUAAUUUAUCGUUCUUGAAGAGUAUGAAUUAUAAUUUUCAAGAUUCCAAAGAAGUAUUAACAUAUUACUCUUGAAGAAGCAAUGAUUAAAGAUAAUUUUAUCUCGAAGUAGCGUAUUUUCAAAAAAUAUAUCAUUUUAAAUUCAUAUUUAUCCUUGAAGGAAAACAUAUAAUUAAUGUCAUAUGGAUAUUGAAUAGUUUGAUUACUUGAAUAAUAUAUGAUUAUAUAAGGUUUAGUCGUAUUUUUCGAAAUUAAAUAAUUAAAUUAUAUCUUAUAUCGAACCAGAAGUUCAUUUUAACUAUAUUGUUUGGUAUGACUAGUUGGAUUAUUUUUGGAUCAAUAAUGAUACGAAAUUACAAAUUAAAAUGAUAUUCAAUGAAGACCAGAAAAUUUUUCAAUAUAAUGAAAUCCUAUAUGAUGUUUGUUCUCUUUCAUGAAAAUUUUUCAUUAAACAUCAUUAGUUAAAAUAAUGACUAAAUUCCCUAUAUUUUUGGAAAAUUUUCAGGAUGAUAAACAGAGCUCCGUCAUCCUCCAUGUUGAUCAUCUACAUAUUAUUUAUUAUUUUAACAUAUAUGAUACAAAUACUAGACGAGUACGUGGUGUUCGCAACAUGAAGUUUAUGAAAAUCUGCUCGAAAUAUGAGCAUAAAUUUCAUAUUAUACAAUCAAGAUGGUGCUACUUUUAAUGCUAGUGAUACUAAAUCUCAACUUUUUUAAUAAGGGCUAGUUGAGAUAUCGAUAAAUAUUUUAACGCUAUUGUUAUUAAAUGCUUUCAAUUAAUUUAAUUGAAGACAAAUUACUUUAUAUUUCUAUUUAGGAAUUGCUAUUACGCAUUAUGUUAACAUCAUAGUUCUUCCAGUUAUAACUUGGCUUAUGAUCAGAGCUUAAUUUUUCAUUUAAUUAUUUCGAUAGUGCGGUAUAUGCAUUAAUUCACUACAAUGCAUUGAGAUGGAAAGUAAAGAAUGUUGAGAAUAAAUACGUAGUUUGAACCCUUUAUCCCAAAUGAGUGAUGUUUUAUAGGUUGAAAAAAAUGAUUGUCAAUUUGCUUGGACAAUUCUCUCAUCAUUAGGAAGAGAAAUUAAGAAGCGAAAAAUAAUUUACAAAUGUGUCAUUAUAUAAAUCCUCGCAAAAGAUAAUUCUAACCAGAAGUUCGAAAAAUAAUUUAUUUAGAUGUAUUUAUUGACCAAAGAUUUCAAUAAUAAUUUAUUUAGAUGCAUUCAUAAGAGAACAAUUUGUUGGCAUUAUAUUUGAUAUAUUUUGUGGCGCGUCUGAAGCGUGAUGGAGUUCGAUUCUAAUAAACAAACCUUCAAAUAAAAAUGGAGUGAUUAGCAAAGAUACAACCCAGUGGAACUAAAUAAUAUUACUCUAUAAUAAAUGGUAAAAUAACCUUUACUUCAUUCUUACAAGGUCUAUUGUAAAAUUUUGUGUAAAAUCGUAUAUAUUGAGUUGCUAUCCAUUUUCUAGUCAUGUCAAUGAACAACAACGUAUUGUGAUAUGUAUAUAUUUAUUUUAAUAUAUUAAGUACAAUGGUACCAUUGUGUGAACCCCAUUAAAUAGACAUAUACUCUUAAUGAGUAUUUAGAGAUAACAAAUUAUAAAAUCUAAAAAAAGGUUUAGGUAUUUGAUAUGUUGAAGUUUGAAAUAUCAUAAUAGGUUAUGUUGUCAUGAUGAAAGAAAUAGAAUUGAAAAGAAAAAAUUAUUGAUAAUACUUUUGUACCUGAUGUACUGCAUCAUAUUAUGAAUAGUGACAAAUCAAAAUAAAUUUGUUGAAAUUCAUCGAUCGAAGUAAUCAUUUGCCCAAUAAAUGGGAUGCAAUCCUAAAAUUGAAUUUACUAAAAGAAAUCUAAAGUUUCUAGGCUUGCAAUCGAAAAAUCUAAAGUUAACUCAUGCGAAAAGGAAAUAAAGAAAAUAAGGCCGUGAUAUGAAAUGUACGAGUCAUUAUAUAAUGAACUUAGUGAAAACUUGUAUAAAUAGAUAAAUUAUCGUGUGAUGUAUUUCACUAGGUGACAAUGUAUGAAAUUUGAUAUACAUAUAAUAAAUGUGGUUAUAGACAAUUUAUCUUAUAUAGCUUUGAUAUUAUUUUGGAAGGAUUUAAUAUGCAUGAAGUAUAAUUCAAGUGAUAUUAUCAUGAUGGAGAGUUAAUAUGCGUUGUACUCUUUUUUCCUUGACUAAGGUCAAUGUUUUAUCCCAUAAAGUUUUUCUAUCAAAGUUAAUGAGACAAUUUUUGUAACGUACUCAAAAGAAUAAUGUAUUCUUUUUUUUUUUAGUAGAAUUUUUUGAUAGGAUUUUUUUAAUAAGGUUUUAAUGUGGCAUAUUCUUUGUACAAUAAUGUCCUUAAUCUACAAGGCAUUUGUCCUCAAAAGGUAUACUUUUAUAUUUACCAGACUCUCAAAGAGAUCAACAAGAUCUAUUUUCUAAACCAUCAUUUUACUCCUGUUAUCAAAGGUUGAUAAAAUAUCACUUAUAAAGACAGUGUUAUUUGAAGAUAAUGACUUACAAGAUAUAGAUUGCCUGAUACAAGAAUUUUCACUUAAUGAAAUCAAGGAGAGUAGCUGUAUUCUUUUUCAAGUUUUGUUUCACUAAAUUUUCUUGACAAAGUUUUAAUGAAACAUCAUUUUAUUAUUCCAAACCAUUUUUACUCUUUUUUUUCAUUUAUUGGCAUUUUUGUCCCAUUGAAAUUUUUGUCAAACAAUGUUUCAAUAAUAUAAUUAUUGUGCAAAUAAUCAUCAAAGAGGGAGUGUUGUAAAAUAAUGAGAUAAUCAUUGAUAAUUAUUUAGUAUCAUCAUAUCACAUCAAUAAGUUUUAUCUAAUCUAGAAAAUCUGUUCAUUUCAAUUAAAACCCUUAUUUCAAACCCUAUAAAUCUAAGACAUUGAUUCAUAAUAAUACACAUAAGUUUAUUGACUUAUAUUAUCUCAUCUUUUUCUCUCUAGUUUAUAAUACUUUAUAUUUUUCUUCACCUUAUUUUUUUCUUUUUUCUUAUUUGAUGAACAUUUUCCUUUUUUAUGAGAAUUAAAGAUAAAUGAGUUAAAAUUCUUGUUAGUUGAUUUUUCUUUCACAAUCAAUCCCUCAAAAGCCUUAUUUUCUUUGAGGUCUAACUAAGUUCUCUAUUUCAUAAAAAUGAAAUAACUAUAUCUACAGUCUGUUCAUUUCUUCCAUAUCCUAAGAAAUUUCGAAGUUCUUUGUAUCUGUCUACUAAAGAAUUACGAAGAGCACAUGUUGAUCACUUGUAUCAGUUUAUCGAACCCAUCAAUGUUUUCUUCCAAAUUUGAUGAUGUAUCAAAUCUAAAAUUAUAGAAAAACUAUUAAGAUAUAACAUUUAUUUAAUAUAGUCUUGGUUAGAUAGAGAUUUUCUAAUUUAUUCCACAUUUUAUCAGCACAAACAGUUGAAUCUAUUUUCCUAAUUACACUAUCUGACAAAUGAAGAAAAUUUGAACACCAAGAAAUUUCAUCACAUUCCUUUCUCUAGAGGCACUAGUUUUUGCUGCACAAGAUCCAUUCGAGACAAAAGCACAUAUUUGUUGUAAUAACAGAACUCUCAUCAUUUGGCACCAAAUACUAAAGUCUUGAGCAUCAUUUCGUUAAUCUACCUCAUUUUUUGUGAAGAAGUUAUUUUAUAGAUGUAGUCACAAAUUUAGUAAAAGAAUAAUAUACCCCGUGAUAGUCUGGUUUAAGUAGUUGAUAAGCUGAAUAUUGUACAGCUUAUAAAAAAAUGUUUUAACUAGAAAGACAAUUUAUCAACACAGAAUUUUUCUGGUUUCAAAAUUUGUAUUCACACUUGCUCAACCAAUAUACAAAACCUAAUUAAUGUUAAACACAAUUUCAGGUAUCAAUAGAAAACAUCAAGGAGUUAUAGAAUAUAGAAACAUUUAGAUACAAUAUUUGAAGUUUAAGGGCCAAAAAGUGAAAACCCCUUGAACCCGAUGUUCCCUUAGAUUUUCAAAUUAUCAUAGGAGAUCUUGGACAAAGUAAACACACAGAAGAGUCUAUUACCUUAGUAACUUCAAAAAUCAAAAUAGUUUAGAACAAGAAGGAUUAGAAGUUAUUAAUAUGGAAACCCAAGGUUUCAAUACUGCAUAUUGAAAAAAAUAGUAUUUGAGAAAUUAAUUUCUUAUAACUCCGUUAUCUCAAAUGACAAGCUGAUACCUCAAAUAACAAACUUUCACAUAAGAUAACUAGUGUAAUUGCUGACUAUAAAUAGUAUUACUCUUGGAAAAAUCAGGAGUAAAUCUCUAGUAAUCACCAAAAAUACUAGUAAAUCAUCAAGAAUUUUUAGUGCCAUGUGUUAGAAAAAACUACUUGCAUUAACUUGCAGAAAAUAGUAAAUUACAGAAAGUAAAACUAAUCGACUGACCAAGUCUUGCGAUAGCACGAUAUCCUAAAGUAACUGUUAACUGCUAGACCUCCGUGGACAAUCACUCUCAAAAUACAAUGAUCAAACAAACCACUUGUUCAGCAUCUCUCAAGUGUAGUCCAGAAAAUAAUAUAUAAAUAUAGAACUUAAGUAGGAAAAAUUAUACAAUAUGAAAAUGAUAAUUUCAUUUUUAUGUGAUUUUUCCAAAAUCGGAUAUGUGCAUAUAUAGCCAUAAUAGAUAUAACCACAUUCACAAUGAUCCAAAAAUAUUUCCAAUCUUAAACGGGUUGUUGAUCAUGUAUUGCUCAUCAUUGAUUGUUAAAAAAGGUUAUAUUAUACUGGCUUAUUUGAACCAUCAAAUAAAUUCAAAAAUGGUUAAAAUCAAUAAACAAAAAUAUCAUUUUAAUCAGGAAAACCAUGGCCCAAUCAAAGACUUUUUAUUUAUCGCAUGGAAUGUAAGCUGAACAUCGGACCUCCCACACAAAUUCCACACUUCUCACCAAUGGGCACUUGCUCUAACUUAGUUAUUUCUUUCAAAUAAUAUAUUGUUGACCUAAUGGUUGGAUUCUUGUUUUGAUUAUCAUAAACAAUUUGCUUUUAAUUCUAACAAAUUGAAUUUAAGUGUUGUUAGUGAUUACUGUGGAAUUAACGAAGAAUGAAAACACAAGAAUCGAAGUCAAGAUUCAUGCAUAUAGACGAACUACCUUGGCACCAAACGAUCAAUGCACAAGCAAAGUUUGGAACAAAGAGAUUAAAAUCAAGCUUUUGAGUCAAAAAUCAUUUGGAAAGAAGAAAUUGAAGACAAUAGAUAUAGAUGCAUUUUUGUACUCAAAUGUAAAGGUAUAACUCUUCAAUUUCUCGUAUCGACUAUAGUUCAAAAUUUUUAUGCAUGAUACUUCCUCACGACAAAUAAUACUUGUAUAAAAAUUAUUCUCAGAAAGAUGAGUAUCUCAAUUUUCAAGAUUAUACAAUUACAAAAUACUUAUCUAUACAAUAAAUGUAAAAAUCCUUCAACUAUUUGCAUGAAAAUUCGUCACGAAGGAGAAAGUCUGGAGGGGCAAUUUUCUGUCCUUCUGGACGUCCGGACGAGUCCUCCAACGGAUAGUUAACCUUCCGGAUCCUAAGCGGACGUCCAGAUUCCGUGUCCGGAUUGACAGAUUUUUUGACCGUUUGAUGGCUAUAAGUACCCCACUUUCUACCACAAUCAUAACAAGAAUUCUAGAGCUUUAAAGUGCAGCAUUUAUUGAUCUUUUCUACCUUGUUUUCAAUUCUUUUAAGAUCAAAUCAUUUAACUUUUGAAAAACUUUUUGAGUGAUCAAAUUUUUGUGAAAUUCAUAUAUCUCAAAAAGGUUUUCUCUUUACAACACUUGAGAUAUAUUUUUUGUGAAUUAUUGAAGUGUUGUAUCUACUUCUCUCUCUUUAUUCUUAAUUAAGCUCAUAUCAUUAAUUAAGAGAGAAGUCUUUGAUUGUAAUUUCAAUUUUUCUUUAAACUUUGAAUCGUGGGUCAGUUGAGGUCCGGAAAAGCUCCAUGUUGUAAAGGAUCGAUGCUCCUUAUUUGUAAGUCACCAGAGGCUUUGUAAGAAGGUUGGAUUGUACCAUAACUCAAUCAAAUAUAGUAUAAAGGACCUUGCUCGUGACAGAGAGCUUGGUAACGAGGGACGUAGAUCGUUGAUUGGAUCGAACCUCCUUAUUACAUCGUUUGUACUCUCUUUUCCCUUCCUCUUAUUACUUUUGUGUUAUCUUGCUUAUUUAUUAUUUUAAUUGCUUAAUUUUGCACUUAUUUUCGAAAAAGUUUUAAAUAACCAAUUCACCCCCCUCUUGGUUAGUUGUUUCUUGGGCUUUUAAUUGGUAUCAGAGUUUGGUACUCUUUUUUUUUUUAAAGAUUCUAAAAUCUUGAGUAAUGGCUAACCAAGUUUUUCACAAUGUUUAGGGGCACUCUACAAAUCAACCUCUUUUCUUUGAUGGCACACAUUAUAACUACUGGAACGCUCGGAUGAUGAUAUAUAUUCAACUAUUGAUUACAAAAUUUAGGAUGUUAUAGAAUAUGGUCCAUAUGUUCCCACUAAGAUCAUUAAAGUAGAUGGUAGAUCGGACCAAACUAUCCCCAAAUCUAGAAAAGAAUACGAUGAUGAAGAUAAGAGAAAACUAUCAUUAAAUGUCAAGGCUAAAAAUUUACUUUAUUGUGCACUUGAUAGAAAUGAGUUUAAUCAAAUUAGUACAUGUGAUUCGACAUAUGAUAUUUGGCAUGCUCUUGAAGUUACUCAUGUCGGCAUAAGUAAGGUUAAGGAAACAAAGAUAAAUAUGCUAGUUAAAGAAUUUGAAAAUUUCUUUAUGAAACAAAAUGAGUCUAUUGUUGACAUGAUUACUCGUUUUAUCGAUAUUGUUAAUGGUCUUAAAGGUUUGAUCGUAAAUUUACUAACAGUGAACUUGUGAAUAAAAUGCUUAGGUCCUUAUAGGAGGAAUGGAGUCCAUUGAGGAUGUUGAUCGAGAAUACUAAGGAUAUAUAUACAUAUCCUUUGGAAGAUCUCUACGGCAAAUUAAUGAUCUAUGAGCUAAAUAAUGCCAAGAUUAAAGAGAAAACAAGAAAAAGCAAGGAGGAAUCAAAAGAGCCUCCUAAACGAUAAAUUCCAUUAAAAUCGACAUUGAGGAAGGAACAUCAAGUGAAAACAUGAGUGAUAAAGAGCUUGAUGAUUUGGUUUUUCUUGUCGAAAAAUGGAGAGGUUUUCGCAAUAAUCGAAUAUUCCAAAAGAAAGAAGAAAAAGGGGAAGAAAUGGACAAAAAGAUUAUUUGCUAUGAUUGUGAUAAGCCGGGUCAUAAGAGAAUCGAGUGUCCGAUCAAAAAGAAAAAUUUCAAAAAAAAAGGCACUCCAAGCCACAUGAGAUGAUAGCGACGACAAAGAACAAAAUGGGAAUGAUAGUCAAGAUCAAGUGGUGAAUAUGCGCUUUAUGACAAUUGAAGACAAGGUAUGUUCCUAUGAUAAGCUUUCAAAUUCAUAUGAUGAAAUGCUAGAAAAAUUUGAAAAUCUUGCUUUGAAUCAUGCUAUUCUUAAAAAGAAAAAUUCUAUUUUAAAAGAAGAAAUUAAGAAUAUCUAAGAAAAGCAAAAAGAAAAUAUUGACCAUAAUCUUUUGAUAAAAGAAAACAUCUCUUUGAAAGAAAAGGUCAGUGACUUAACAAAAAUUAUCCAUAAGUUUACCAAAGGUAAAUCUUGAUUUAAUGCUUAGUAGUCAAAAGUACGUUUUUGAUAAAGGGGGAAUUGGAUACAAACCCUCUCUAAAAUAAAAAUCACUCAAAAAUAUGUUUGUUAAGGUUUCAAAUACUUCAUGUAGUUUUUGUAAUAAAACUGGACAUAUAGCAUUCAAUUGUGUAACUAAAAAGAAAUUAUUCCUUGAAAACAAAUACAAGUGGAUACAAGAAUCCACAAAAACCAACUACCAAGGACCCAAGUUUGUAUGGGUACCAAAAGUCGAAACUUAAAUUGCCUUUGUAGGUACCAAAGAAAACAAAAAGCAAAAAGCAAAUGGUUCCUAAAUAGUGGAUGUUCGAAAAAUAUGAUCAGAGACCGAUCAUUGUUAUCAAAUUUCCAAGAGAAGGAUGGAGGCCAUGUCACCUUUGGAGAUAACGCCAAAGGUAAAAUAAUUGGCAUUGAAAAUAUUGGUAACCACUCAUCCCCCUCUAUUGAAAAUGUUUUACUAGUUGAUAACAUUAAACAUAAUUUACUAAGCAUUAGUCAAUUAUGUGACAAAGGAUAUAACAUAAAAUUCGAUUCUACUAAAUUCCUUAUUAAGGAUGCUACAUCUAAAGAGGUGAUUUUCAUAGGAAGCCGAAGUAAAGAUCUUUAUAUUAUAAACAUUGAAUUUGAAAAUAAUGAAAAGUGUUUACUUAGCUUGAAAGAAGAAUCAUGGUUAUGGCAUAGAAGACUUGGACAUGUAAGCAUGGAUCUUCUCUCAAAAAUUUCUAAAAAUUGUUUUGUAAAAGGUUUAUCAAAUUUGAAAUUUGAAAAAGAUAAAAUUUGCGAUGUUUGUCAAUUUGGAAAACAAGUAAAGAAUUCUUUCAAACUAAAACUUUAUGCUUCAACUACAAAACCUUUACAACUUCUCCAUAUGGAUUUUUUUUGGACCUUCUAGGACAACUAGCUUAGGAGGUAAAUAUUAUGCUUUUAUUAUAGUCGAUGAUUUUUCAAGAUUUGCUUGGGUUAUAUUUUUAAGCUUAAAAGAAGAAGUUUUGAAAACUGUUAAAUACUUUUGUAAGAAAGUUGAAAAUGAAAAAGGCUAUUCUAUUACAACAAUUAGAAGUGACCAUAGUGGAGAAUUUGUUAAUGUUGGCUUUGAUGAAUUUUUUGUAAAGAAUAUGGAUAUGAACAUAACUUUUCGGCUCCUAGAACACCUCAACAAAAUGGUGUAGUAGAAAGGAGGAAUCGCACAUUGCAAGAAAUGGGUUGGACUAUGUUAAAUGAAAAUAAUUUGCCUAAAUACUUUUGGGUCGAGGCCGUUAAUACCGCUUGUUACAUUGUUAAUAGAGUAUUAGUAAGCAAAAAAAAAAACUAAAACUCCUUACUAACUUCGGACAAAUAGAAUUUCAAAUAUUAGUUAUUUCAAAGUUUUUGGAUGUAAAUGUUUUAUUUUAAAUACAAAAGACAAUUUUGGAAAAUUUGACUCCAAAUCCGAUGUUGGAAUUUUCCUAGGAUAUUUAUCGACUAGCAAAGCAUAUAGAGUUUUUAACAAACGAACUCUAGUCGUUGAAGAAUCCAUGCAUGUUAGUUUUGACGAAACUAACUCAUUUGAUCAAGAGAAAGGUAGUGAUGACGAUGUAGGAUUGGAAGCUUCUUUCGAGCAAAUGAAAAUUCAAGACCAAAAUAAGGAGGCACCAAAUGAAGAAAUAGAGAAAUCAAAUGCCAAAAUAAAUGAAAAAAGACAAACUGAAGAACAAAGUGAUCCCCCAUUGCCAAAAGAAUGGAGGUUUGUUCCAUCUCAUCCCAAAUAGCUUAUAAUUGGCGAUCCAUCAAAAUGUAUCACUAGUAGAAACUCUCAUAAAAAUGAUUUCGGUAGCUAUGCAUUUAUUUCUCAAAUCGAACCUAAGAAUUUCAAAAAUGCCGAGUUUGAUGAGUUUUGGAUUCUAGCGAUGCGAGAAGAAUUAAAUCAAUUUGAAAGAAACCAUGUUUGGGAUUCAGUCGCUAGACCAAACAAUCAAACCGUUAUAGGAACGAAAUGGAUCUUUAGAAACAAAAGAGAUGAAAAUGAAAUAAUUGUGCGUAACAAGGCUAGAUUAGUGGCGCAAGUUUACAAUCAAGAAGAAGGUAUCGAUUUUAAAGAAACAUUUGCACCCGUAGCAAGAUUAAAAUCCAUUCGUAUGCUUCUUGCAUUUGCAUUUGCAAGGGUUUACACUUUAUCAAAUGGAUGUUAAAAGUGCAUUUUUAAAUGGUUUUAUUCAAGACGAAAUUUAUGUUGAGCGACCUCCCAGUUUUAAAGAUCACAAGUAUUCGAAUCAUGUAUUUAAAUUUAGAAAAGCUCUUUACGGUUUGAAACAAGCUCCUAGAGCUUGGUACGAACGAUUGAGCAAAUUUCUUCUCUCAAAUGAUUUUUCGAUUGGAAAAGCGGAUACUACACUUUUCAUAAAAACUCAUAAAGAGGAUAUGCUCAUUGUUCAAAUUUAUGUUGACGAUAUUAUUUUUGGCGCUACAAAUAUUCAUCUUUGUGAAGAAUUUUUAAAUUACACGAGUAAAGAAUAUGAAAUUAGCAUGAUGGGUAAAUUAAAAUUCUUUCUUGGUCUUUAAGUUAUACAAACAAAAGAAGGAAUUUUCAUCAAUCAAAAUAAAUACAUAAUAGACAUGCUUAAAAAAUUUGAUAUGCAUGACAUUAAGUCUAUGAACACGCCAAUAAGCACAUCCCUGAAGCUUGAUAAAGAUAAUCAAGGUACAUCCGUGGAUGUCACAAAAUAUCAAGAUAUGAUCGGAUCUCUUCUUUAUUUAAUUGCUAGUAGGCCCGAUAUUAUGUCUAGUGUCUGCUUAUGUGCUCGAUUUUAAUCUAAUCAUAAAGAAUCUCACUUGAGUACCGUUAAAAGAAUUUUUCGAUAUUUAAGUGGAACUAGGAUCCUAGGACUUUGGUAUCCAAAGGGUACACAUGUUGAUUUAAUUAGUUAUUCGGAUGCCGAUUGUGCUGGAUUUAAUGUUGGCCGUGAAAGUACUAGCAAAAAUUGUCACUUUCUAGACUUUGCACUAGUUUCUUGGUCUAACAAGAAAAAAAUUUCGUGGCACUAUCCACGGUCGAGGCGGAAUAUAUCUCAACCACUAGUUGUUGUGCACAAACAUUAUGGAUGAAACAGACAUUAUGUGAUUAUCAUUUAUCCUAUGAUCAUGUGCCUAUCUUAUGUGAUAAUACUAGUGCUAUUAAUCUAUCAAAGAAUCCCGUCUUGCAUUCACGAACUAAGCAUAUUGAGAUUAGAUAUCAUUUUCUUCAUGAUCAUGCACAAAAGGGAUAUAUUGAAUUAGAAUUUAUAAAGAUUGAGAAUCAAUUGACCGAUAUUUUCACCAAACCUCUUAUACACGAUCAUUUCUCUUCUAUUCGAAGAAGUCUAGGAAUUAUUGAUGAAAAUUUGAUAUAUAAAAAAGGGCAUCCAGACGCAUCCUAUCCGAACCGGACGGUCCAGACUGAAUCAUUCGGAUUGACAGUGUAUUUUGAACACUGUCUAUCAAUCUGGACAUCGGAUCUGUUGCGGUUCGCGUUAUUCAAAACACGAACCAGAGGUCUUCUUCAUCAUUUCUUCUCCUCUUUUCUUCAAUAUUUUCCUCAAACUUUCUCAUCCACUAUCAAAUUCCUCUCCGAACAUCACUUUCCUUCCAAUUUCUUGUUUCCACAAGAUUUAAACUUCAAAAUAUUCACACUUUUCCUAAAAUCAUUUAAAAUCUUCAUCUUUUUACUCCACUCAAACCUCCGGUAACUUUUGGCUAUUUUUCACUCAAAUUGCUCAAUCUUGUGUCAAACUACACUACCCACUGUAGUAUUCAUCACAUAUUUAAGCAUUUCACCAAUUCAAUUGUGAAUUUUGGCUAUGAAAUCUCUCCAAAGCCUAACUUUCAAAAUUUGGGGCUUAUUUGAAAUUCUUGGAAAUAUAAUCAAUCCUCAACAAUGUCGGGAUCUCAAAGAGGAAAAAGGGUGAAAAGAACCGAGAAAUGACCCCCUUCAUUGUCGUUGGAUGAAGAGAUGGAUUUGAAGCCGGAGGUGCCGCCAAAUUCCUUUGAAAAGUCACACAUUUUAAUUGGUAAGAAUGUUGAUUUUGCGGAUUUUACAAUUGAAGCUCCCGGAUUUCAAAUUGAUGAAUAUUUUGAAAACAUGAGGUGGGUAACUAUCACGUCUUAUAAAAGAAUUUUAUCAAAAAAUGCAAACUGCACCUCGUUCCGUCGAGAUUACAUGUUUACUUAAAAAUGGACACAUUACGAUUUCAAAAGCAUUGAUUCGUGAAAUUCUCGAACUUGAGACUUGUAACUUGGAAGUAUUUGUGCAUAAAUCUCCACAUACUGUGGAAGGUUACGAUCCUUUUAAGACUUGUCGACGAGUCACCGGGAAGGACUUCGAGAAUAUCAUGAAAUUAAGCAAAAUCAAUUAACUCUCCCAUGCAAAGUUUUGCAAAAUAUAAUUGCCCACAUUAUUUUUCCCCAAAAAUGACACCGAGACGAAGUCAAUCACUUCAAUCUCUUUAUUAUGGACUCUCAAUUAUUGUUGGGCGUCUCAUUGAUUUUCCUACUAUUGUCAUGGGACUUAUGAAACGCGUGCAUGCAUCACGUCACACUAAAGCUUUACCUUACAGGAUGCUUCUUACAAAAUUUUUCAAACACUUUAAUGUUUCACUUGACGGGGAAGUUUUCAUUACAUUAUGCCCUACCGAUAUUAUCAACAUCCAAACACUAAAAAUGAUGAAAAUAGUAAACGAACACGGGCAAUGGCUGGCUCACACGAAAGGGUUUGAUCCUACCUUCGGCCCAUCUACUCUUCCAUUUGAAGAUGAACUACCUGAGACCGAGUCUGAUGAAGCACCUGCACCCAGUAUUCCAGGCUCUAGUACAUCUCAUCCUUCAAUACGUCAUUCUAGAUUCACCGAGAAAUAAUAUAGUCUCAUUCAUAGGUGUAUUCACUUACCUCGACGGUCGAUAGCAUGGAUAGCCUACUACUCCUGAUUCAGGUUCAGCAGACUACUAUCCAUGAUCGACAGCCUGCGAUGCAACAACAACAGCUUGAGAUGCAGGCUUAGCAGGCUGCUUUUUUCAGUGAUUUCUAUGCUCGAUUUCCACCACCUCCAUCGCCUUCGACCCCUUAGUUUAUUUGCUUGUCGUAUUCUACUAGAUAUAUUAUUAUCUAACUCUAUAUUUCGUUUAUUAGACUUUUAUGUUCGUCUAUUGCAUCGUUCAUUUCUCCUAUGUACUUUGCCUAUUUUCCCUUAAAUGGUUGACUUUCUCCAUGCUAUUAUUUCAUUUCUGCUGCUUGUGUUCUUAUUUUUGCUUAUGCCAAAAGGGGGAAGAUAAGUAGAUGAUUAUGCAAAAUAAGGGAAAUAUUGUAAGGGAGAAGUAAUAAAUUUUUAUAUGCAUGACAAUAAAGGAAAUUUUUAAGUGAAAUCGAUAGGGAGAACGUUACUUGUAAUUUUCAAUAUUUUUGUUUGCGCCAAUUCAAUUUGUUUAAUAUUUAUAUUGCAAAUCAUCUAAUUUGUCAUAAUCAAAAAGGAAAAAAAAUGUUGACCUAAUGGUUGACUUCUUGUUUUGAUUAUCACAAACAAAUUGCGUUUAAUUCUAACAAAUUGAAUUUAAGUGUUGUUAGUGAUUAUUAUGGAAUUAACGAAGAAUGAAAAUACAAGAAUUGAAGUCAAGACUGAUGCAUAUAGGCGAACUACCUUGGCACCAAAUGAUCAAUGCAUAACCAAAGUUUGGAACAGAGAGAUUAAAAUCAAGCUUUCGAGUCAAAAAUCAUUUGGAAAGAAGAAAUUGAAGAUAUUAGAUAUGGAUGCAUUUUUGUACUAAAAUGUAAAGUUAUAACUCUUCAAUUUCUCACAUCGACUAUAGCUCAAAAUUUUUACGCACGAGGCUUCUUCACGACAAACAAUACUUGCAUAAAAAUUAUUCUAAAAAAGAUAAGUAUCUUGAUUUUCAAGAUUACACAAUUACAAAAUACUUAUCUAUACAAUAAAUGUGAAAAUCCUUCAAGUACUUGCAUGAAAAUUCAUCACGAAGGAGAAAGUCCAGAGGGGCAACUUUCUGUCCAUCUGGACGUCCGGAUGGAACUGUCCGGACGAGUCUCCAACGGUCAUUUCAGUGAUCGUUUUUCAAACGGCUAGUUAACCGUCCGGAUGCUAAGCAGACGUCCGGAUCCCGUGUCUGGAUUGACAAAUUUUUUGACCGUUUGAUGCUAUAAAUACCCACUUUCUACGACAAUCAUGACAAGAAUUCUUGAGCUUUAAAGUGCAACAUUUAUUGAUCUUUUCUACCUUGUUUUCAAUUCUUUUAAGAUCAAAUCAUUUAACUUUUGAAAAAAAAUUUGAUCACUGUGAAAUUCAUAUAUCUCAAAAAGGUUUUCUCCUUUAUAACACUUGAGCUAUACUUUUUGUGAAUUAUUGAAGUGUUGUAUCUACUUCUCUCUCUUGAUUCUUAAUUAAGUUCAUAUUAUUAAUUAAGAGAGAAGUCUUUGAUUGUAAUUUCAAUUUUCCUUUAAAUUUUAAAUUGUGGGUCGGUUGAGGUCCCGGAAAGCUCAACGUUGUAAAGGAUCGAUGCUCCUUGUUUGUAAAUACCGAGAGCUUUGUAAGAAGGUUGGAUUGUACCAUAACUCAAUCAAAUAUAGUAGAAAGGACCUUGCUCGUGACGGAGAGUUUGGUAACGAGGGACAUAGAUCGUUGAUUGGAUCGAACCUCCUUAUUACAUCGUUUGUACUCUUUUUUCCUUUCCUCUUAUUACUUUUAUGCUAUCGUGCUUAUUCAUUAUUUUAAUUGCUUAAUUUUGCACUUAUUUUUGAAAAAGUUUCGAAUAACUAAUUCACCCCCCUCUUGGUUAGUUGUUCUUGGGCUUUCAUAUAUUUGUUGUAGAAAUAUCUACAAUCUCCAACAUGAAAGAAAUAAGAUAAAUAAAAAUAUUAUUUUGGCGUAUAGUAGAAUCACGUAAGUUUAGGUGUCUAUCGACUUGAACCUUGGCUUUAUAUACCUUUUGAGUUUUCUAAUUGUAGAGUGAAUUAUAUUUUGAACUCUACAAUUAUAGUUACAAACUGAGACAAUAGAAUAUCCACAUGAUUUCUAAAACAAUCAUCGAGUUCACACAAUUAUCAUUUUGAUUGUGAACUUUCCUAGUUUCUUUGAAUGUUCUAGAUAAUCAUCCUCAAUUAUCAUUGAAAGCGGCCACACUUUCGUACUCAAAUAUGUGCUUCUAUCAAAGGUGCACUAUAUCUAAACACUCCACUGAAUAUCAAUUAUAGUAAGCAUUAAGAGCAUUGACUCAUCCUCUAAUCAAUACGGUUGGUAUUACACAUCAUGGGAAAGGGUUUGGAAUAAAUUGUAUAUAGUACCUUCACAGAUCACUCCAAUAACUUUGUUGUUCCAUUGAACUUUGUCCAUGGGAUCUCCAAUUGCAAUGUUGGGUUUCCAUUAUAGGUGAUUUAAUUUGUAAUAGGCUUUUUAGCCUUAUCUCCCUCGAUGUUUUCUGAACUAGCUCUUUAGCUAAUCCUUUAAUUAAGGGUCAGUAAUAUUAUUACUUGAUUUCACACAAUCAAUAGCUAUAAUCCCAUCCUUAAGCAGUUAACCCAAAGUAUUGUACCUCCUACGAAUAUGUCUAGACUUUUCAUUAGAGGAUGAAUUUUAAAUUCUUGAACUAGCUGGAAGUAAUUUAAACUACAAAUGAACAUCCAUAAGAAAAUUCCUUACUCAUUUAGCCUCAUCACAUGCUUUAUCUAAAGCUAUGAAUUCAAAUUCCACAGUAAAUAUCGCAAUGCAGGUUGCUUCAUGGAUUUCCAAGAUACAGUACUGCCUGUUAAUAUAAAUAUAAAUCCACUUGUAGAUUUACUUUAUAUCGAAAAUCCAAUUAGUAUCACAAUAUCCCUCAAGUACAGUAGGAAAUUUGGUACAAUGAUAUUGUAUUUCAAGUACCUUAAAGCUCGAAUGAUAGCAUCCAAAUGUUCAUCCUUAGAAUUACUAGUAUACUUGCUAAGUCUAUCUACCACAUAUGCUAUAUCGGGUCUUAUGUAGUUCAUGAGAUUACCGAUCAAUCUAAUAUAUUCUAAAGCAGAAACAUUAGGACCCGAAUUUUUCUUAAAUGACUUCUUGCAUCGUAAGGUGUUUUAGCAGGAAUACAAUUGAAUUGGUUGUGGAAUACAAUUUAAUUGGUUAAAUUUUUUAAGUACAUCUUCUACAUAAUGAGAUUGGUUAAAGUAAUUCAUUCGGAAUGUUUUUCUAUUUAAAUUUCUAGAAUAACAUUAGCAAUACUCAAAUCUUUCAUUUCAAAGUGCUUUUUCAAAAACUGUUUUGGUCUUAUUAAUCACAUCUACACUAGUUCUCAUUAUAGCAUAUCAUCAUUGUAUAAGCAAAAUUAUCACAUUACAAUUAUUUUCAAAUUCGCUAUAUAUGUCAUUGCUUAGGAGCUUGUUUAAGGUCAUAAAAUUGUUUUUUUUUUUUUAACUCUGUAUACUUUAUUAUCAAGACCUCCUACAAUAAAACCUCAUAUUGAUUAAAAUAAAUCUCAUUUUCUAAGUCUCCAUUUAAAAAUGCAGUUUUGACAUCCAUUGAAUAUAUAAUAAGAUCAUAUAAUGAAGCAAUUGCAAUUAAUAUCCUAAUAGAGACAAUCCUAGUAACGGAUGAAUAAAAAAAAAAAGUCAACUCCUUUUCUUCUUUAUAGCUUUUAGCUACAAGUUUUGCUUUAAACUUAUCAAUCAAACCAUCAAGUUUAAGUUUUUUCUUAAACAAUCAUCUACACUCAAUUAUCUUAAUUCCUUGAUGUAAGUCUACUAACUUUCAAGUAUUGUUUAACAUAAUUGAAUCAUAUUCACUAUUUAUUGCUUCCUUCCAAAAUAUAGAAUCUGGUAAAAACAUGACUUCAACGAAAGUAAUAGCAUCAUCCUCUUCUAAGUAAGUUCAAAAGUCAGGAUCGAAAAGUGUAGUGGCUUUAGAUUUUUUGUCUAAGCCCUUCAGCAGAUUCUCUAGCAACAGCUGCCAGUGCAUCUUAAGAAUAAGCAAGACGAGUCUCCAAAGGUUUAUCGAGGUGAAGGUUUUGGCAGCUCGUCCUAUUUUCAACUUCUUCUGAUUCAACAUGCUCCUCUCUAACUCUAGGAGGAACGCUAAUAAAAUUACUUGAUCAUUCAAAUUUUUCUUUAAAAGGAAAUUUAUAUUUAAAAAAUUUAACAUCUCUAGUUUUACAAAUUGUGUUCUCAUCAUCAACCAAAUUAUUUUUAGAGUCAAUGACUACAAAUCUGGAGGUAUUAUUAUGAAGAGCAUAGCUUAUAAAAACACAAUCAAUAGUUUCCAGACCAAAUUCCUUUCUUCUCGAUCUUGCAGAAAGAAGCAUUUCCCAAAAACAAACAUUUUUCAUCACCAAAAGGAGCGAAAGAAGAUGAUUUACCUCUUGUGCUGUAAAUGUGUUUGGUAACUCUAGAAUCUAUCCACUAGUCUAUCAUGUUGCUUACUAGAUUAACUUCUGCACCAUAGUAGAGAAACUCGCGUCUUUACUAUAAAUGCCUGAUUCUUCAUAGCUUUUUUUCCACCUAUUUUUGCAAUCCUUUACUAAGUAACUUGGUUUACCAUAAAUAAAACAAUUACCAACAUUUUUAUUCUUAAAUUGAGGUUUAGACCGAUUGUUCUUAUCUACAUAUUUCUUUUCCUUGUUUAUCCUUAAAGUUCUAACCCUUGGUAAAGUUUUCAACAAAUUUUUUUACUCCGGAAUUCCCUUCAAAAGACUAGUUUUGGUACCGAAAUUUGGUGUCUCCCUAUGUUCUAUCAUCAUAUUGUCUUCCUCCAUUCUAAUAUUAGUAAUCAGAUCUUCUAAAGACAUUUCUUUCAUUUUAUGGUUCAAACUUUUUAAUAGUCCUUUCAAACAAGUGGUAGUUUUCAGUAAUAGUCCUUUCAAACAAGUGGUAGUUUUCAGUAAUAGUCCUUUCAAACAAGUGGUAGUUUUCAGUAAUAGUCCUUUCAAACAAGUGGUAGUUUUCAGUAAUAGUCCUUUCAAACAAGUGGUAGUUUUCAGUAAUAGUCCUUUCAAACAAGUGGUAGUUUUCAGUAAUAGUGGAUACUUGAAAAUCCUUACAAAUUUUAUAUCCCUCAGCAAUAAUUUCAUGAAUUAUAUGUAAUUCUUCAACUUAUCUAACCACGGUUCUAAUAUAAUUCAUUUUAGGUUUUAGAAAUUUUCCUAUAGCAAAUUUCUUAGUUCUAGCAUCUCCAGCAACAUAUUUUUCUAAAGAAUUCCAUAAUUCUUUAGUAGAUUUACACGUCUAGUAAAUAUCAUUUAAAUUUAAAGUCAACCAAUUCAGUAUGUAAUUUUUGCACAUAUAAUCAUUAUGUUCCCAACUAGCUAAAUCUUCUAUUUAGGCGUAGGCUUAUCAACAAUUUCAACAACAAGUUUAUCAGAUUUAAUAGCAUCAACCACUUUAAGAGUUGUCAAGUAAAAUCGUAGCUUCAUUUGCCAUCUCUUAAAAAAAUUUCCAUCCAAUAAUUUGGAUUUUUAAGAAUACCUAGGGACAGGUGCAUCUAUUACAAACAUAGCAACUAAUUAUAAGAGGAUUUCACUUCAAAUUGUUAGAAAAUAACUAGUUACAAUAACUUGUAUAAAUAAUAAAGUACAAAAAAUAAAAAUUUUCGACUAAUCGAGCAUGAUGCCCUAAAUUGAAAUAACUCGCCGUUAACUUGUAACCCAAAACCCCGACCUUCCACACUUGCUCUAACUUAGUUAUUUCUUUUCUAUAAUAUAUUUAUUGUAUAAAUAUCUAACAUAGAGUUACCACGAAUGAUUUGAAACCAAAACAAAUCACCAAAAAUCAUUUAAAACCACGAUGAGUUACAAAGAUUCAUUUAAAGAUAGAACAAGUCACCAAGUAUCAUUUGAAAAAUCCAACCACAAGACACAUUAAGUCAUUAAGCCACGUAGACUUGGAGACGAAUUCAUUUCCACUCAGGUUCUCCGAAUUGAAAAAAUGAUUUGUGAUAUUUAAAAAAGAAGAACUAUAUAAGAAUUAGGAAUUCCAAUACCACUUGUCAGUUCCAAUAAUACAUUUUAACCCUGAAAACCUGAAAGAAGUUGCAUAAUAUAAAAGAUUGAAUACAAAAGAAUUUUCGUCCACUAAUGAGUCUGGAUGUUCAUGUGCCCUAAAAUUUACACACAUUGAUUUGAGCAUCUACCUUCGUGGAUAUAGCUCUAGUACUUGAAGGAAAUCAACUUCCACGAGUUCAAUACAAAUGUGAAAUCAUACGAAUUUCUCAUCUUUCUCGGCUACAUCUAAAGAGGUGAUUUUCAUAGGAAACCGAAGUAAAGAUGUUUAUAUUAUAAACUUUGAAUUUGAAAAUAACGAAAAUUGUUUACUUAGUUUGAGAGAAGAAUCAUGGCUAUGGCAUAGAAGACUUGGGCAUGCAAACAUGGAUCUUUUUUUUAGAAUUUCUAAAAAUUGUUUUGUAAAAGGUUUAUCAAAUUUGAAAUUUGAAAAAGAUAAAAUUUGCGAUGUUUGUCAAUUUGGAAAACAAGUAAAGAAUUCUUUCAAACUAAAACUUUAUGCUUCAACUACAAAACCUUUACAACUUCUCCAUAUGGAUUUUUUUUGGACCUUCUAGGACAACUAGCUUAGGAGGUAAAUAUUAUGCUUUUAUUAUAGUCGAUGAUUUUUCAAGAUUUGCUUGGGUUAUAUUUUUAAGCUUAAAAGAAGAAGUUUUGAAAACUGUUAAAUACUUUUGUAAGAAAGUUGAAAAUGAAAAAGGCUAUUCUAUUACAACAAUUAGAAGUGACCAUAGUGGAGAAUUUGUUAAUGUUGGCUUUGAUGAAUUUUUUGUAAAGAAUAUGGAUAUGAACAUAACUUUUCGGCUCCUAGAACACCUCAACAAAAUGGUGUAGUAGAAAGGAGGAAUCGCACAUUGCAAGAAAUGGGUUGGACUAUGUUAAAUGAAAAUAAUUUGCCUAAAUACUUUUGGGUCGAGGCCGUUAAUACCGCUUGUUACAUUGUUAAUAGAGUAUUAGUAAGCAAAAAAAAAAACUAAAACUCCUUACUAACUUCGGACAAAUAGAAUUUCAAAUAUUAGUUAUUUCAAAGUUUUUGGAUGUAAAUGUUUUAUUUUAAAUACAAAAGACAAUUUUGGAAAAUUUGACUCCAAAUCCGAUGUUGGAAUUUUCCUAGGAUAUUUAUCGACUAGCAAAGCAUAUAGAGUUUUUAACAAACGAACUCUAGUCGUUGAAGAAUCCAUGCAUGUUAGUUUUGACGAAACUAACUCAUUUGAUCAAGAGAAAGGUAGUGAUGACGAUGUAGGAUUGGAAGCUUCUUUCGAGCAAAUGAAAAUUCAAGACCAAAAUAAGGAGGCACCAAAUGAAGAAAUAGAGAAAUCAAAUGCCAAAAUAAAUGAAAAAAGACAAACUGAAGAACAAAGUGAUCCCCCAUUGCCAAAAGAAUGGAGGUUUGUUCCAUCUCAUCCCAAAUAGCUUAUAAUUGGCGAUCCAUCAAAAUGUAUCACUAGUAGAAACUCUCAUAAAAAUGAUUUCGGUAGCUAUGCAUUUAUUUCUCAAAUCGAACCUAAGAAUUUCAAAAAUGCCGAGUUUGAUGAGUUUUGGAUUCUAGCGAUGCGAGAAGAAUUAAAUCAAUUUGAAAGAAACCAUGUUUGGGAUUCAGUCGCUAGACCAAACAAUCAAACCGUUAUAGGAACGAAAUGGAUCUUUAGAAACAAAAGAGAUGAAAAUGAAAUAAUUGUGCGUAACAAGGCUAGAUUAGUGGCGCAAGUUUACAAUCAAGAAGAAGGUAUCGAUUUUAAAGAAACAUUUGCACCCGUAGCAAGAUUAAAAUCCAUUCGUAUGCUUCUUGCAUUUGCAUUUGCAAGGGUUUACACUUUAUCAAAUGGAUGUUAAAAGUGCAUUUUUAAAUGGUUUUAUUCAAGACGAAAUUUAUGUUGAGCGACCUCCCAGUUUUAAAGAUCACAAGUAUUCGAAUCAUGUAUUUAAAUUUAGAAAAGCUCUUUACGGUUUGAAACAAGCUCCUAGAGCUUGGUACGAACGAUUGAGCAAAUUUCUUCUCUCAAAUGAUUUUUCGAUUGGAAAAGCGGAUACUACACUUUUCAUAAAAACUCAUAAAGAGGAUAUGCUCAUUGUUCAAAUUUAUGUUGACGAUAUUAUUUUUGGCGCUACAAAUAUUCAUCUUUGUGAAGAAUUUUUAAAUUACACGAGUAAAGAAUAUGAAAUUAGCAUGAUGGGUAAAUUAAAAUUCUUUCUUGGUCUUUAAGUUAUACAAACAAAAGAAGGAAUUUUCAUCAAUCAAAAUAAAUACAUAAUAGACAUGCUUAAAAAAUUUGAUAUGCAUGACAUUAAGUCUAUGAACACGCCAAUAAGCACAUCCCUGAAGCUUGAUAAAGAUAAUCAAGGUACAUCCGUGGAUGUCACAAAAUAUCAAGAUAUGAUCGGAUCUCUUCUUUAUUUAAUUGCUAGUAGGCCCGAUAUUAUGUCUAGUGUCUGCUUAUGUGCUCGAUUUUAAUCUAAUCAUAAAGAAUCUCACUUGAGUACCGUUAAAAGAAUUUUUCGAUAUUUAAGUGGAACUAGGAUCCUAGGACUUUGGUAUCCAAAGGGUACACAUGUUGAUUUAAUUAGUUAUUCGGAUGCCGAUUGUGCUGGAUUUAAUGUUGGCCGUGAAAGUACUAGCAAAAAUUGUCACUUUCUAGACUUUGCACUAGUUUCUUGGUCUAACAAGAAAAAAAUUUCGUGGCACUAUCCACGGUCGAGGCGGAAUAUAUCUCAACCACUAGUUGUUGUGCACAAACAUUAUGGAUGAAACAGACAUUAUGUGAUUAUCAUUUAUCCUAUGAUCAUGUGCCUAUCUUAUGUGAUAAUACUAGUGCUAUUAAUCUAUCAAAGAAUCCCGUCUUGCAUUCACGAACUAAGCAUAUUGAGAUUAGAUAUCAUUUUCUUCAUGAUCAUGCACAAAAGGGAUAUAUUGAAUUAGAAUUUAUAAAGAUUGAGAAUCAAUUGACCGAUAUUUUCACCAAACCUCUUAUACACGAUCAUUUCUCUUCUAUUCGAAGAAGUCUAGGAAUUAUUGAUGAAAAUUUGAUAUAUAAAAAAGGGCAUCCAGACGCAUCCUAUCCGAACCGGACGGUCCAGACUGAAUCAUUCGGAUUGACAGUGUAUUUUGAACACUGUCUAUCAAUCUGGACAUCGGAUCUGUUGCGGUUCGCGUUAUUCAAAACACGAACCAGAGGUCUUCUUCAUCAUUUCUUCUCCUCUUUUCUUCAAUAUUUUCCUCAAACUUUCUCAUCCACUAUCAAAUUCCUCUCCGAACAUCACUUUCCUUCCAAUUUCUUGUUUCCACAAGAUUUAAACUUCAAAAUAUUCACACUUUUCCUAAAAUCAUUUAAAAUCUUCAUCUUUUUACUCCACUCAAACCUCCGGUAACUUUUGGCUAUUUUUCACUCAAAUUGCUCAAUCUUGUGUCAAACUACACUACCCACUGUAGUAUUCAUCACAUAUUUAAGCAUUUCACCAAUUCAAUUGUGAAUUUUGGCUAUGAAAUCUCUCCAAAGCCUAACUUUCAAAAUUUGGGGCUUAUUUGAAAUUCUUGGAAAUAUAAUCAAUCCUCAACAAUGUCGGGAUCUCAAAGAGGAAAAAGGGUGAAAAGAACCGAGAAAUGACCCCCUUCAUUGUCGUUGGAUGAAGAGAUGGAUUUGAAGCCGGAGGUGCCGCCAAAUUCCUUUGAAAAGUCACACAUUUUAAUUGGUAAGAAUGUUGAUUUUGCGGAUUUUACAAUUGAAGCUCCCGGAUUUCAAAUUGAUGAAUAUUUUGAAAACAUGAGGUGGGUAACUAUCACGUCUUAUAAAAGAAUUUUAUCAAAAAAUGCAAACUGCACCUCGUUCCGUCGAGAUUACAUGUUUACUUAAAAAUGGACACAUUACGAUUUCAAAAGCAUUGAUUCGUGAAAUUCUCGAACUUGAGACUUGUGACUUGGAAGUAUUUGUGCAUAAAUCUCCACAUACUGUGGAAGGUUACGAUCCUUUUAAGACUUGUCGACGAGUCACCGGGAAGGACUUCGAGAAUAUCAUGAAAUUAAGCAAAAUCAAUUAACUCUCCCAUGCAAAGUUUUGCAAAAUAUAAUUGCCCACAUUAUUUUUCCCCAAAAAUGACACCGAGACGAAGUCAAUCACUUCAAUCUCUUUAUUAUGGACUCUCAAUUAUUGUUGGGCGUCUCAUUGAUUUUCCUACUAUUGUCAUGGGACUUAUGAAACGCGUGCAUGCAUCACGUCACACUAAAGCUUUACCUUACAGGAUGCUUCUUACAAAAUUUUUCAAACACUUUAAUGUUUCACUUGACGGGGAAGUUUUCAUUACAUUAUGCCCUACCGAUAUUAUCAACAUCCAAACACUAAAAAUGAUGAAAAUAGUAAACGAACACGGGCAAUGGCUGGCUCACACGAAAGGGUUUGAUCCUACCUUCGGCCCAUCUACUCUUCCAUUUGAAGAUGAACUACCUGAGACCGAGUCUGAUGAAGCACCUGCACCCAGUAUUCCAGGCUCUAGUACAUCUCAUCCUUCAAUACGUCAUUCUAGAUUCACCGAGAAAUAAUAUAGUCUCAUUCAUAGGUGUAUUCACUUACCUCGACGGUCGAUAGCAUGGAUAGCCUACUACUCCAGAUUCAGGUUCAGCAGACUACUAUCCAUGAUCGACAGCCUGCGAUGCAACAACAGCAGCUUGAGAUGCAGGCUUAGCAGGCUGCUUUUUUCAGUGAUUUCUAUGCUCGAUUUCCACCACCUCCAUCGCCUUCGACCCCUUAGUUUAUUUGCUUGUCGUAUUCUACUAGAUAUUUUAUUAUCUAACUCUAUAUUUCGUUUAUUAGACUUUUAUGUUCGUCUAUUGCAUCGUUCAUUUCUCCUAUGUACUUUGCCUAUUUUCCCUUAAAUGGUUGACUUUCUCCAUGCUAUUAUUUCAUUUCUGCUGCUUGUGUUCUUAUUUUUGCUUAUGCCAAAAGGGGGAAGAUAAGUAGAUGAUUAUGCAAAAUAAGGGAAAUAUUGUAAGGGAGAAGUAAUAAAUUUUUAUAUGCAUGACAAUAAAGGAAAUUUUUAAGUGAAAUCGAUAGGGAGAACGUUACUUGUAAUUUUCAAUAUUUUUGUUUGCGCCAAUUCAAUUUGUUUAAUAUUUAUAUUGCAAAUCAUCUAAUUUGUCAUAAUCAAAAAGGAAAAAAAAUGUUGACCUAAUGGUUGACUUCUUGUUUUGAUUAUCACAAACAAAUUGCGUUUAAUUCUAACAAAUUGAAUUUAAGUGUUGUUAGUGAUUAUUAUGGAAUUAACGAAGAAUGAAAAUACAAGAAUUGAAGUCAAGACUGAUGCAUAUAGGCGAACUACCUUGGCACCAAAUGAUCAAUGCAUAACCAAAGUUUGGAACAGAGAGAUUAAAAUCAAGCUUUCGAGUCAAAAAUCAUUUGGAAAGAAGAAAUUGAAGAUAUUAGAUAUGGAUGCAUUUUUGUACUAAAAUGUAAAGUUAUAACUCUUCAAUUUCUCACAUCGACUAUAGCUCAAAAUUUUUACGCACGAGGCUUCUUCACGACAAACAAUACUUGCAUAAAAAUUAUUCUAAAAAAGAUAAGUAUCUUGAUUUUCAAGAUUACACAAUUACAAAAUACUUAUCUAUACAAUAAAUGUGAAAAUCCUUCAAGUACUUGCAUGAAAAUUCAUCACGAAGGAGAAAGUCCAGAGGGGCAACUUUCUGUCCAUCUGGACGUCCGGAUGGAACUGUCCGGACGAGUCUCCAACGGUCAUUUCAGUGAUCGUUUUUCAAACGGCUAGUUAACCGUCCGGAUGCUAAGCAGACGUCCGGAUCCCGUGUCUGGAUUGACAAAUUUUUUGACCGUUUGAUGCUAUAAAUACCCACUUUCUACGACAAUCAUGACAAGAAUUCUUGAGCUUUAAAGUGCAACAUUUAUUGAUCUUUUCUACCUUGUUUUCAAUUCUUUUAAGAUCAAAUCAUUUAACUUUUGAAAAAAAAUUUGAUCACUGUGAAAUUCAUAUAUCUCAAAAAGGUUUUCUCCUUUAUAACACUUGAGCUAUACUUUUUGUGAAUUAUUGAAGUGUUGUAUCUACUUCUCUCUCUUGAUUCUUAAUUAAGUUCAUAUUAUUAAUUAAGAGAGAAGUCUUUGAUUGUAAUUUCAAUUUUCCUUUAAAUUUUAAAUUGUGGGUCGGUUGAGGUCCCGGAAAGCUCAACGUUGUAAAGGAUCGAUGCUCCUUGUUUGUAAAUACCGAGAGCUUUGUAAGAAGGUUGGAUUGUACCAUAACUCAAUCAAAUAUAGUAGAAAGGACCUUGCUCGUGACGGAGAGUUUGGUAACGAGGGACAUAGAUCGUUGAUUGGAUCGAACCUCCUUAUUACAUCGUUUGUACUCUUUUUUCCUUUCCUCUUAUUACUUUUAUGCUAUCGUGCUUAUUCAUUAUUUUAAUUGCUUAAUUUUGCACUUAUUUUUGAAAAAGUUUCGAAUAACUAAUUCACCCCCCUCUUGGUUAGUUGUUCUUGGGCUUUCAUAUAUUUGUUGUAGAAAUAUCUACAAUCUCCAACAUGAAAGAAAUAAGAUAAAUAAAAAUAUUAUUUUGGCGUAUAGUAGAAUCACGUAAGUUUAGGUGUCUAUCGACUUGAACCUUGGCUUUAUAUACCUUUUGAGUUUUCUAAUUGUAGAGUGAAUUAUAUUUUGAACUCUACAAUUAUAGUUACAAACUGAGACAAUAGAAUAUCCACAUGAUUUCUAAAACAAUCAUCGAGUUCACACAAUUAUCAUUUUGAUUGUGAACUUUCCUAGUUUCUUUGAAUGUUCUAGAUAAUCAUCCUCAAUUAUCAUUGAAAGCGGCCACACUUUCGUACUCAAAUAUGUGCUUCUAUCAAAGGUGCACUAUAUCUAAACACUCCACUGAAUAUCAAUUAUAGUAAGCAUUAAGAGCAUUGACUCAUCCUCUAAUCAAUACGGUUGGUAUUACACAUCAUGGGAAAGGGUUUGGAAUAAAUUGUAUAUAGUACCUUCACAGAUCACUCCAAUAACUUUGUUGUUCCAUUGAACUUUGUCCAUGGGAUCUCCAAUUGCAAUGUUGGGUUUCCAUUAUAGGUGAUUUAAUUUGUAAUAGGCUUUUUAGCCUUAUCUCCCUCGAUGUUUUCUGAACUAGCUCUUUAGCUAAUCCUUUAAUUAAGGGUCAGUAAUAUUAUUACUUGAUUUCACACAAUCAAUAGCUAUAAUCCCAUCCUUAAGCAGUUAACCCAAAGUAUUGUACCUCCUACGAAUAUGUCUAGACUUUUCAUUAGAGGAUGAAUUUUAAAUUCUUGAACUAGCUGGAAGUAAUUUAAACUACAAAUGAACAUCCAUAAGAAAAUUCCUUACUCAUUUAGCCUCAUCACAUGCUUUAUCUAAAGCUAUGAAUUCAAAUUCCACAGUAAAUAUCGCAAUGCAGGUUGCUUCAUGGAUUUCCAAGAUACAGUACUGCCUGUUAAUAUAAAUAUAAAUCCACUUGUAGAUUUACUUUAUAUCGAAAAUCCAAUUAGUAUCACAAUAUCCCUCAAGUACAGUAGGAAAUUUGGUACAAUGAUAUUGUAUUUCAAGUACCUUAAAGCUCGAAUGAUAGCAUCCAAAUGUUCAUCCUUAGAAUUACUAGUAUACUUGCUAAGUCUAUCUACCACAUAUGCUAUAUCGGGUCUUAUGUAGUUCAUGAGAUUACCGAUCAAUCUAAUAUAUUCUAAAGCAGAAACAUUAGGACCCGAAUUUUUCUUAAAUGACUUCUUGCAUCGUAAGGUGUUUUAGCAGGAAUACAAUUGAAUUGGUUGUGGAAUACAAUUUAAUUGGUUAAAUUUUUUAAGUACAUCUUCUACAUAAUGAGAUUGGUUAAAGUAAUUCAUUCGGAAUGUUUUUCUAUUUAAAUUUCUAGAAUAACAUUAGCAAUACUCAAAUCUUUCAUUUCAAAGUGCUUUUUCAAAAACUGUUUUGGUCUUAUUAAUCACAUCUACACUAGUUCUCAUUAUAGCAUAUCAUCAUUGUAUAAGCAAAAUUAUCACAUUACAAUUAUUUUCAAAUUCGCUAUAUAUGUCAUUGCUUAGGAGCUUGUUUAAGGUCAUAAAAUUGUUUUUUUUUUUUUAACUCUGUAUACUUUAUUAUCAAGACCUCCUACAAUAAAACCUCAUAUUGAUUAAAAUAAAUCUCAUUUUCUAAGUCUCCAUUUAAAAAUGCAGUUUUGACAUCCAUUGAAUAUAUAAUAAGAUCAUAUAAUGAAGCAAUUGCAAUUAAUAUCCUAAUAGAGACAAUCCUAGUAACGGAUGAAUAAAAAAAAAAAGUCAACUCCUUUUCUUCUUUAUAGCUUUUAGCUACAAGUUUUGCUUUAAACUUAUCAAUCAAACCAUCAAGUUUAAGUUUUUUCUUAAACAAUCAUCUACACUCAAUUAUCUUAAUUCCUUGAUGUAAGUCUACUAACUUUCAAGUAUUGUUUAACAUAAUUGAAUCAUAUUCACUAUUUAUUGCUUCCUUCCAAAAUAUAGAAUCUGGUAAAAACAUGACUUCAACGAAAGUAAUAGCAUCAUCCUCUUCUAAGUAAGUUCAAAAGUCAGGAUCGAAAAGUGUAGUGGCUUUAGAUUUUUUGUCUAAGCCCUUCAGCAGAUUCUCAAGCAACAGCUGCCAGUGCAUCUUAAGAAUAAGCAAGACGAGUCUCCAAAGGUUUAUCGAGGUGAAGGUUUUGGCAGCUCGUCCUAUUUUCAACUUCUUCUGAUUCAACAUGCUCCUCUCUAACUCUAGGAGGAACGCUAAUAAAAUUACUUGAUCAUUCAAAUUUUUCUUUAAAAGGAAAUUUAUAUUUAAAAAAUUUAACAUCUCUAGUUUUACAAAUUGUGUUCUCAUCAUCAACCAAAUUAUUUUUAGAGUCAAUGACUACAAAUCUGGAGGUAUUAUUAUGAAGAGCAUAGCUUAUAAAAACACAAUCAAUAGUUUCCAGACCAAAUUCCUUUCUUCUCGAUCUUGCAGAAAGAAGCAUUUCCCAAAAACAAACAUUUUUCAUCACCAAAAGGAGCGAAAGAAGAUGAUUUACCUCUUGUGCUGUAAAUGUGUUUGGUAACUCUAGAAUCUAUCCACUAGUCUAUCAUGUUGCUUACUAGAUUAACUUCUGCACCAUAGUAGAGAAACUCGCGUCUUUACUAUAAAUGCCUGAUUCUUCAUAGCUUUUUUUCCACCUAUUUUUGCAAUCCUUUACUAAGUAACUUGGUUUACCAUAAAUAAAACAAUUACCAACAUUUUUAUUCUUAAAUUGAGGUUUAGACCGAUUGUUCUUAUCUACAUAUUUCUUUUCCUUGUUUAUCCUUAAAGUUCUAACCCUUGGUAAAGUUUUCAACAAAUUUUUUUACUCCGGAAUUCCCUUCAAAAGACUAGUUUUUGUACCGAAAUUUGGUGUCUCCCUAUGUUCUAUCAUCAUAUUGUCUUCCUCCAUUCUAAUAUUAGUAAUCAGAUCUUCUAAAGACAUUUCUUUCAUUUUAUGGUUCAAACUUUUUAAUAGUCCUUUCAAACAAGUGGUAGUUUUCAGUAAUAGUCCUUUCAAACAAGUGGUAGUUUUCAGUAAUAGUGGAUACUUGAAAAUCCUUACAAAUUUUAUAUCCCUCAGCAAUAAUUUCAUGAAUUAUAUGUAAUUCUUCAACUUAUCUAACCACGGUUCUAAUAUAAUUCAUUUUAGGUUCUAGAAAUUUUCCUAUAGCAAAUUUCUUAGUUCUAGCAUCUCCAGCAACAUAUUUUUCUAAAGAAUUCCAUAAUUCUUUAGUAGAUUUACACGUCUAGUAAAUAUCAUUUAAAUUUAAAGUCAACCAAUUCAGUAUGUAAUUUUUGCACAUAUAAUCAUUAUGUUCCCAACUAGCUAAAUCUUCUAUUUAGGCGUAGGCUUAUCAACAAUUUCAACAACAAGUUUAUCAGAUUUAAUAGCAUCAACCACUUUAAGAGUUGUCAAGUAAAAUCGUAGCUUCAUUUGCCAUCUCUUAAAAAAAUUUCCAUCCAAUAAUUUGGAUUUUUAAGAAUACCUAGGGACAGGUGCAUCUAUUACAAACAUAGCAACUAAUUAUAAGAGGAUUUCACUUCAAAUUGUUAGAAAAUAACUAGUUACAAUAACUUGUAUAAAUAAUAAAGUACAAAAAAUAAAAAUUUUCGACUAAUCGAGCAUGAUGCCCUAAAUUGAAAUAACUCGCCGUUAACUUGUAACCCAAAACCCCGACCUUCCACACUUGCUCUAACUUAGUUAUUUCUUUUCUAUAAUAUAUUUAUUGUAUAAAUAUCUAACAUAGAGUUACCACGAAUGAUUUGAAACCAAAACAAAUCACCAAAAAUCAUUUAAAACCACGAUGAGUUACAAAGAUUCAUUUAAAGAUAGAACAAGUCACCAAGUAUCAUUUGAAAAAUCCAACCACAAGACACAUUAAGUCAUUAAGCCACGUAGACUUGGAGACGAAUUCAUUUCCACUCAGGUUCUCCGAAUUGAAAAAAUGAUUUGUGAUAUUUAAAAAAGAAGAACUAUAUAAGAAUUAGGAAUUCCAAUACCACUUGUCAGUUCCAAUAAUACAUUUUAACCCUGAAAACCUGAAAGAAGUUGCAUAAUAUAAAAGAUUGAAUACAAAAGAAUUUUCGUCCACUAAUGAGUCUGGAUGUUCAUGUGCCCUAAAAUUUACACACAUUGAUUUGAGCAUCUACCUUCGUGGAUAUAGCUCUAGUACUUGAAGGAAAUCAACUUCCACGAGUUCAAUACAAAUGUGAAAUCAUACGAAUUUCUCAUCUUUCUCGCCUCACGAAAAUGUUACAAAACAUUGUUAACUUAAUCAUAAUAUACAGAAACCUUCUCCAUCUACACAAAUGCACAAACUUUCUCUACUAAGGCACGUUUGAGCCCCCAUUAAUUUGAAGUAACGUAUUAUAGAAUAAUAAUUAAUGGAGAAUAUGUAAUUAAAAAGGAAAGAAAAGUUUUUGAUUUACGUGUAAUAUUAUUUUAAUGAAUUAAAUAUAAGUACUAUAAAAAAUAAUAAAAAAGAAUGUAAAGUAAAGAGUGACAUAUGGGGACUAAGUAUUCUAGUAGAUGGAAAAUGAAGAACUUUCAAAAGAGCAAACAGAGAANNNNNNNNNNNNNNNNNNNNNNNNNNNNNNNNNNNNNNNNNNNNNNNNNNNNNNNNNNNNNNNNNNNNNNNNNNNNNNNNNNNNNNNNNNNNNNNNNNNNNNNNNNNNNNNNNNNNNNNNNNNNNNNNNNNNNNNNNNNNNNNNNNNNNNNNNNNNNNNNNNNNNNNNNNNNNNNNNNNNNNNNNNNNNNNNNNNNNNNNNNNNNNNNNNNNNNNNNNNNNNNNNNNNNNNNNNNNNNNNNNNNNNNNNNNNNNNNNNNNNNNNNNNNNNNNNNNNNNNNNNNNNNNNNNNNNNNNNNNNNNNNNNNNNNNNNNNNNNNNNNNNNNNNNNNNNNNNNNNNNNNNNNNNNNNNNNNNNNNNNNNNNNNNNNNNNNNNNNNNNNNNNNNNNNNNNNNNNNNNNNNNNNNNNNNNNNNNNNNNNNNNNNNNNNNNNNNNNNNNNNNNNNNNNNNNNNNNNNNNNNNNNNNNNNNNNNNNNNNNNNNNNNNNNNNNNNNNNNNNNNNNNNNNNNNNNNNNNNNNNNNNNNNNNNNNNNNNNNNNNNNNNNNNNNNNNNNNNNNNNNNNNNNNNNNNNNNNNNNNNNNNNNNNNNNNNNNNNNNNNNNNNNNNNNNNNNNNNNNNNNNNNNNNNNNNNNNNNNNNNNNNNNNNNNNNNNNNNNNNNNNNNNNCCAAUUACAGAAAGAAAUAGGAGGUGAUUUUCCACUACACUAGUAGCUUUCUUAAUAAAGUGAUGCUAUUUAAUUUCACUAGAGUUACAUUUUCAGUUUAAGUGACGUUAAUGUGGUAUUAAAUGAUUUGUAAUAUUAAAAAGUUACUUAUUUUCACUUUUCAUUCAACAUAUCAUCACCACCACAUAGAUUGAGAUUGUAACCUCAUUGGAACUAAAUAGCACUAUUCUUCUUAAUAUGGUAUUUUACGGUUUUCAUUUUUAUUUCUUCGAUUUGAUUCUUUGGCAUGAAAUUAUUAUAAUUUGUUUAUUUUUAAAUUUAAUUUUUAACUCAUUUUACGUAUAAAAUACAAAAUUACCAUUUUACCAUUAUUGAAAUAGCUAAUAAUGUAGUCAAAAUUAUUUUUUGAGAUCAACUAAUUGUCAAAUGGAUGGAUUCAAUCUAUUUGUCCCUGUGCCGCAAUAAAAAUGAAAGAUUUGAGAUAGUGAUUGAUACAAAUAAAAAGUCUGAAUAAAGUCUGUAAAAAAUAUAUAUAUUGGGGACCAUGGCUGCAAUUCUCUCUAAAAUCAAUUCCGUGAUGAAUUUGAAUCACUUAUUCAAGAUAAGAAAGCAAAGUGCAAAGUGAUAUCACUUAUUCAAGAUAACUUAUUAGAAUUUAUUUUUUCCUGUCCUACAUGAUAAUUAAUUACACAUAUAUAUCAAUUCGAACUGUCAAUUAUCAUUAAAGCAACUUGUGCUAAAACAUAAUCAUCCUAUAGUUAGACACUUUUGUUGGGAAAAAAAAGUGAAAGACAUCUUUUUUCACUUAAAUAAUUAUUUUGGUUCUGUUCAUAGUCUUCAUUUUAGAAAAUCUUGUAGAUACAAAAUGCUCUUAUGUGCCUCGAAAGAUCGAAGAGAUUUUGCACGAAGUCCCUGCAAAGUCGUUAUCAAGUCAUUCUUUUAAAAUACAUGACGAGUUGAGCUCUAUUCAAUCUGGUACCUUAAUUUACUAAUUUACUUGCUUCUGAUGUGUUUGAUCACAUUUUGCUUGCACGAAUUUGACCUUAUUUAUUGUUUUCAUUAAUUUACCUAUUCAACCUUUUCUCGUAGCAUUUUUAGAUGACCGUGUAUUUUGUAGUUAUAUUUAUAUCGAGAUACACAAAUAACUGAUUAUGAUUACCUAAUUUGCAACUGCCUAUGAUCAUUAUCUCGACUUGCCACAUUUUUGUUUUUCACGUAUAGCAAAAUUAAUUGACAAAGGUGAUAAAAAUAACAGAAAACGAAAUUCCAAAUGCAAAUUGUGAAAAAACUCAAUAUUUAGAAGAUGAACAAUGCUAGAGGUAUAGAAUUUUUUGACAGAAGAAUUUUACAGAUAUGACAUCAUUGAAAGAUGGGGAAAAAAAAGUCCAAUCAUGUUUUAUUAUAUCAGUGUUAGUACGAGUUCUAAUAAAAAUUUUCUGUACUCAUAGCUUUUUUUUUCUGUACUCAUACCUUUAUUGUUAAAAGAUAUGGAAGUCGAUGAAGUAAACGAUUCAGAUAUCAAUUUGACGAUCGGUAUCUGUUUUAUAGCCUACCAAAGCGUGGUGUUGAAAUUAAAGAAGGAAAAAUGGCCGUAAAAUUUAAAUUUAAACAAAACAGAUUACAGAUCCGUAAUAAAUAUAAUUUUUUUAAAAAAAAAUACUAAUUUAUGGCGGAACUUAUGUCGGAUUCUCGAUAAUAUGUACUAGAAAGCUAGCUUAAUUUUUCAAAACACAUGAUACACUUGCUUUAAUUUUUGAAAGAGUAGUGCUCGGCGUACAGGCCCAGCACUCACAAGGUUGGGGUCGAUUUUUUUUUUUUAAAUUAUAUAAAUGGCGUCGGGGCCCACGUGGGGCCAACCCCAUGUGAGGGAUUGGUAAGACCAACUUUGUUCUUUUUGAAAUAUUGACAGAUUGUCAUACUUCUUUUUUUUGUUUUUCAUUUUUUUUUAAUGGAUUGUUGUACGUCGGAAAGUGUUUAUUAAUUUUAAUUUUUUUUUAUUUACAAACUUUUAUAUGGAAAUAUUUAAGUACGUAAUUGUUUAUUAAUUUUUUUAAUUUUUAAAAAAGUUUUUCGCGAUGGGUUUUGGUUUCGAAUAAUUUUAAUUUUAAGUUUUAUUUUUAAAUAGUCACCAAUGGAAAUCUCCGUUGGGAAAUCAACAUAUAAGUGUUUAAUUAAUUUUCAUAUUCAUUUUUUUUUUCUAUUUUUAUCAACAAAUUAGCGAUGAAAUAUCAUCAAUUAUUGUGGGUUGAAGUCGGUUUGAACAAUGUAAAGACUUGCACCGGCCACAUGGUUGGGACCAUAUUUGGGUCCAAAUUAGAUUGUCUCAAUAUCUUAUCAAACUCAUCAUAUCAAUCAAAUGAUCUUAUGACUACGUCAACUAUUGAAUUGAAACGCACGCCCCAUUUUGAAAAUAUUUUGAAACUUUCAUCAUUUUUCUGGGUUCGAGAACGAUUACUUUUCAAUAAAGGUAAAGUUAAAAUUGUACAUGAACAAAUUACUACGGGUACAUUUUUUUUUUCCUAAAAUGUGAAGAAUAUGAAAAAAUUCACGUACAUAAUACUUACAAAUUGAGAUGGAUUCAGAUCUUUUAGAUCAUCGACUAUUAAUAAACAGUUGAUUUGGAGAGCCACUUUGGAUAGUUUAAAAAGUUCCAAUAGAGAGAACAUACUGAAAUCUCAUUUUUCAAAAUUGAUUCUCCAAUAUUGAGAGAGUCUUAAAUUUAAAUAGUCUCUUGAGAAUACUUUAAAAGAUAGAGAAGUUAAUAUUGCAUUAAAUAAAUUUUUAUGAUAUUUUAUGAUCGUAUGAAUGCAUUUUCAAAUAUUCAUUUUCAUUCCAGUUUUUUGCACUAUAAAUAAAAAUAGAAAUUGAAGAAAAUAAAACGAAGUUAAGGCAAUACCGAUCAAAUCAACCUAUCAGGAAGAUGUUAGAAUGACAUAGGACACAAACCUAUAGUCAAAGUGUCAUUCAUGACCUUAUUGCAACCGACCUCAAAACUAAUCAAAAUAUUUCAAACGGCGCAUUAUCACAAGCCUUAGAUUGGAACAAAGUGGCUGACAUGAUUAGGAUGACAAGUUCGAGUCCAUCAGCCUCCAUAAAGGAGAAAAGAAUGAAUGACAUGAGAAGAUUUGAACUGAAACACACUAUACAGCUUUCUUAAAUUUCAAAUAAGUAAAUCACUUCUUGAGGAAGACUAGAGAUGGGUGCUUUUGGAGCUCGACUCGAUAACAAUUAGUAGAACCCGAUCAUAGACGAUCCAAGUUCGGCUCAACUCAUUGCCAUGGCUAACUAGUUUCCUACCGAGGUCACAUGAAUUAAGCUUGCUUCUAUGAUUUUAUUUCCUUUGGCAAAAACAACUGGGCUUUAAAAGUACACGCUUAAUGCUAUAGUACGCCUUUUCUUUUUCAUUUUCUGAAAAGAGUGCAGUACAAAAUUAUUAUAAAUUUUUGAAAAUAUUCGCUGUAACAUUACUGUGUAUGAGAUGUAUUUUGAUUCUUUUAAAAAAAUAUUUUUUAUUACGUACACAGUUAUUGAGAAUUUAACUUCAUUCCAUAUACCAGGAAGAAGUGACACAUCACCAUAAGGCCCUGUUUGUCAAUCGUUAAAAUUUUAAAUUAUUUGCUACAAUAUUAUUCUCCAUCACAUAUUUACACAAUAAAAUAUUCUACAAACGAACCAAUAAAUUUUUUUUUAUAUUUUUUUAUAUAUUUUUUUUUUUACUUUUAAAUCACACAUUCUCAAAAUAAUACUACUCAAAACUCUCUAACUUACUAAAUAAUGGGCAACAAACACCGGCUAAAUUUGGAUUAAGUUGAAUACAAUUCUUCAAGUGGACGAAAAAAUUGACUGCAAUUCUUCAAGGAGAUGAAAUCUAGAAUUUACUUGUAAACAAACUUGCUGAAAAUAAACAAUCAUCUUAUAUCUACUACCAGUUAAAAUCAAGAAGAAAUUGAAACUAAAACUGCAUGUAAAGUGUGUGAUCAAUGGUGUAUAUUUAUUAUUAGAAAUAUGUACAACAAUCAUUUAAAAAUAAUAAAUUGCAUGAGAACUAGCAUUUUAUCAUAUUCAACCAAUCGUGUACACAAAUAAUAAUGGGACAGGACUCUUUCGAUAUGAAGAAAUUACUGGGGAGUGUUUGCAAUACAAGGAGAAGUUCCCUUGAGAACGUCUGCAUGCACCAAGCCAGCUAUUACAAAGAACAAAAAUGACCACAAGCAUUUUCACUACUCAGCAAGUAGUGCAUAUUACAACAAUCAAGAUUUCUACUUAUUUCACUUUUAAAUAAAGUCGAUUACGGGUCUAAUAUCGUAGAUCGACAUACCAGGUUACUGUGGUUUAGGAAGUCCAUAAAAAUCGCCCUCCAUUCUCUUCUUCUUCUCCUCUAAUGCAUUACUGGUGGAUCUCCAUCUACAGAAAGAACCAAACAGGACCUCCAUAUCCUCCAGGUUUCUUCCCCGUGUCUCCGGUAGCAAUGUGUAGAAGAAAAUCCAAGCUAUAAUUCCAACCCCUGCAAAUAAAAAGAAAGCCCCUCCAAUUGUAAUACUCUGGUACAGGGAUAUAAAUGACAUUAAGAUCACCCCACUGAUGAAUCUAUUCAUUGCGACUCCCAUACCACAACCUUGGGCCCUUAGCCUCAAUGGGAAGAUCUCGGAACUGUAGACCCAUGCAAUGGGACCCAUCCCCGACGAGAAAAAAGCAACGGCUAAUAAUGUCAUGAGAAUGCACAAGGCGAUGGCCCACGUUAGUUGUUCAUCGGGAUAUUGAUCGAUUACAGUCAAUCCAAUGGCCAGACCUAUGAGGCAGAUUACCAUACCACCGCAACUUGAAAGAAGCAAAACUCGUCGUCCAAUCUUGUCUAGGAAAAAUGUGGACACUAAG